rnacentral:lncRNA from 1 species
CUUGUUUAACUUUAUACAAGUUUAAGUGAUUACUUGUGCACCCCUGAGUUGGAGGUUAGAAAUGUGAUUUGUCAAGUUAAAGGACAUGUUUAUGUAUUGUGCCUAAUGAAAUUUUGACAAUAAUAGUUUUGAUAUUAUGAUAUUUAAUAUUCCUUUUGUUUUUUUUUUCAGAAGUUGUCAUUCAAUAUUUAUAAAAAGAAUGCUGAAAUACGAAACACUCGACUAUUCUAUCUUGAUUGAAAUAUAUAUUUUUUAUUUAAUUAACGAAGAAAAUUGCAUGCUUGCACUUUCUUAUAAAUAAUUUUUACAUGUGUAAGGUGUUAGUAUAAUAUAAAUUGAGACGUUUUCUUGAAAAGCCGAAAUCAUAUUUUUUUUAUCCUUUAAGCAUAUAUAAAUCAAAAUUGAACAAACUACAGUGAUGACCGCGCCAUAAAAUAUCAAAAACAAACUUUAAAAUAUCAAACCAAGUUAACUUGAUAUAAUUCUACAACUUCAAUGUUGUACUAUUUUUUUUUAAAAGUUAUUUUUCUAUUCAAAUCUUAAUAUAACAUUUUAAUAUUCAGAUGUAUAAUUUGUAUCAUCUUAAUAUUCAAUUAUAUAUUUAAAUGCACGCAUCUCGUCUUAAUAAAUCAAUAAGAACUAAGUGAAUAAUUUUAGAAUUUAAAUUCUUGACAUGUUUUUUAAGUAGUCAUACUAACAAGUAACAACCACCCCCCCCCCCCCCCCCCCAAAAAAAAAAGUAACAACCAAGGUAAGUUCUACAUGGUUAAUAAAUUAUUAUUAUUUCCCUUAAAAAGAAAAUGAUGGUCAUAGACCAUCUGUUUUCCCGAGUAACGAGUAAAUAGUUAUCCAAAAAUUUUUGUUAAGGCAGAUUAGAUCCUCGUAACCCCCUCUUUUUCUCUCACUGAAAAAGCACAAUCCGCGUCACCAGAAAAUGAUCCAUUCUACACCGUAGAUCUCACUUCCAAUCAACGGGUGAUGCUCAUUUUCCCACUUUCACGCGGAUUGAUAUUCCUAUCCGUCGAUUAACAAGUAAAUUCCCAAAUUUUAAACGGCUACGAUUCAUCCCCCGCCACAUUUUACCGCCCACGAAAUCCACGCCCCUCCAAAUCCCCCUUGUAUAAAUACCCUCUCCCAACCCCUCGUUUCUCAUUGACUUCAAAUUCCAAACCCUAGAUUCUUCUUUUUCUUCUUCUUCAAAUUCCCGUGUUUGAAAAAUGUCUGGUCGUGGAAAGGGAGGCAAGGGAUUGGGAAAGGGAGGAGCAAAGAGGCACAGAAAGGUUCUGAGAGACAACAUCCAGGGAAUUACCAAGCCAGCUAUUCGUAGGCUUGCUCGUAGAGGUGGUGUGAAGCGUAUCUCUGGUCUGAUCUAUGAGGAGACUCGUGGAGUUCUCAAGAUCUUUUUGGAGAAUGUGAUUCGUGAUUCAGUUACCUACACUGAGCAUGCCAGGAGGAAGACUGUUACUGCGAUGGAUGUUGUUUAUGCUCUUAAGAGGCAGGGAAGGACUCUGUACGGAUUUGGUGGUUAGAUUUGGGGUUUUUAGCUCUGGGGAAAUGGGUGGUAGGUAGUAACUGUAGCAUUUAGUUUAUGAUGCUUUUGUGGUUGCGUUGGUUGGUUCUGUUUAGUGUUCUUAUGGUCUAGACGCAUGUAAUAUCUGGUUACAUUAUCUAUGAACAAAGUUAUGUUUCUAGUAAUUCUAUUGUUCGGCUGCCAGUUGAUUUAUUUUGUUAUUUGAUAUAUCUGAAUGUUUUAUUAUCUGUUCAGUUCUUUGGAAAUUCUGUUUGUUUUUGGGUAUUAUAGACGUAGUGUAUUUCUUCUUGGCAUUGAUGUUCAAUACAUUCUCUUGGUUUCUAUCAAUGAUUCACUGUCUAAUUUUGGAAGAACUGAUGCAAAUUAACUAACAGUCAUGUGCUCUUGAUUUCAUUUGAUUCUAUGUCUGUUCACUUUCCUGAUGGUGUGUAAUCUUCACUUGUUGGAUUCUAAGUUUAUCCUUUGUUUUUGAGCUGUUAAAUCACUCUGUUAUUUAUUGAUUACCUGUCUUAAGAACAAUGGAAAAUUGUUGGAUGCUUGAAAGUGGAAUGCUCAACCCAAUUUUAAUAAGAUCUGUUCCACCCUAGUUUAACCAUUCAGCCAAAUUGAUUUCACCACUCACAUUGUAGCGUUUAGUUUCAGUAUCAAGUUGCCUCGCUCCGACCCAGAUUGUUGUAAAAUAAUAAGUAUUAAACACGAGAUUGAUGUGGAAACCAAUAUGAGAUAGUAUUAAGUUGUUUACCAUUUUUAUCAAUUUGUCAUUGCCAAAUGAUUACAUUCUAGUAAGCUUAUCUACAUUCUGAUCAGCAUUAUCAAUGAGCUGUCAAUGUCUGUAUUUUCAUCAGUAAUCGGUUCAUUGGUCUGGAACCCGUUCAUUAGCAGCUCCAUCUUGAUCAUCAUUUUGCUCAUUAGCAGCUCCUCCUUGUUCAUUAGGAACCUGUCCAUUAGCACCUCAUUAGCAGCUCCUUCUUGAUCAUUAGGAACCUGUCCAUUAGCACCUUCAUCUUGAUAAACAUUUUGCUCAUUAGCGCCUAUAUCUUGUUCAUUAGGAGGUUGUUCAUUAACGUCUCCAUCUUGUUCAUUAGGAACCUGUUCAUCAGCGUCUCCAUCUUGAUCAGCAUUCUGCACAUUAACGUCUACAUGUUGUUCCAUAGGAACCUGUUCAUUAGCGCCUCCAUCUUGAUUGUUAGGACCUUGUUCAUCAUCAUUCCAGUGAACAAGCUUUUCCCUGCCACAAAAUACUCAUUUGUAAUAACAUCUUACAGGUCAUACCGCAUAUGUGUACAGUCAAUCUGCACAUUCGUAGUUAGAAACUUACCAUUUCAUAUAGAUUUUCCUUCUCUAAUAUACAUGUAUGGUUGGUUGACUGCAAUCUGCAGAAAUCAAAAUUUCAGUAAUUUUUAUUUUUAAAAAGCAAGAUCGAAAUCAACCUGUUAAUGAAAAUGAAACACUCUUUAAUAUUAGUAUCUUACAACUUUCCACCCAAGCAGCAUUCCGCAUUUAACACAGUAUCUGCUAGUGUUUUGCCAGAUUUUACUUGAUGAUAUCUCACGCCGUUUGGUACUUCAACAUUAAACCUGCAUACAGCAUAUACACACAUGUAUAAAGUUUUGUAACGAAUGCAUAUAUGCCUCAGAUCGCAGAAAAACUUGAGGCGAAUAACAAAAUCACAAGAUGGUGAAAUCGUCUGUAAAAGCCCAAUUCCAAACAUGAAAUCACGACUCACACUUUAUUAAAGAUCCCUACAUCCAAGGAUUCCUGCAAAAUAUACAAUACAAGAAAAUAAGCAUAAUAAGUUUGUGUCAAGAAAUAUAUCAGCGUGCUGAAUAAAUUGCACUUCAUGACAGAAUAGCAGUUGAAGUUUAUGAAAUCAGUAGCAAUUUCAUUAGAUGAUACAACAUAGUUUUUCCUAGACGACUAGUUAAGUUUAUAACUAUACGCUGGAAAUUAAUACAUUUACUUUGGAGUAUCAAAGAAAAUGUCUGCAGCCCACAGAUAAUGGUUUGAUUUGUUCACAAAUAAGUUGAUAACAUAUUGCAAAAUAUGAUCAUUCAGAGAGAUUUGAGUGAUAAUCUGUUAAGAAUUCGUGCCCUACUGAUUUUCUUAUUUUCGCCUAACUUUUGCGUAAUGAUGGAACGUGUUGCCUGACGUGUUCCACUAACCUGUUUCAAGGAAGCAGUAAACAGAAAAUAAAGAACACAAUGAUUUUUACGUGGAAAACACCUGACUCAAAAGGUGUAAAAAGCACGACCUGCAUCUCUACAGAAUUUAACUCCAACUUCACUAAAAAACUCUUGACUGAUUACAAAACUCUUGUAACCAACAAAUAAGAAUUAUAAACUCUAAUCCCUAUGACUCAACAACUAGGAAUCGUAAACUCUAAUCCCUAUAACUCAAUAACUAGGAAUUAUAAACUCUAAUUCCUAACUAUACAUACAUCUCCCAAGGUAUGUGUUCCCAAAGUCUCUGAGUUUUCCCAACUCGAAGACUAGCUUCUAAUUCAGUUUAUAACACACUGAAACUAAUAUUACAUGAAUAGCUUAAAAUGGCCCUUUAGGCAAAACUUUUGGGCAUUUCCACUCAUCUUUAAGACCAAGGAGCCUUAAAAUUGUAUGCCAACCCUAAUUAAUUCUUAAUGCAACUUAGAAGCUUAACGCUAAAACUCUUAGCUGGAUUCUGUACUGAGGACCAGGUUCUUCAACGUGUUUUUUCAGUGAUUGAGUAGCACUUCGUGAAGUCAAUCUAUCGAUUGAGUUUUUCUGUUUUUUUAAGUGCGUGAAUUAUUCUGGCGGCUGCAUCUUCUAUUUAAGCACAACUCUCCAAAGAGUCGUUCUUUAUUUCAAACUCCUACUUCCAACUCUUGUCUCUUUAGUGUUGUAGUAAAACUCCAACUCUUUUAAAUUCUUCAAUUUUCAGAAUCUUUCUUCUUCCACACAUUGGACUCUUAAGGAUAUGCUUAGAAGUAAAACUUCUUUUCACAUAGGACUUCUUUUUCAACUCAACUUGCUUUCCCUUAUCAUCAAGUGAUUGAAUCAAAUUCAACUUGUUUCAUUCAUAUUGUCAUUCAUCAAAACUUCAAGGUUCCAACAGAAUCCAUACCAAAUUAUCAGUGAAAUCCUCGAUGAAUGCAAUUCGAGUUCCGCAAAUACCACAGUGGAUGCAAUCACGAGAAGGGGCUCCAUCAUAUCCAACUAAAAAGAGUCUUCCUAUUUUGUUGAAUCAAGAAGCAACUCCUAAUAGAUACCUGCAAAUUCACUUCAACAAUGAACAAAGUGGAAGAGCGAUAUAUCACACAUGCACUGCUGAAAAGUUAGUGGGAUAAAGACUAACUGAUUAUGAAUGUGAAAUGAAGAGAGCUGGUGGAAAAUGAGAAUUCAAGAAAGUAAAAUAAUGGCUGGUGAUUAAUACUCUGAUAGAGUAGAUAUAUAUGCCUACUUCUGAAAUGACGAGACUAAAUUGAUAUAGAAAAAUCACUUCUUGAUUCUUGAAUGGAUCAGUUGAGAAGACUUAUAUCUUGACCGUUAACUCAGAUAGGAGGCAAAUUUGUAUUUCAGUUAUGUUUCCCUUUCUUUUCCUCCUUUAAAAAAAAAAAAAAAAAGAGAAAUACAGUGUUUCUUUUUCUAAGUGUAUUAUUGUACUAUAUGAUGUUUCAUCUCCAAAACCAGAAAAAUGGUAUGUUUGAGUGCGUUAAGGGCGUUCGAUCAAGUUUCUACUUCCUAUUCUCGUUAGCUUUAACAUUAAUAUGGAGUACAAAUCCUCAAAUAUGAUUGAUUGGUCCAAGUGUAAGAAGAGAAAAUGUAUCUACAGUUGAGAGAAUCCAAGUCAUACUCAUGAAUAUUUCUUCGUUCUCUAGUAGCUAAUUACCAUGAUGUUGAUCGAUUGUCUAAACAGAUAUCUCGUGAAAUGGCAAAUCAGUAGAGUUAGCACCAUAAUGCCUCACACAGACCCAAAUAUGAUGUAAAACAGCAAGUAAAUAGAGUGUCAAAUGUCAUUCAGUAGGUUACCUUUCCCCCCUUUAUUCCUAAUUUUUGAAGCUAGAUCUUCGCAGUAUUGCUUUAAGUCUUCAUCACGGUUUCAGUCCUUCAAAACAAAUUAUAAGAAAAAAACAAAAAAAAUUAUUGGUAAACUCAGGCUUUAUCUUUUCUGUUUCUGGGUUGUCAAAAUGCUGCUUGGCUAGAAUCUUGACCCUAUUCUUGGUUUACUAUACACAAGCGUAAAUGGUUUCUCUUCUACCAUCAGACUUGAUCUCAACAGAAGUUACACACCAUUACACCGGGGUAUUACAAAAGCCUUGAUCUUUGAAAAUAUCAGGAGAAUCCAUAUAGCUAUUGGACUGUUAAGGCGAACCGAAAGCUGUCUGCUUGAAGGUAUAGCAAAGCAAAUUGUUUGCUAUACCAAUAUGAGAUUUAAAUGUAUUCAGUUGUAUAUACAAAAUGAUAGUUUAGCCCACAGCAAGAACAGGAACAUUAAGUUACAUAGAUUCACUAUCAAACAUCUGUUCAACUUUAUAGUUUUCGAGGGUUACACAUUUCCGAUACAUUAGACAACUGAACAACAGAAAGCAGAAUCCCAGAUUUCUAUGACAUGGGCGCACUAGAACUCGAGUUAGCAUGUGAUAGAGUCAUUAUUAAAACAGUUUUGUUGCAACCAUAUUCAGGUGACAGAACUCAAAAACCUGUAGGAGUAAAGGCCAUUGGAUCCACAAUUCUAAGCAUAUCAGUUUAGAUAAACUAAGCAUAUAGAGAAUGGUUGUACCAAGGCUCAAAUAGGUAAAAUAUUCGGUGUCAAUUGCUUUGUUGCAACCUGAAGUAAUAACAUGUACUGUGAUCCUAGAAUCGAAAGAGAACAAAGAAUAUCACGCAAUUAUGAAUUAGCAUUUUGUAUAGUUUGAACUCUAAUCAGAAUCUGUGUUAUCUUUCUGCAUUUUGAACAGCAUGAGUAGACUAUCAAUUUUCAUCAUUAUUAUCUGUUCCAUCAGACAGUUGAUCUACAUCUUCAUUCGUUUCAUUGGCGCACCCCCAUCUUCAUUAGGAUCCUGUUCAUUAACUCCCCCAUCUUGAUCAUUAGCACCUCCAACUUGAUCAUUAGCGCCUCCAUCUUGUUCAUUAGGAACCUGUUCAUUAACAACUUGAUCAGCAUUAUGCUCAUUAGGAGCCUGUUCAUUUGCACCUCCAACUUGAUUAUUAGCGCCCCCAUCUUGGACAGCGUUAUCAGGUACAACUUGAUCAGCAUUUUGCUCAUUAGGAGCCUGUGCAUUUGCACCUCCAACUUGAUUAUUAGCGCCUCCAUCAUGCUCAGCAUUAGAAGGUACAACUUGAUCAGCAUUUUGCUCAUUCGGAGCCUGUGCAUUUGCACCCCCAACUUGAUCAUUAGGAUCCUGUACAUUAACAUCUCCAAAGAGAAACUCAUGCAACGUUUCACCAUUCUGGUACCUAAGCAGGUGUCUGCCGCAAAAUACUCAAUUGAAUUAACACGUUACAAGUCAUACCGCUUAUAUAUGUGUGAAGUCUGUUUGCAGAUUUAUUAUUAGAAACUUACAAUCUUACAAAGUAUCUUCCUACUACAAAAUACUCGGACGGUUGGGCAACUGCAAUCUGAAGAAAUCAUAAAUUCUGUAUUUUUAGAAAAAUAGAGCAACAAAAUCGUCUUACUCAUGGAAUCAAAUUCUCUUUAAAAUUAGUAUCUUACUAGUUCCCAUGCGAUCACGACAAGACAAGUCAUACAGGAAAUAAUGGCUAAGGUAUCUCCAUCUACUACACUAUGAUGAUUCUCGUUGUUUUCUACAAUAACGUCAAACCUGCAUAUAAUAAACAUAUGCUUCAGACCUCGUAAAAACACUUAGGCAAUUUUUGAAAUCAUGAGACUUACAUUCUAUUAAUGUAUCCUCCAUAUAUUGCGUCCUGCGCCUGGACAGGAAAACAAACAUAAUUUGUUCUGUUCUUAGUCAAGAAAUAAGACUGAAAAAGAGCUGUCAAAAUUAAGGGAUUGGAAUCUUCUUUAUGAAAUGAGUGGCAAUUUCAUCUAAAUAUACGUACAAUAUAGUGCAGUUCUUCCUAGACAAAUGAUUUAAGCACAAAUUUAUUCCUAAAUUUGGGUAUCAAAGAAAACUUUUUGGUGUGCUCACAAGAAAUGACACAGAGAAAGAAUCCUUACAUUAGGAACGUAAUCCUCGAUGAAUGCAACUUGAUUACCGCAAAUACAGCAAACGAUGUAACCCGGCUCAUCGAGUAGAGCCUGUGCAUCUGCACCUCCAUCUUGAUUAUUUGCGCCUCCAUCAUGCUCAGCAUUAGCAGGUACAACUUGAUCAGCAUUUUGCUCAUUAGGAUCCUGUGCAUCUGCACCUCCAUCUUGAUUAUUUGCGCCUCCAUCAUGCUCAGCAUUAGCAGGUACAACUUGAUCAGCAUUUUGUUCAUCUCCAACUUGAUCAACAUUAGCUCCAUCUUGAUUAUUUGCGCCUCCAUCAUGCUCAGCAUUAGCAGGUACAACUUGAUCAGCGUUUUGCUCAUUAGGAGCCUGUGCAUUUGCACCUCCAUCUUGAUCAGCAUUAGCACCUCCGACUUGAUCAGCAUUUUGCUCAUUAGGAGCCUGUGCAUUUGCACCUCCAACUUGAUCAACAUUAGCACCUCCUACAUCAUCAGCAUUUUGCUCAUUAGGAGCCUGUCCAUCUGCACCUCCUCCAACUUGAUUAUUAGCGCCUCCAUCUUGGUCAGUGUUAACACCUCCAACUUGAUUAUUAGGAGCCCCUAAAUUAGCACCUCCAAAGAGAUAUUGACGCAACGUCACAUGAUUCUGGAACAUAAGCUGGUCCCUGCCACAAAAUACUCAUUUGAAUUAACACCUUACAAGUCAUACCGGGUAUGGGUGCAGUUUCAAUUUGCGAAUUUGUAAUGAGAAACUUACAUUAUGACAAAGAAUCUUCCUGGUACGAAAUACUGGUGCAGUUGGGAUUCUUCAGCCUGAAGAAAUCAUAAAUUCUGUAUUUUAAGAAAAAAAGAGUAACAAAAUUGUCUUGUUCAUGAAAAUCAAAUGCUCUUUCGUAUCUGUAUCUUACAAUUUGCCACCCAAGCAGCUCAUUACAUUGCAUACAGCAAGUAUCGAAUCUCACUACUUGGGUAUAUCCAUGUUCAUGAGUAUUCGGUUGUUCUCCUAUAUUAACGUUUCUCCUGCAUAUAUAAUAAACAGACCUCAGAAAGAAAAAAAAUCUUAGGCAAAUAUUCGAAAUUGCAUGAGACUUACAUAUUAUAAAAGUAGCCUCCAAGAUCUCUGUCUUGCGGCUGGACAAGAAAAUGAUCAUAAUAAGUUGUUCUGUGCUUAGCGUCAAGAAAUAUAACAGAAAAAGCAAGAGGGCAAACAGCUGGGGAUUGAAUCCUCUUUGUGAAAUAGCAAUUUCAUCAAAAUAUACUUUUUAUUAAACCAAUGACUGAUUACGAAUUUAUUCUUACAUGAUGAUUGAAAUCAUUGAGACGUGCAAUUUGAUUCCCGCAAGAACUGCAAUAGAGAUCAUAUACUGAGUUUCCUUGCAUUGUUGAUCAAGAAGCAACGACUCCUGUUGAAGAACAAAAUUUCUUCAAAAAAGAACAAAGUGGAAGAGAAAUAUGAACUUCUGAAAGAAUCAAUGGGAAAAAAAGAAGGACAAACUUGGAAAAUGAAGAUAUAAGAAUUCGAAAACAUGCAGAACGACUGAAUUUAAUGAGAAUGAGAAAAGAAUGUUAGUAAUAUAGAAAAGCCACUUCUUGAUUCUUGAAUCCAAGCUCUGUCUUGACGGUUAAUUCAAAAGGGAGGGAAAUUCAACUGUAUUUUAAUUUUUUAUUUUUACUUACUAGUAUAACAAAGAUUUUACAAUUUGCCCCUCCAAAAUCUGAAACUAGUCAUAUUGACAUUUAAUUUACCCCUUAACUAUACGCGUAGACUUAUGUGUAAAGAAUAAACGGAAAAGCCUCAAAAAUACUCUUGAACUAUCUAAAAUAGCUCAAAAAUGCACCACAUUAGCUUUUUGGCUCAAAAAUACCCCUCCCUUUAACAAAAUUUGGAAAAGAAUCAAAAAUACCCCUGAACUAUCUGAAAUGACUCAAAAAUAUCCCUCUGUUAAAUAUUUGGCUAAAAAAUACCCAUCUCUUUAAUGAAAUUCCACCAAGCAUGCCACCUAGAUAAUAAAAAAGGUAAACAACAUAAAUCCCAACACUUUGCUACCUAAUUACACUCUCUCCCAAUUUUUAUAUUAAUUGCUUAAUAUCCCGGAUAUAAUACAUAAGUUUGGUCCGGAUACAUAACCAACAGAUACAUAACUACCAAACUAAUUGACUGUAAAAAAGAAAAAUAAUAAUAAAAGAGAGAAUAAUGGAGCAAUUAAUACGAUUCUAAUUGAGCAAUUAUAUCUCUUUAAUUCUUCCAUCACAAGCCUUUUAUCCUUCUAUUUAUACUGCAAAGCUUCCUCCUUUAAUUCUUCAAUAGCUGUAACAAUAAUUAAAAACGAUAAAUAAAUAAUUAACUUCCUAAAAUAAUUCAGAAAAUUGAAAAAACAGAAGAAAAAAAUUGAGCAUCUUCGAUUUUUUCGAGUUCUUCUAAAGUAACAAUAAAUUGAUUGAGCUUUGUUAAUUUGUUGGAGAUGUUAUCCAUGGCAGAAACUUCAAUUAAAACAUCUGAAAUUAUUUUUGAGACAUAAAUAAAGUUCAAAUAAAGCUGAAUGUAUCAGAUGAAAAAAAACAAUACAAAUCAACUUCAACAUUUACUAUGUAUCAGAAGUAAUGGAUAUAUCUCAUACUUAUGUAUCAUACUCCUAAUGUUUAAUGUUUAAUGGAUAUAUCUCAUACUUAUGUAUCUUAUUAGUUUACUAAGACUCUUUUGUUGGAUUUCACACUUUUAAACCUAUUAACAGGAAAAAACUUAUUUUUUAGAUGAUCAAAGAAAUUUGAUAAUAGCGAUGUUACAUUUAAUAAUUUUUUUUUUAAAAAAAGUAUUAUGUAACUACCGUUUGUCUACUUUGAUUAAAAAUUAAAAAGUCGUGUAAGUUUUGCCCGUUUCACUGACGUUUUUAAAUAAAAUUAAAAAUAAAGAAGAAAGGAAUGUCAUAUAAUUAAAAAAUACUAACAUUUUACAUGUGGAUAGUAAUGUGGCAUAGUCACGUAGUUUUUUUUUUAUCUAGGUGGCAUGUUUGGGGGAAUUUCGUUAAGGGGAGGGGUGUUUUUGAGCCAAAUAUUUAACAGAUGGAUAUUUUUGAGCUAUUUCAGAUAGUUCAGGGGCAUUUUUGAACCUUUUCCGAAUUCUGUUAGAGGGAGGGGUAUUUUUGAAUCUAAUAUUUAACGGAGGGGUAUUUUUGAGCCAAAAAUCUAAUGAGGGGCAUUUUUGAGCUAUUUCAGAUAGUUCAGGGGUAUUUUUAAGCCUUUUCCGAAGAAUAAAAUUAUGAGACAGACAUUUGUGAAGCUUUAGUUAAUUGUGUAAAUUUCAUAAAUCUCAACAUUUUAGAAGUAAUUACAUCCCAUCAAAUUUUUUUAAUUAGUUUAAUCUCUCUCCCGUUUAGUAUACAUUCUGUAAAAGACAUAUACAUAACAAGUAAUGUAUAUUGUAAUCUGUUAGAGUCCUAGAAAACAGGGAGUAACAGAUAUUCAGCAUUCAUUGACGUAAAUGGCGCAACUAAUUUAAUACGUCGAUUAUUGCAUCCCAUAAAUCAUGUUUCAUGAACGGAAUUUCAAAUUUUAAAAAUCACAAAUACCUAAAAAUGCAAAUCUGAAGCAACAACAUAAAUCAAAAAUCAAAUUUCAUCUCUAUUUUUGUUGUUUACUGAACAAAGCAAAUUAUUUUCAAUUAUUGAAGAUGAAUAUUGCUAUUCUUGUAAGGUACUCGGGUAAAUGGAGAUCUCAAAUAGAAUAUGUGGAUUAUAAAAGUGAAGGGAUUGUUGUUGCUGAAUCAGUAAAUUAUAUGAGGUUGAUUUCAUCGAUUGCUGAUGAAAUAAACAUUGACGAAACUCGAAAAAAUAUUGAUGUACGUUAUGUUGUUGACGGGAAUGAUUCACCUUUUCAUAUCCGUAACGAUAAUAAUGUACGAUUGUAUGUUGAGUUGAAAAAAUCUCAACCGGCGUUCAUGAUGUAUCCGUUAUGUAUUUCAACAACAGAAAAAUGUGAAGAUGACAAAUUGUUCAAUAGGGAAAUAAGAGUUGUGGUUUGCCUGGAAGGUGUUGAAUCUGAUGCUUUGGCUUUAUUUAUUGCUGAGACACAAAAUGAGUAUGCUUUGUAUGUACCAGAGGUUGAAGAUAACUUGAUAUGCGAUAGCAAGAGUAUUGAUGUAAUGGUGAAAUAGUGUAUAGGGAUAAAAAUACGCUUGUUUCAGUGAUGUCGAAAUAUAAAGUGACUAAUGGAUUCAAUGUUAGAGCAAAACGAUCAGACAAAAAAAGGUGAAAUCAUAUCUUUUUUAUACUAAGCAGUAUGAUAUAUGAAGUCAUUGAAUGUUUUAUAUUAUUUGUUUUUAAUUAAAAUGUUAUAUAUAGUUGCAUGAACAUGUGUAUUUUUUUGUGCUAAAACUAAAAUCGAAAUACAAAUUAUCAUUGUGACCUUUGCAAUAUCUGUUUGUUAGUAUGUUGAAGUUAUGUAUGUCUAUGUGAGGUAAUGAAUUUCAAUUUACAAUUUUUUUUAUUUUCUGAAAAGCCAUUGGAUACAUACAACAAAACUGGUUACCAUUUUCUUCGUUAUUAACAUUUCUGAGGUGCUUGGUUUAAUAUACAUAUAAGUUGCUAUGUCUAUGAUUUUAAUUCUUUAUAUUAUCAGUUUUGGUAAGGGAAAACUGUUAUGUAUAUUAAAACAUAUACAUAAAUAGUUAUGUAUGUGUAAACAAAUACAUAACUGGUAACAUGUCAGCAGAUAUGUUAUUUAAUCCAUAAUCUGCAUACUUCGUUUUUAAAGUUUAUUAUGUGAGUUAUUAGAUUGUAUAUAGCUUUCUUUGAUGAAAUAUUAUGCAUGUCUAUGCUGUAUUAUGAUGGAUUUGUAACAAUUAAAUCGUUAAAACUUAUGAAAUGAUGCAAAAUAUAAUCAUUUGAAUAGUAUUUUUUAUAUUUCAGCUAUGUACUCCUUUGUUACAAUGAGAAAUAUACGUGAAAGUUGGAAGAAUCUAGUUACAAAAAAAUAGAUGUUUUUAUGAUACGAAAAUUUAAUCCAAAACAUACAUGCAAUUUGAGGGAUAGGGUACUGCAAAAUAUUUUGGCGACAACUUCUUUUGUAUGUGAAUUCACAGCUCCAAAACUAGUUAACUAUAAGAGAAGGCACACACUGGGGGACAUCAUUGAAGAAAUGAAAGUUGUAUAUGGUGUGGAUAUAAAUUAUAUGAAAGCAUGGCGUGCGAAGGAGUGUGCCAUCGCUUUGCUGAGGGGCGGACCUGCGGAUGGUUAUAGGCAGAUGCUGAGAUACAUUUAUAUGUUAAAAAAUGUAUAUCCUAAUUCGUACGUUGCAAUGCACAAAUCAUGGGAUAAUCGGUUCAUGUAUUUAUUUAUAGCAUUGCAUCCCAUGAUAAGGGAUUUUGAGUAUUGUAGGCCUGUUGUUAUUGUUGAUGGUGUACAUUUAAGUGGACUAUAUCAAGACACUUUUGUCUCAGCAAGUACUCCUGAUGGUGCAGGUAUGUGAAAAAUCAUAAAUCCCUGAUUUUUGUAAAACAUUCAUUGUAUUUCAUAUUUUUUUUUAAUUUAUUGAAAAAAAAUUGUUAACUUUUUUUUUUUGUAUUUAAAAAAAAACCAGAAAAAAUUGUAUUUAUUAUCACGUACGUAUUUAUGUAUAUUCUAAUAUACAUAUGUUAAACUAUGUAUAUGUUAACAUAUACAUAAAAAUUUUGUCCAGUAGACUUUCAAAAAAUCUUAGUGUUCUUCUACUAAUACAGUUUUUACUUAAUUUAGGAUGCAUAUUAUCACUUGCGUAUGGGAUUGUGGAUACUGAGAAUGAUAAUUCAUGGACAUGAUUUUUCAAUCAGUUCAAAGCUGCAUUUGGUGAACGUGAAAACAUGUGUGUUGUAUCUGAUAGGAACAAAAGUAUUAUAAAGCUGUCAGUGUCGUAUAUCCAAAUGUCCCACAUCUUGCGUGUAUAUGGUAUCUUUGGAAAAAUGUUUGUAGUUACUUUCAUAAGAGCAAAGAAAGUAUCAGUGAUUUGUUUUAUUCAAUGGCUAAAGCUUAUAGGAAAGAUGAUUUUGAAUAUUUAAUGACAAAGAUUGAAAAAGCUAAUCCGAAAGUGAAAAAAUAUUUACAAGAAGCUGGUUAUAAAAAGUGGAGUAGAUAUCAUUCACCGGUAAAUAGAGGUCGGAUGAUGACCUCGAAUAUUGCUGACUGUAUUAACGGUUGUUUGGUAGAGACCCGACGAUUGCCAAUAUAUGAAUUCUUAGAAGAAGUUUGAAUAUUAUUUGGUUCUUGGAACUAUAAGAACAGUGAAAUAGCUUCUUAUACAAGUAUCACUUUGGGGCGUCGAUUUGAAGAAAUUCUUACUCUCAACGGUGUGAAAGUUUUGAGAAUGAAGGUAUGUAUAAGCUUUAACUUUUUAAAAUGUGCAUUUAUAUGUAGUAUUUGUUUGACUGAAAAUAAGUGUAUUUAAAUUUUUAUUUCCAGUAAAAAAUAAUUGGUUGGAAUUUUGUUAUUUAUUGUUUAGGUGAAGGCUUCUUCAACAUAUAUAUAUUCAGUUUAUGAAUCUGGGAGAAGAUACAUUGUUGAUUUAGAAAAUGGCUCAUGCAACUGUGCAAGGUUUCAAAUAGAUCAAAUUCCUUGUGCUCACGCUAUAGCUGUAUUGAAGUCUAAACAUGUAAAUGAAAUUGGAGAUUACUGUUCAGAAUACUACAAGCCAAACACAUUGGUCAAGACAUAUGAGGUUCCAAUCGUUCCAAUGCCAGACAAGAAAGACUGGGAUGUGUCCAGCAGUGUAGAUGAAGAAGAAGUGUUGCCACCCUUAUACAAAAGACUUUCAGGUAGACCGAAAAAGGGGAGAAAGAAGAAAUCAAGUGAAACACUUUCUGAAAUCAAGUGAAACACUUUCUUCAAGCACAAAUCGUUGUGGACGAUGCGGCCAUGAAGCCCACAAUAGGCGUUUAUGUAGUUUUUUUUCAAAGAAGAACUAGUUUAUUGUUUUGUUAUACUCUUGAAGAGUACUAACUUAUUUAUUUUCGUGUUUUGUUUUCUUUUAAAUAAAUUAUUAUUUAUUUUGAUUUUAAUUUUAGUGUUAAUUUAUUUUUAUUAUUUGUGAUUUUUAUGUAUAAGCUGGUGUAUUUUCAUAAAACGUACAUAGCUCCAAUGUAAAAACUGUGAUAUGUAUGUUUAAUUUUUUUAAAAACUAAAUUUUGAAAAUCAACUGUCAUGUAUUUUCUUUAUAAUGUUGAAUUAACUUAUUGUUUUGCUAUAUUUAUGAAGAGAAAUGAAAUAACCUUGGAAACCAGUGGUACAGUUAUGUAUAUUAUAUAACAUACAUAAAUUGUAUUUAUAGCCUUUAACUCAUAUAUAUAUUUUAUAUAUAUUAUAUAUUAAUUAAUGUAGAUCAUUUAAUCUACAUAGCUCUAUUAUUUAACGUUUGAGUUGUAAAUGUAAACGUAUAGCUGUAAACAAAAAAUUUAAAAAACAAAUGUUAUGAGUUUUACAUACAGCGUUUAGUUAACUUAUUUCUUUAAUAUAGUUUCUGUUUCAAUUAAAUGUAUACUUAGGUAUAUUUUUCAACAUUUAUUAGUUAGUUAUAUAAUGUAAUAUGUAUAUUAUAAUAUAUACACAGAUUAAAAUUAGGAGGUCUUGUGUAUAUGAAAACCUAUACAGACAUUACAUUUAUGUAUAUUUAACAUUAUACAGUAUUAACCGUGAUGUAUAUUAAAAAAAUAAAUGUUAUGAGUUUUACAUAUAGCGUUGAAUUAACUUACUUCUUUAAUAUAUUUUUUUUUCAAUUAAAUGUAUACUAAUGUAUAUUUUUCAACAUUUAUUAGUUAGUUAUAUAAUGUAAUAUGUACAUUAUAAUAUAUACACAGAUUAAAUUUAGGAGGUUUUGUGUAUAUUAAAACAUAUACACACAUUACAUUUAUGUAUAUUUUACAAUAUACAGUAUUAACUUUUAUUGUUUACAAUCUAUAUGAAAACAUAUACACACAUAACAUCCACAAAUAUAUGUAAAUGUUGUCAUAUGCAACAUUCAUCAAAAACUGCAUUCAUCAUUGCAAAAAAAUACAUAUGUCAAAUAAAAACUUCAUCAUAUUCAUUAAAAAAAAAUUGUACUCUGCCUUACAAAACAACUAAAAUAAUUAAAACUUUGAAAAUUCCAAACAAAUUUCAGCAGAAUACAUUAAAAAUCUUAACAAUAUUCUUCAGUAAGACUACUCAAUGCAAACUAUUGCAUUAUCAUCUGAAAUUUGAAUAAUUCUCGACUUUGAUCUUGGAGGGUCAUCAGUUUCACUAACAUAACUUUUCUUUACUUUUUGAAUACCAUAUUUUCGAAGUAGUGUGGCGUAACACAUUCUAUGGUAUUCUUCUUCAAAACCAUCAGAAGGCACGUUCAUUUCUUCACUUAGGUAUUUUGCAUAACCAGCAACCUGUCAGACAUACAAAAAAUAAUAGAAGUUAUUAAGUAAUACUUACUAGCAAUGAAAAAUACAAAUACAUUAAUACAUGUACAGUAAUAUUGCAAAUAAAAAGAAUAUAUAAGUAUACUUACACAGUGUCGCAUUCUUGUUGCAUAAUAUGUUGAACAUACUCAACAUCAAAGAGAUGUUCAUUCAAAAUUUGUGUCGUUUGAGUAAUCUUAUCCCUAUAUGUUUCACGAUUAUGCCAAUCUGUACGAGAUAUUUCAUCAUAAAAUUUGCUGUCGGAGAGGUAAGUUGACAGCAUCUUAGCCAACUUUUGAAUCUCAGUAAUUGAUUCCGUAUUCCUUCGUCUGGACAGCGAAUCGUAGAUGCGUAUGCAUCUAUCCUUCAAGGCAAUAACAGCUAACACCCAGUGAAAAUUCUCAUUGCAGUUGAUAGGAACAUACACCUCAUCAACUUGGUGCCAUGGAAAAUCAGAUGGCGUGCAAUAUCCUUUGAUUAUAUGUGUUAUUGCCUCUUCAAUUAGAGCAACGCGAACAGAUUCAGCAUAAUUUUGUUAUGUAGUUAGGACUUUAUCUGUAUCAUCUUCAUAGUAUCUGGAGUAUGUCUUGUCAAUGUAGUUCUUAGGAAAACGGUUGUUGUGAACCUGUAAUCUUGAUCAUUCCUUAAUUUUGAUUUCUUCCGCAAAUGAUAGAAAAUAACAUCAAUAUGCUACAAAAGAGGAGAAAAAAUGAAACGAAUUAUGUGUUGUGUAAUAAAAAUUACAUACUUCUAGGAAGUGUUUGUAGACAUACAUCUAGAUAAUACAUGCAUAUACAUAAAAUAUGAUGAAACCUGAGUAUGCAAGAAAGUUCAUAACUACAUACAUUCAGUGAUGUAUAUUAAAUAUACAUACUGAUUAUCAAUUAUUAACAUACACUUUCAUUAGCAAUCUAAUACAUAUAUUAAGGUAGACAUAUACAUAUGUUGUUGUGUUAUAAUUGAGUUAACAUAUAGGUUAUAAUAUACAUAGAUGAUGUCCAUCUAUUUUAGUAGUGAUGAAAUUGUUAACAUAUACAUAAACUUUUUUUGUGUGACCUGAGGAUACUAGAACAAACAUGACACAAAAAUCAACAGUGAUGUAUAUUAUAAAGUAUAUGUAGGUGUUGUCAAAUGUCUAAACUGGUCAUAUAAAAAAUGAACACAUAUACAGUGCAAAAGCAUGAUGUACAUAAAUUAGAAAUUGAAAUAGUAGUUUAGGAGAGAAAUUGAAGUAUUAGUUUAAGAGAAACAUAGUUUAUUUAAAACUUAUUUAACACAUACAAAAUUUCUGAAGUAGGUUAACACAUAUAUACCAUGAAUGUAUGUAUACAACAUAACAGAACAAUUAAAAGCGAAUGAUUAUCAAAUUAAAAAAUUUAAAUACCUUAUUAUUCCAACACGUGUUCUUUUGAGACAUCAAGUAAAAUCAAUUUUUUGUUCGUGCAUGAGCAACCACAAAAUCAAUUUCAUGAACUCCUAGUGAAGAUGAUUUUGCUUUGUAGUAAUAAUCGUCAUAUUUUCUAUAAAAAAAUUAAAUUUGUUAUUAUAAAAAAAAAUAUAGUACAUUCAUUGAGUGAAAUAAUUAAUUUUAAUAUCGAUAAAAACUUACUUUUUAGCAUGAAACUUCAAUAAUCCUUCCUCCACCCACUGUUUGAACUCUUCAAUUACACUGCUUGAUAUAGUGUCAGAUAAUAGGAAACCAUCAAAAGCGAAUUGUUGUUUCUGCUCUUCGAUUUGAUCCUCAAUUGCUUUAGAGCCAGAAGCAUAUUCUGUUGUGUAUGGAGACUUGAAAACUUUGGAUCUCGUCCUGAUUCUCUUAACCAUCUUAGUAGGAGUUUUCGCAGCUUGAUGAGCCGCAACAAUAACAUCAGUAAAAUCAAGAGGAAGCUGACUAUCAGAGAUGUCGUGUUGGUUCACAAUUGGUUCUGCCAGUAGAACUACUUCUAUAGGAACGUCAUCAACUGGUGCUGCAAUAACUUUCAAUAUCGCAUCUAACUCGACUUGAGCCGAUUCAGGAAGUGUACUCGAAUAAUCAACCUAAGAUUAAAUUUGAAGUAUGUAUUGUUAGAUUUGGUUUAAUGCGCACAUAGAAGUAAUGCCAUGUGUGAAAAUUAAGACAUUUAGGGCGUAAAAAAAAAUUGGUGAAGUUACCUGAAUAUUAGAUGUUUCAACAUUAUCAUUAUCAGGUUUCUGAUUUUCUACAGUUGCGACUAGACAUUUCAAUGUGGCAGGCCUAAAAUCAGCACUAACUCCUUCAUCAUCCUUGAAAACAUAACACAAAAUAUAUACAAAAGUAGUUCAUUAUUUAGAUUUAACUAUAAGCAAAAAAAUAGUACAUUUCUUACAUAUUUGGCCAAUGGAUGAAAAAGAAUGGCUUUAUUUAUUUACCAUGUGAUCAUUAUGGACAUGCACAGUAGUAGAUGUUCCAGCAUUGGUGUUGUCAGAAUUGUGAUUUGCUACGGAUUCUACAAGAGCAUCUCGGAUGGCAGUAGCAUUAUCCUCACUGCAUCCUUUGACAUCCUACCAAUCAUAAUGUAAAACAUAUACAUAACUAAGUCAGUUCAAUGUUUUAAUUAUAAACAUUAAAUUCUGAGAUGUUUAACUUGUGAUUGUUGUUGUAUGAGACUGCGAUUUCAAUCAAAGUAGUGGCCAUCCAUUGAAUCAUCAGCAGAGUAUACGUUUGUUGAUUUAUCUGUCUCGUAAAAAAUCUACGAAUAAAAAAUAAUUAUUGCUUUAUAUGUUAAUUGCUUUCAUAAUUUGUGUUGUGUUGCAUAUGUAUAUUAUAAUAAUAUACAUAUAAUAUAAUACGUAUACAUUAUAACGUAAAUAUAACUGUCGUUAAACAACAUUCAAUUUGUACCAAAUUCUAAGCUGGAUAAAAAUCAUAAAAUUAAAGAAGUAACGAAAAAGUAAUAUAUGUAACAAAGUAUGUAUAAUUAUCACUUGUGUGUAAAUACCUUUUUUCCUUUUUUUUUUCAAGGUUUUGAAGAUUUCAAUAUCUUCAACAUAUUCUUUAGAUAGUACGUUUCCUAUUUUUUCUUCUCCCUCUUGCUGAUGGUGUUGAAAUAAGUACAGUAUAUUCUUUAGAAAAAAGUUAAUAACAUUAACGUGAUCUAAUAAUAAUGUAUGUUUAAAAAAGUACCCCUUUUUGUAUGCCUUCAAUAUUCUGCAUGAUAUCCAUCUCGUCUGCUUGAACUUGUGUUGAUUUUUCUCCGACAGUUGAACCAUCCAAAACAUGAACCUUUAUAGUUUGUUGUAGUAGAUAUAUCAGAUACUAUGCCAUUUCAGUCUAAUAUACAUAGAUAUAAAAUACACAUAGUAUAAGUUGAGAUUUUUUUGUGGACUUAACACAAAGCUUUUAUGUAUAUUAGUUAAAAUACAUAUCAUCAUUGUCAGCUAUUAUGCCAAUGCAACUAUCAAUUCGAUGAGAAAUAUAUAAUAUACAUAGCAUGUUGUUGGUAUAUUAUAUACUACAAUGUAACAAUUUAUGUAUGUUAUAUUACAAACAUUAAAUGUAUGUAAUAUACAUAGCUAUACACUACACAUCAUACUUAUGAGUAUAACUUAUUAUUAUAUUGUGUAUUUAACUUAAAAUAGUUAUAUAUAUUAGUUAAUAUACAUACCAUAAUUGGCAGAUACUAUGCCAUUGCAACUGUCAACUCCAUGAGAAAUAGUUAAUAUACAUGGCAUAUUGUUUGUAUAUUAUAUAACACAAAGUAAGCAUUUUAUGUAUGUUAUAAAUCACUGUACAAAUAAUAGUUAAAUAACACGUAAUACAAUUCUAAUUCAGAAUAUGUAUAAACGCACAAAAUUGAAUAAAAAAGAAAUACAAAAUCAUGAAUUGUAUAAGUUAAAUGAUUUUUGGUGUACCUUUUUAUUUUUUUGGCUGUGGUGUUUCAACAAUUGGAUGAGUUCGGCAUGUUGUUUAUCCAUUUUUUCAUUUGAGUCAUUAUGUUGUUUGACUAUUAGAUCAUGAAGACAAUUGAUUUUUGUGUCAACCUGCAUGUCAAAAUGAACUUACAUAAGACUACAUGUUGAUGAAAGUUGAAUUUUGUGUAUACCAGCAUGUCAAAAGCUAAAGAAAGUUGACUAUUAGAUAUGAAUGAACUUACAUAAAAUUACAAAAAUAACUUUAUAUCAUCCCACUUUUCAUCAGAAUUGUCCUGACAAACUGACUUGAGUGACGAUGAUGGAGUUGUCUUUUCGGCAUGAACAUGCUCCGAACCUGAAGAAGCUGUUUUUUGGGUUGGCAUAGUUCUUGUUGAAACAAAAGAUGGUGUUUUCUGACAAACUUUCUCCUCGACAGUUGUGGAAUCAAAACGGACUAUUUUUCGCUUCUUAGACGGAUGAGAUGUUGAAGAAUCAGUAAUCAAACCUGCCUUCUUGAGAAUUUCUGUAGGAGGGACCGUACUAAAUACCUCAAAACCUUGUAUGUCGAGGUCCACUUGGGACUGUACAUCGACAACAGGUUUUUUAUCGAAAUAAUCUACAACAAUUUUUGGAGGAAAUCCACUUUCAACAUCUUUUAAUUGAAAUCCCUCAAUCAUUUGCAAAUCAAGACUUUGUACUUCUUCAUCAGUUGGUCGUAUAUUAUUGUAUACUAACUGUUAAACAAUAAAAAAUAGCAACAUUAAUAGUCUGUUAAAGUAAGCACGUUGAAAAUUAAAACUAAGAUCGAAAUAAUAUACAUCAUACUUACCUUGCUGAACAUACCAGCCAUAAAUUUCUCGUACUUAACUUUGGUUCCAACCACCUGCCAGUUGAAAAUUCGGGGAAUUACAUUUCCCAUCCGCUCGGCUAUUGUACUGUCUACCUCAUAACAACAUUCAUAUAUCCAAACAUUCAGCACGUAAGGCAUUCCCCCCAUCGAGUAUAACUAUUUCGCAACAAAAAAAUCCUGUCUCUACAAUGCGAUAAGUUUUUUAAAUGAACUCUUCUCCCAUAGAAAUUGUUCGUAACUACCAUUCUCAACCAUCACAAAAUUCGAUUUGCUAAUUGUAGAAUCACGUACUUGUGAAUACAGAAAGGUGUGAAUGAAGUAAAUUAUUGACAUAUUCAGAGCAUCAGAAUUAUUUUCAAAGUUGCCCAACUUGAAUUGCUCUAUAAAGACUCCUUUUGACAGAACUCUUAGAACCUGAAAAAUACUUCGUCAUUAAUGCGGACUUUGAUGUAAAAGAAAAGAGGUGCUCCUCGAUGUUUCCUGAACAUUUAAGACCGGAUAUAAUGGCAUACUCAAUAAUGGUAAACUUGAGUGUGGUUCCUGGCACGUAAAAGUGUAUUUCAUCCGGAUUGUCUUGUUCUAUCUCGAGCAUGAGUAAGCAUUUGGAUAAUUGACCCUGAUAAUUAUAAUUCGGGAUGUCUAGGAAUGAACCAAAAAUUAUUUGUCGGAAUAAAUUUACGACUUCUUCACCAAGAUAAUUUUUUAUUUCUUCUCCAAAUUUUCGAUUGCAAUAACUACCGAAAUGCAACGAAUGCGCAGGGACCUUUCUUAUCCUGUAUUUCAUACCCUAUUGAGAAAGAAACAACACAUGAUAUGUGAGCAUGUGUUUUUAAAUGAAAAAACACUAAACUUAUGUAUAUUACUAACAUAUACAUAAAAUUGACUUGUGAGAAGUAUUGAUUCUAAAACACAGAAAAUAAUAUAUCAUUAGUGAUGUAUAUGUCAAUAUAUAUAUAGCUGAUAUCCAUUAUGUAUAUGCAGUUCACAUCACAGUAGUUGUCUACCAACAUAUUGAAGUUUAUGUAUCUAUUAUUCAUAAACACAUGACAUGUUCAGUGCAUCAAACUAAAAUAACAAAACACAAACUAUAUAAAACACUAAAAUAACAAGACAUAUCUAUGUCAAUAUGAGCAUGCGUUGUAAAAUUAAAUACUAAACUUAUGUAUAUUACUAUCAUAUACAUAAAAUUGUAUUGAGAGAAUUAUUGGUUCAAAAACACAACAAAUAAAAUAUCAGAAGUGAUGUAUAUGUCAACAUAUACAUACCUAAUAUCCAUUAUCUUAAAUACCUCUUCAAAAAACAUACACAUAUACACAGAAAAAUAUGAUGUAUAUGCAGUACACAACGCAGUAUUAGGUUUGUAAAAACUAACUUAUGUAUAUGUGCUGAGUAAUGUAUGUGUAACACAUACAUGCGAAUUUACAUAAACCCAAUAUUCAUUUAUGUAUAUGUGCUAAGUAAUGUAUGUGUAACACAUACAUACGAAUUUAUGUAAACCCAAUAUUCAUUUAUGUAUAUUAAAAUAUAUAGAUCACUGUAUUUCAAAUAAAAAGCUCACCACAAAUUUAUCUACCCAACAUAUACAGAAACGAAAAAAUUAUAUAUACCUUAGGAAGACGUGGACGUCCAGAAUCAUCUUUUUUGGAUAAUCUUGAUGAUUUUUCAACUGUUUUUUUCGACUUCUUACCAGCAGUUUUUCUAAUCUCUUUCAUCUUGUUGGGGUUGUUACGAAAUUUAGAUAUGUUUUCAACAAAGUUAGGUUCCUCAUAGUUAAAAACUUCGGGAACGAAUCCAACUACCGCAAUUUUGUUAAAUUAAGACCCCCCAAAACAUACUUAAUAAGAACAUGCAACAAUUUGUUCUUUCGAAAAACCCCAAAAUUGAAUUAAGGAGAAUGCUCCAUUAACAAAGUACUAAGCUGUUAAUAUCGUACUUCAAAUGGACGAUUUCGAAAAUUUUGUUAAAGAAGAAACCCCAAAAAACACUUAAUAAGAACAUGCAACAAUUACUUCAUUCAAAAAUCCCCAAAAAUCGGUUCAGUAAAUGAUGAAAAAAAAAAUACUAACCUCAACACUUAAAAAUCAGAAUAAUCAAUGGAGAUUAAGAUAAAAUUUAGUGCCUUAAGUUGGAGCCAAGUACAGUUGUAUUCAAAAUGGUAACCGAUGCUUGAUUUUAGGAGAGUUUUAAGGAUGAAAAAACGGUAAAAGAAUACAUCUUAUGUAUAUUUGCUUUUAGAGAGAGAAACACCAAAAAUGAGAUUUUUGUAAUAAGUUUGAGAAGUUGGGAUUUUUUAUAAUUAAUGAAAGAUAAGUUGUGUUAUUUUGUAAUUUUUAGUUAAUUAAAUACUACGUUAUACUGAUUUAUUGGUCCACAUUAAUACUGUACCCAAUCCAUAAAUUAGUCGACCUUUCUGAAUUUAUUCAUUUGAUAAUUGUUGAUAUUAGAUUUGUAAGAUUACAUCAUUGUUAAAGCUAAGUAAGAAGCCUUUGUUUAGAAUUGGAGCUAGUUUGCAGAAAUCCAUGCGAGCUUGAAUCAUGUUAAGAGUGUUUUUGGAUUGUUCUUUGAACUAAAAUAGCAAUUAAUUUCAUAUUUCUCAUUUGGAUGAUUUGCACUUUCGCCUCUAUUUUAUACUGAUUUUAAUUUUUGUCUCCUAGGACAAUAGCUUUUUUAUGGGCAUAAAGUUACAUUUCAUAUCAUAAUAUCUCACAAGUCAUGGCGCGCUUUCUUAAAGAACUUAUGCAACUCUAAUGUAGAAAGAUACACAAUUUGAUAGCCUAUUAGUGGAACGCUACGCAUUAGUUUAAUUGCAAACAAUAAAAAGUAAAGACCAACCUAUUUGAAGGGCAACCAUGCGAUCAAACAUUUUUAUGAGAAGCCUUAAAGAGAACAUAAAUUUAUGACUUAGUUAAAGUUAUAAAUUAAAAAAAUUAGCUAUAUGACAUGCUCGUAGGGAUGAGAAGGUGCCUCCUAAGCUGAAAGACAAAUUCUAUAGAGUUGCAAUUCGUCCGGCCAUGCUGUAUGGAGCGGAGUGUUGACCAGUCAAGAACUCUCACAUCCAAAAAUUGAAGGUUGCGGUGGAUGCGUGGACUUACUAAGGGUGGCAGGAUUAGGAAUGAGACUAUUCGGGAGAAGGUAGGAGUGACGUCGGUGGAGGACAAGAUGCGAGAAGUGAGGUUGAGAUGGUUUGGGCAUGUGAUGAGGAGGGGCACUGAUACCCCAGUUAGUAGGUGUGAGAGGUUAGCCUUGAAUGCCUUCAAGAGGAGUAGGGGUAGGUCGAAGAAAUACUGAAGAGAGGCGAUUAGACGUGACAUGAAGCAGUUACAGUUUACUGAGAACAUGAUCUUAGAUAGGAAGGUAUGAAGGAUGCUUAUUAGGAUAGAGGGCUGGUGCGUGUGGACGAGUCGUAGUCGGUAGCUAGGAGUGCUUUGGGGUAGCUUGGAUAGUAGUCGUAGGGCUUUGUACAUAGGUUAGAGCUUCUAGUUAGGAGGGUUGAGAGGAGGUGUGUGUGCCUUUGGUUUGUUACUAUAUAGUAUUUGUUUGUGGGUGUUGUAUCUCUGUUGUUUCAUGUUUUAUGGCGACUUUUUUACUGUCAUUGUGUCCUGAGUCGGGGGUUAUCAGAAACAACCUUUCUACUUUUUUCAGAGGUAGUAAUAUGGACUGCGUAUAUUCUACCCUCCCAACCCUACUAUGUGGGAAUAUAUAUUGGGUUUAUUUGUUGACAUGCUCGUAGGUUGUAAUAUGAGAAGAUUUUUUUUCUUUUACAUAAUUGUAAUUAGUAGGUAAUAAUGAACUACUUUCGUCUCAUAUUAAUUGGUCAUCUUAUUAAAAAUAAAUAUCUCAAAUUAAUUGAUCACCUAUAAAUCAAGACAGAAUUAAGUAAAAUUUUUUUAUUUUUCCCCUAUAAUUAAUAUACUCUUUGAAAGUUUCAACAAAUUAUCUUUAUUUCCAUUAAUAUGUAUAAAGAGUAUACUAGUAAAAUUCGUCAUUCCAUUAAUAAUAUUUUAAGCAAGGUACAAAAUAAAAAGUGCUGAACUAAUAUGAGAGAGAGGGAAGUAGGAAAUAACUUAGUGCGAGAAAGAGAAAACUAAUGCUCUUAGCCUCUUACGAGAAGAUCUAUUUACAUCCCUAGAUCUUCUUUCACAUGGAUCGCAUUCCCUUUGAAUCAACGGGUUAUAUUCAGUUUCCGCCUCUCACAUGGAUCGAUAUUUCUAUCCGUCGAUUAACAAGUAAAUCCCCAAAUAUUUAACGGCUACGAUUUACUCCCCGCCAUAUAGCAAAUUCCCCCCAAAUAUAAAUACCCCACCACCAUCAUCUUCAUUUCUCAUUCAAAUUCAAAACCCUAGAAUCUUCUUCUUCUUCAAAUUUCUCUGUGUGAAAAUGUCAGGCCGUGGAAAGGGAGGCAAGGGAUUGGGAAAGGGAGGAGCCAAGAGGCACAGGAAGGUUCUAAGAGACAACAUCCAGGGAAUUACCAAGCCAGCUAUUCGCAGGCUUGCUCGUAGGGGUGGUGUGAAGCGUAUCUCCGGUCUGAUCUACGAGGAGACCCGUGGAGUUCUCAAGAUCUUUUUGGAGAACGUGAUUCGUGAUUCAGUUACCUACACUGAGCAUGCUAGGAGGAAGACUGUUACUGCUAUGGAUGUUGUUUAUGCCCUCAAGAGGCAGGGAAGGACCCUCUAUGGAUUUGGUGGUUAGAUCAAUUGUUAGGUAGUAGAUGUACAUCUGCUGGAAAUUUCUGUUGUUUCUGUGUUCUUGUUUCGAUCUACUUCUUGGGUUCCAGAUAUUGUAAUUUCUCAUUACAUAUUCAAUGAACAGCUGCUCAGUUUUUAGAAAUUACAAUUAUUGUCUUUUAGCUGAUUGUUAUUGUUGUUUAGUUUUUAAAGUUCUCAUUGCAUAGGUUACGCUUAUAUACAUCACCCAUUUCUGUAACAGGGAUUUAACUGCUAAAAGUUGGGAGAAAUGACGAGAACUGGUAUUGAACUCAUUGUUGCUAAUAGAGUCUGCACUGCGUAUUUCCUAAUGUGCCAAACUGUACUGGUUCUGAAACUUAGUUAAUAGGUCAGGUUGCUCUUGUUGAGACUCUAUUAGAAAAGAUACAUCUUCAGAAAUAGAUGUAUCUUUGAUAGGAAAACUCUACUAUGAAUUCAUACCAAAUAGGACUACAUGAUUUAUGUUUAGGUGUCUUAGGUAGCGAUAAACUUCAGUUGCUCUCAAUCAGCAAUUGUUUGACAUUACACAAGGCGACAACAAAUGUAUAUAAUCAUUGUAAUUGAGUUCACUUGGACUAACUUCUCCACUUAUGUAGUUUGAAACAUGUCUGUGUUUACCAACUAGUAGGCAAUAGCAAAUCUUGUUUGGGCAAGUCAAGUUUGAGGAUCAUUUCUAAGUGAUGCAAGUGUCAUGCCCUCAAGGCCCUUCACAAGGAGCCAAGCCAAGAACUUCAACAACUUCAAGCUUUAUUCAUGCACUUGAAAGUUUGUGAAGGUGUUGUAGAUUCGGCCAAGGGAGGGAAUGCAUUGAUUUGUGAAGAAGGGACUUGAAGAGUCUAUAUUCUACAAGGGGCUAGAUGGACUUUCCACUUUAUAUUCCAACACUCAAGGGUCCCCCCUUCUCUUUAGCUCAUUAAGGGUAGUUUUGUCAAUUGACAUGUAAUUGUAUAAAUAGACAAUUUCUUCACCCUUUCCAAUAGUUUUUGAUGACAUUGGAUAUUACUCAUAGUUUGUAGUUUUAGUCUUCUAAUUAUAGCUCUAAAUCCGAAACUUGGUACCUUGAAUGCAAUUGAAUUGGUUUUCACUUGUAUUGAGUAAUUUGGCAAGAAAGGUGAAAUUGAGGGAGUGUGAGUUCUUUGGUCCACCUAAGAGGAAGUUGUCACGACCCAACUUUUCAGGUCAUGAUGACGCCUACCAUAACCCACCAGUAGACAAGCUAACCUGUAGUCCGGAAUGGCUAGUAACGGACUACUUAAUAACAUAAGAAAAAGAAUGCGGAAUAUAUGAGAUAAAGAUCAAUAUAUAGAUGAAUCCCAAAACCUGGUGGUAGUAGUACAAGAGUUUCUAAACAUAAUAAGAGUACAAAAGUGAGAUAUCAAGGAGAAAUACACUGAUUCAACUUACCUCUGAAUACAACUUAGAGGCUAGUCUAAUACAUAGGAGAGAGAUAAAUAAUACUCCGAACGUCAGGAGCUCACUCUAAGUCUCCGAAUCAGGGUUACUCAUAACUCGUGCUAUGAUUUGCAAGCUGCAGAGGUGUAGAAUGAGUACCAAACGAAUGGUACUCGGUAGGCAACUGCCAACCGAGAUCCAAAGAUAAAGUAGAUAAUACAACAUAUAAACAUAAUGGAAACUACAACCAAAAGUCCAUAAAUCAUAUAAUAAGUCAAUGAGAAUAACAAGGGACAACUAUCAUAUUUAUGUCCAAGAGUCUAAAAUAAGAAGACUAAGGAGUAAUCAAGGUGAACUAUCCUGUUCCGGCUACAUUCAAUAUAUGCCAAUGCUAUACCGUAUAUCCCAGGUCAAUAUACAAGUAAAGAGCGAAAGAAAAAUAGAUUGUAAUAUACAAGGCGAAAGAACGACUAUACAAUAUGAACAAUGAAUGUUAAGAUUGAUAUUGGAUAGAAUGACUUAGUAUUGAAUAUACAUAUAAGUUUGGAGAUUAGAUAGGGUUUUGGACCCGUAGGUUGAAUUACUUAAUACCCUUAUAGAAUCCUAUUGCCUUCUCCCUAGUUUGGGUAAAUUUGUAGCAUGGAUAUGAUAUAAUAUUAUGCUCGGAAUACGGUUUUAGCAUCAUUUGAAGCAUGAUUUGUUUUAGCCUUAUUGGGCUAGUGUGAUAGUUUUGGAACCGUAAGUUUGGUAGAGUUGACUUGAGUACCCUUUUUUCUAGUCCAAGUUACUAUCUUAGGCGUUAAUAUGACUUGCUUGACAUCUAGAGGAUGAACUAGAUAACUUAGCCUAGUUUGUAGCCUAGUUUGGAGCAUAGUAUGCCUAAUUAUGGAAAUUAUGGAUUAGAAGUGGGAUCAUCCGGCCCACUUAGGCCAAGAUUUGUGUUAGCCCUUGUGGGCUUAGUUGCAGAUAGUAGACCUAGUUGAGACUAAUGAGCCUUAUUUAUGAGAAUUACUUGGUGAAUUGAUAAAUUGUGAUGAUUUUCGUCGGAUUAUGAUUAGUGGCCCAUAGAGAUGCAUUUUCUUCUUUAUUAUGAUAUUUGACCCAUAGAGAUGCAUUUUCCUUUUUAUUAUGAUAUUUGUCCCAUAGAGAUGUAUUUUCCUUUUAAUUAUGAUAUUUUGCCUAUAGAGAUGCAUUUUUCCUCUUUAUUAUGAUAUUUGAUCCCUAGAGAUGCAUUUUCCUCUUUAUUAUGAUAUUUGGCCCAUAGAGAUGCAUUUUUCUCUUAAUUAUGAUAUUUUGCCUAUAGAGAUGCAUUUUCCUCUUAGUUAUGAUAUUUUGCUCAUAGAAAUGAUUUUCCUUUUAGUUAUGAUUAUUGAGCCUAUAGAGACAAUUUUCGUCUUGGUCAUGAUGGAUAACCUAUAGAUAUGAGAUAUCUAAUAGAGGCGAUAUGCUUGUUGAUAUUAUGCCUCCUAGAUGUGAGAUGCCUCCUAUAUGUGAGAUGAUUAUAGAUAUGCUACGGUUUAUAAAAUUGAUUAAUGAUAUGAGUCCCGGAUAUGUAUAUGGGCCUAAGGCCAUGAUUAUGAUGUUGUGAUUAUUCUGGAUAAAUUAAUGGGCCUAGGUCCGUGUUAUGGUACUGAUUAAAUAUCCAAGAAGUGUUUAUCAUUGNNNNNNNNNNNNNNNNNNNNNNNNNNNNNNNNNNNNNNNNNNNNNNNNNNNNNNNNNNNNNNNNNNNNNNNNNNNNNNNNNNNNNNNNNNNNNNNNNNNNNNNNNNNNNNNNNNNNNNNNNNNNNNNNNNNNNNNNNNNNNNNNNNNNNNNNNNNNNNNNNNNNNNNNNNNNNNNNNNNNNNNNNNNNNNNNNNNNNNNNNNNNNNNNNNNNNNNNNNNNNNNNNNNNUUAACAAAAAUAGGAUGAAUAGUUGAUAAUAAUGAAUGAUGGAUAAAUGAAGGUUUUAGUCUAAUGAUGAACCUAGACUAGAUGUUAGAUGUUGACUAUUAAAUGAAUAGUGGUUAUUUGUUAUCCCGUGAAUAAGGAUUAUGUGAAGGAUAAUGUUUAGGCUAAUAACUAGAGGUUAUGUGAUGACUAGCGAACUAGCGAUUUAAUAAUAAUAAAUGUUGGUUAGCUAAUAACGAGUAAUUUUAAUGUAUUGAUAAGAUAGAUAUCUUUACGGUUAUGAGUAUAUCGACUUGCGUCUGUGCACCUAUUAUAUGCCUAUAUUUAUGUGUCGAGAGUUAUGAUGAUACAUUGAUACCCAGCAAGGACGGAGGAUAUUAUGAUGAUAUUGAUACCCGGUUCGAGUCCGGAAGAAACUAUUGAGAUGAUAUUGAUACCUGACAAGGCCGGAGGAUAUUAUGAUGAUAUUGAUACCCGGUUCGAGUCCAUAGGAUACUAUUGAGAUGAUAUUAAUACCCGACAAGGCCAGAGGAUAUUAUGAUGAUAUUGAUACCCGGUUCGAGUCCGGAGGAUACUAUUGAGAUGAUAUUGAUACCCGGCAAGACCGAAGGAUAUUCUGAUAAUAUUGAUACCCGGUUCGAGGCCGGAGGAUACUAUUGAGAUGAUAUUGAUACCCGGUAAGGCCGGAGGUUGAUGGCGAUGAUGAUGGUCCUAAUGAGGACAGUUGCAUUGCGUUAUUGAUGGUAUAUUUUGCAUUCAUUCCUGCAUGCGCAUCACCUAUCACCAGUAUGCACCUAUGUCUAUCAGCUGGUAUGGGACGGUUGCAUAGAUAUGGGUGAAAAAUAUGCCUUGUGUUAUUAUAUGUUGAUUGAACCUUCCGAGUCUGGGGUGGUGGGGGUACGCAUAGGCUUCUGAGAUCGUUUCGCUGAAGUUUUGGAUCAGUGGCCAUUUGGAACCAACGAAGACUUCUGAAUAGGGAGUUGACUCUAAAAACCAAACGAAUUGCCCGGUAACCGAACCCCCAGUCCCAGCAAGUCAUAAAUGACUUGGGGUAGCUAUGGAGAAGCUCAAACGGUGAAGAUAAGCAUAAAUAUGGAAAAUGAACUGAAGGGUCAUUGCAAAGGUUUGAGCUUCUAUUGGUGAGGUGUGAUUGAUGGUUUGAUACACCAUCUUUUGUUAAUCACUUGAUAGGAGUAAAGGCCCGUCUUUCUACCUAUCUUUAUUUUCAAGCAUUCUUCUUCAUCCUUUUCUUCUAAGUGUGUUGUUUUCCUUUAGUGGAGCUUGCUGAUUUUUAUUAUUUAGAGUCCAUUUUUGUGUGUUGAUAGUCUUUAGACUAUAAGGAUUACUUCAGAAGGGUGGCUGCAAUUGGUCCAGCUAUAUAAGAACAGCAAAUGUAUAUAUCUACAUUGCAAUAGCCUUUACCAAAGGAUUACUUUGCUAGAUGAAACGGAUUAAAUACAUCUGUUCAAGUUUAUAGAUUUCAAAAGGUUACACAUUUGCAAUAUAUUAAAGAACUGAACACUUGAAAGGAGAAACCCAAAUCAGUAUUAUAUGAGCCCUGACACUUGAGUUAGCAUUCACGCCCCUUCUCUGUGGCUUUGCAAAUUUCAGUAAAUUACAUCCAACAAGCACACAACCCAAAAAGCUGUAAAUAUGCUUCGUGUAGCAGAUUUGAAGAUUUCAAGUUAAAUGGGUCAAACAUCACCACCACCACAACAACAUACCCAUUGUAUUCCCACAUAGUGGAGUCUGGGAAGGGUAAAGUGUACACAGAUCAUACCAUUGACGCAUGUGAAGUAGAGAGGCUGUUAAAUGGAUCAAACAUCACCAUACUACAAAGUAACAAUAUAGUUUUAACCAGAUACAGAAAACAACUUGAAUAAACGAAAAAGUAGACUGCAAUCUGCUUGUAAAACAACUCUAGAAUGAGAGUAAAAGCCAUUAGAUCCACAAUUUUCAAACUAACUGAAACGUCAUUUUUCCCACCAGUAGUCAUCCGCAUGGGCGGACCGACGUGCAAUUUUCGGAUGCUCGAGCACCCACUAAACUCGACGUAGAAGAGGUAUAAUUAUAUAAGAAACAGUGAAAAAAUGGUAAAAUAUAUACAAAAGCACCUAGAGAACAAAAGCAUGGUUGGGUGCUCUGGCGUUAGACAUAACUUUCAUGUCUUCCAUGCUGGGAUCGAAUCCCUGUAGCUGCAUUGUUUAGUAAAUUUUUUUUUUUUAGCACCCACAACCUAAAAAAGCUGGGUCCGCCACUGGUCAUCCGCAGCUAUAAGAAAACUAAAGUUAACUAGAAUUGAUUGUCAAGAAGCUACAUUUCUCGAGACAGAGACAAUUGCAUAGCUGUUGCAGUUGAGGAAAUAUGUUUCUGACAAUUGACUUGCUUGAAGAAAUUAAAAGAUAAACUAAGCAGCAAACGGAGAGGUCAAACAUGUAAAAAGUUCAGCGUCAAUUGCUAUGUUCCAACCUGAAGUAAUAAUAUGUCUUCUAAUCCCAAAAUCAAAAAGAGGAAAAAGAAUAUCACACAACUGUGAAUUAACAUUUUGUAAAGUAUGAACACUGACUCCAUUCAGAAAAUGUGCAUCUUUCAGCAUUUUGAUCAGCAUGAGUAGGCUAUCAAUGACUGCAUUUUCAGCAAUAUUAUCUAUCCCAUCAGUUAGUUGAUCUACAUCUUCCUUCGCUUCGCUUGGGGGCUUCCAUCUUCAUCAUUAUUCUGGUCAUUACCGCCUUCAUCUUGAUCAUGAUUCUGUUCAUUAUCUCCAUCUAGAUCAGCAUUUUGCUCAUUAACGUCCACAUCUUGUUCAUUAGGGACCUGUUCAUUAAAUUCUCCAUCUUGAUCAGCAUUUGGCUCAUUAGCACCUAAAUCUUGUUCAGUAGGAAUCUGUUCGUUAGCAUUUCCAUCUCGAUCAGCAUUUUGCUCAUUACCGCCUAAGACUUGUUCAUCAGGAACCAGUUCAUAAGGGAGUCCUAGUUCCUCGUUUAAAUCACGCAACAAGGGUUCAUUAUCCCAGUAAGUAAGCUUGUGCCUUCCACAAAAUACUCAUUUGUAUAAACCCUUACUAGUCAUACGACAUAUGUGUGCAGUCUCAAUUAGCAAAUUUUGUAGUUAGAAACUUACAAUCUCAUGUAGAAUCUUCCUUGUCUAAUAUAGAUGGAUGGUGAGGGUUGGGGGACUGCAAUCUGGAGAAAUCAUUGAUUCAGUAUCUCAUAACAAGGAACAGCAAAAUGUCUUGUUCAUGAAAAUCAAAUGCUCUUUAAUAAUAGUAUCUUACAAAUUGCCACCCGAGCAGCAUCUCACAUUGGAAGCAGAAAAUAUCGACUAGGGUAUAUCCAUUUAUUACACGAUAAUCAUUUACAUCCUCUGAUACGUCAACAUUAAACCUGCAUAUAUACAAAGGUUUCUAAUACAUAUAUGCCUCAGACCGCAGAAAAAAGUUUAGGCAAAUAACAAAUCCCAAAUUGCUGAAAUCAAAUAAAUUACAGACUUACACUCUAUCAAAGAUCCUUCGUGGAAUGAGGUUUAGCACCUACAAAGUGUACAAGACAAGAAAAUGAGCAUAAUAAGUUGUUCUGUGCUUAGUCAAGAAAUAUAACAUAAAUGCUGAACUAAUCACAAUUCAUGAUACAAAUAGGCUGUUGAAAUUAAGCCAUUAAAUCUUGCAUAUGGUCUUUAUGAAACGAAUAGCAAAAAUCAAAAAGAUAGUACAACAUAGUUUUUCCUAAACGAAUAGCUACGGUAUGAGCAAUUCAGAAUAAAAUUAAUUCAAGAUUGUCCUGAAUUUCGAGGAUCAAAGAAAAUGUCUGUAGCCCACAGAACCAUUUCGCGUGUUCAGAAAUGAUGCAGAGAGAGUGAGAAUCCUUGCGAUCCGAAGGUAAUCCUGGCGGAAUGCAACUCGAGUUCCGCAGCUACGACAUUUGAUUUCAUUGCAUUGAUAUAAAGCUCGUCCACUCAUUGUAUGUAUCAACUUUGUUGAAUCAAGAACCAACUCCUAAUAGAUACGUUUCGCCUGUCACGCAAAGAACAAAGUUGAAGAGAGAUACGAAAGAGGAACUGCUGAAGAAGUCUAAGUUUAUCAAUGGAGAAAAUGACUUUAACUUCUCACCAGAUAACAAAUGCAACAAUGGAGAAAGAGUUGGUGAUCAAUGAGAAUUCAAGAAAAUGAAAAAUGGGUGGGAAUUAUAAGAGUAAAUUUAAUGAGUCUGAGAAUAUUGAUAUAGAAAAGUCACUCACUUCUUGAUUCUUGAAUCCAAGCUCUGUUAACUGAGAGGAGGGAAAUUUGAAAUUGCUUCACACGCACACAAUUGGAUAAAUUUUCCACCUUUAUUAGGAAUAAAAUACCAAAUGUGUUUCCCUUUCUUUUCUUUUCCCUUUUAUAUCUAAUAAAAUGUUGUUGUAUUGAGUGUUUACAUCAAAAUAAUAGAUGUUCAACGUACUAUUUAACUAUGAUUAAUUAAUGCAUAUUUUUAUUACUUAUUACAUGUAACUCACUUAAGAAAAUUACCUUAAGUUGAAAGACUAGGCCCCGUUUGGACAUGCGAUACGAAAUUAUUAUUUGAAAUCAUGUUAUGAAAUUGAAGAUUUUUUUGGACAUAUAAUUUGAAUUUCUUGAAGGGGAGCCUUGGUUAACUAGUAAAGUUGCUCCCAUAUAUUUAAGCCAUGAAAACAACCUCCUGCAGAAAUGCACGGUAAAACUGCAUACAGUAAAUUCUUGUGCACCAGACUUGCAUUAUAUUCAAUUUAGAUUUCUUAAGUUGCAUUUUCUCUUAUAAAAAUGAAAAUCUCACAAGUUGUAUAAACUAUAAAAAUUUCUAAUCCUUAAUCUUACCAAAUAAGCAAAUGAUUGUUCGUAAACAAGAUAUCGGACUAUCAAAAGGUAUCACAUUGUUAAAUCACAUAUCUCCAUUUUUUAAAGAGAAAAUAUAUAAUUACCCCCUGAUCUUGUUCGAGAUUUACAAAAAGACACCUAAACUUUCACUUCGACCUAUUACCCUACAAUUCUUCUUUAUUUCGUUGCAAACACACCAUUUUGACCCUCUGCGUGUAUACACGCGCCACAGGUGCGUGAAAGGGUUCGAAUUUGACUUUUUUGACCAAUUAAAAGCUGUCACGUGUAAAAUAAUUGAUAUAUAAUUUAUAUUCUUUUUUUUAAAAUUAAUAUUUAUUUAUUUUUAAAAAUUAUUUCAUAACCCCCACCCCCGCAACCCCCCAUCCACCAUUGUCUUCUUCCCCAACUUCUUUUUCAUCACCAUCACUCAACAACAUCAAUUACAACACACAACAACAACAUCAAUUAUGCCCACAACAACAACAUCAUCAUCAUCAUCAUCAUCACCAUAACCCCACCCUUUCUUCUUCAACAUAAUGUCAUCAUUAAAGCUCCUCCAUUGAAGUUUUUUUUUUUAAAUCAUAUCAUUAAAGCUCCAUUUUGCAAUUAAAACAUAUCAGUUAACUACCCACCAUUCUUAUUCAACACAAUAUCUUCUUCAACUCCAUUAAAGCUCUUUCAUUGAAGUUUUUUUUUUUAAAGUUCCAUUAAAGCUCAUUAAACUAUCUUUAAAAUUCAAUUCAAUCAUUUAACUAUCCUUAAAACUCAAUUCAAUCAUAAAACUAAUUUUUAAAUUGAUUUGAACAAAGAAAAAAAUUAGACGGGGAGAGUGCUGGACGCGAGGCGGCGAGGGGGAGGGGGAGGGGGAGGUGCUAGACGNNNNNNNNNNNNNNNNNNNNNNNNNNNNNNNNNNNNNNNNNNNNNNNNNNNNNNNNNNNNNNNNNNNNNNNNNNNNNNNNNNNNNNNNNNNNNNNNNNNNNNNNNNNNNNNNNNNNNNNNNNNNNNNNNNNNNNNNNNNNNNNNNNNNNNNNNNNNNNNNNNNNNNNNNNNNNNNNNNNNNNNNNNNNNNNNNNNNNNNNNNNNNNNNNNNNNNNNNNNNNNNNNNNNNNNNNNNNNNNNNNNNNNNNNNNNNNNNNNNNNNNNNNNNNNNNNNNNNNNNNNNNNNNNNNNNNNNNNNNNNNNNNNNNNNNNNNNNNNNNNNNNNNNNNNNNNNNNNNNNNNNNNNNNNNNNNNNNNNNNNNNNNNNNNNNNNNNNNNNNNNNNNNNNNNNNNNNNNNNNNNNNNNNNNNNNNNNNNNNNNNNNNNNNNNNNNNNNNNNNNNNNNNNNNNNNNNNNNNNNNNNNNNNNNNNNNNNNNNNNNNNNNNNNNNNNNNNNNNNNNNNNNNNNNNNNNNNNNNNNNNNNNNNNNNNNNNNNNNNNNNNNNNNNNNNNNNNNNNNNNNNNNNNNNNNNNNNNNNNNNNNNNNNNNNNNNNNNNNNNNNNNNNNNNNNNNNNNNNNNNNNNNNNNNNNNNNNNNNNNNNNNNNNNNNNNNNNNNNNNNNNNNNNNNNNNNNNNNNNNNNNNNNNNNNNNNNNNNNNNNNNNNNNNNNNNNNNNNNNNNNNNNNNNNNNNNNNNNNNNNNNNNNNNNNNNNNNNNNNNNNNNNNNNNNNNNNNNNNNNNNNNNNNNNNNNNNNNNNNNNNNNNNNNNNNNNNNNNNNNNNNNNNNNNNNNNNNNNNNNNNNNNNNNNNNNNNNNNNNNNNNNNNNNNNNNNNNNNNNNNNNNNNNNNNNNNNNNNNNNNNNNNNNNNNNNNNNNNNNNNNNNNNNNNNNNNNNNNNNNNNNNNNNNNNNNNNNNNNNNNNNNNNNNNNNNNNNNNNNNNNNNNNNNNNNNNNNNNNNNNNNNNNNNNNNNNNNNNNNNNNNNNNNNNNNNNNNNNNNNNNNNNNNNNNNNNNNNNNNNNNNNNNNNNNNNNNNNNNNNNNNNNNNNNNNNNNNNNNNNNNNNNNNNNNNNNNNNNNNNNNNNNNNNNNNNNNNNNNNNNNNNNNNNNNNNNNNNNNNNNNNNNNNNNNNNNNNNNNNNNNNNNNNNNNNNNNNNNNNNNNNNNNNNNNNNNNNNNNNNNNNNNNNNNAAAAAAAAUGAAAUUAAACGUAUUUAACAAGUGGCAACACCUGAUUGGUGCGUGUGUUCACUUUCUUUGUUGUGACUGAGAUUCAACUAAAAAUGGUGUAUUUGUAACGAAAUAAAGAAGAAUCAUGGGGUAAUAGGUCGAAGUAAAAGUUUAAGUGUCUUUUUGCAAAACUUAACCAACAUCGAGGGUAAUUAUGUAUUUACAUUUUUGUUAAUAUUAUUCUUUCACAUGGUACAAAUGAUAUCUUCAGGACGAUAAUGAGUCCCUUUAUCUUAUAUUAAAGUUAAAAUGUUUUCGAGUCCCUUUAUUUUUAUAUGAAAGUUAAAAUAUGUCUUUAUAUCGAGUGUUGAACGGCAAGCUAGAUCAAUUACUGUUAGAUAUAGCAAAGUAAAUUCACAUGAGAUUUGAGGAAGAGAGAUAAACAGGCAAACCAAUGUUAAAUUUACAAGUAUUCCAGUAAUGGUUGAUAGGCCACAACACAUCUCAUUCUAAAUAAACAUGGAGCUGAAAUUAUUACAAAGGUUUCGUGGUGUAGUUGGUUAUCACGUCAGUCUAACACACUGAAGGUCUCCGGGCGAAGCCAUUUUCGUGGGUAAUAGGUCGAAGUAAAAGUUUAAGUGUCUUUUUGCAAAACUUGACCAACAUCGGGGUAAUUAUGUAUUUACAUUUUUGUUAAUAUUAUUCUUUCACAUGGUACAAAUGAUAUCUUCAGGACGAUAAUGAAUCCCUUUAUCUUAUAUUAAAGUUAAAAUGUUUUCGAGUCCCUUUAUUUUUAUAUGAAAGUUGAUGACUAGGUUCUGUGGCUAGAAGUUGUGAUAAGCUUUGAUCCAUCUGAUAUAACUAGGCCAAAUACAAUCGAUGUUGGAGAGUUUUAUUUGGAAUUCAGACCCAAUUAGCUUUUGUUAAGAAGGACUAGAAGUUACAAAGAAUGGUUAUACAAAAUUAUGUCGAAGCUUUGGCUUUUUGCUGUCUCUCAUCUCCUUUCUAAGUUCUAGUAUCUCAUUCCCUUCUGAUUACUUUCUACUCUAUUAUUCUCUCCUUAGUUUGUGUUGUUAUUACUUUGUUUUAGGAUUCUAAGUUGUAACUUGUAUUCAGUGAUUAUGAUUUAUUCUGUUUUUGUGUUAAAAAAUUCGACUUGUUACAAAAAUCCAUUAGAUCCACGCACUGAAACAUCAUCUUUCCCCACAAUAGUCAUCCGCAGCUAUACGAAACAAACUAAAGUUCACUAGCAUUAUUGUAUAGCUGUUGCAGCUAAGGAAAUACACCUCUGACAGUUUGACUUGCUUAAAGAAAUUUAAAGAUAAACUAAGCAGCAUAUAGAGAACAAACAUUACAAAAAGCAGUGUGUCAAAUGCUUUAUUCCAACCUGAAGUAAUAAUAUGUACUGUAAUCCUAAAACUGAAAAGAGGAAAAAAAACAAUAUGAACUGUGACUUUAUUAGGAAACUGUCCAUCUUUCAGCAUUUUGAUCAGCGUGAGUAGGCUAUCAAUGUCUGCAUUUUCAUUCAAUAAUAUCUAUUCCACCAGCGAGUUGAUCUACAUCUUCCAUUGUUUCAUUGACGCACGUCCAUCUUCAUCGUGAUUCUGUUCAUUAGCAUAUAGAGAACAAACAUUACAAAAAGCAGUGUGUCAAAUGCUUUAUUCCAACCUGAAGUAAUAAUAUGUACUGUAAUCCUAAAACUGAAAAGAGGAAAAAAAACAAUAUAACUGUGACUUUAUUAGGAAACUGUCCAUCUUUCAGCAUUUUGAUCAGCGUGAGUAGGCUAUCAAUGUCUGCAUUUUCUUUCAAUAAUAUCUAUUCCACCAGCCAGUUGAUCUACAUCUUCCAUUGUUUCAUUGACGCACGUCCAUCUUCAUCGUGAUUCUGUUCAUUAACACCUCCAACUUGAUCAAUAGCGCCUCCAUCUUGCUGAUUAGGAGCCUGUUCAUUAGCUCCUCCAAAGAGAGAAUCAUGCAAUGUUACACCACUCAGGUACAUAAUCUGUUUCCUGCCACAAAAUACUCAUUUGAAUAAACACCUCACAAGUCAUAUCGCAUACGUGUACAGUCAAUAUGCAAAUUUGUAAUUAGAAGCUUACAAUCUCAUAAAGAACCUUCCUACUACAUAGUACUGGGAUGGUUGGGCUACUGCAAUCUGAAGAAAUCAUAAUUAAGAAAAAUAGAGCAACAAAAUCGUCUUGUUCAUGGAAAUCAAAUGCUCUUUAAUAUUAGUAUCUUACAAGUUCCCAGCCAAGCAGAAUACGACAAUUGAUACAGUAAACAUUGGCCAGGGUAUUUCCAUCUACUACACGAAGAUAAUUCACAUUAUUUGGUACAACAACAUGAAAUCUGCAUAUAACACAUAUACGCCUCAGACCUCGGAAAAAAAACUUAGGCAAAUAAAUAAAAUCACAAGAUGCUCAAAUACCUAAUUUUCGAAAUUGCAUGCGACUUACACUUUAUUAAAGUACCCUCCAUACACUAAGUCCUGCGCCUGGACAAUAAAACGAACAUAAUAAGUUGUUCUGUUCUUAGUCAAGAAAUGAAGGAAUUGAAUGUUACAUAUCCACUUUAUGAAAUAAGUAAUAGUUUCAUAAAAAAAUAUACACUAAAAAAAUAAUCCUUACAUUAGGAACGUAAUGCUCGAUGAAUGAAACACGAGUUUCGCAAAAACAGCAAAGGAUGCAACCACGCACAUUGAUUAGAUGAUUUCCAAUUAUAAAGGACAUUGUAUCAAAUGAAAGAACUAUUAUGAUUUUGGAGAGAGAUGCAAAUAAUAAAAUACACUCCUACUAGUACCAAACUCUUGCUAAAAAUAAGAAGCAGACUCCUUAACAAAACAACUAAUUACUCUACGAAAUUAUUUUUUGUUUUGUUUUGCCACUUAAGAAUAUUUUACUACAUUUUACCCUCCUAAACUAUUUUCUUUUUAAUUUGAGGCGCUAGUCAAAUUGACAUUUUAUUUUGCACCCUUGCGCCGACCGUACAGAGAAUAAAAUAAGCACCAGUUGUGUUUCCUUUUCUUUUUCUUUUUCUUUUCCUAUACUUCCUUAAUAAUGUUAUUGUUGGGUAAAUUUCGAUGGUUAAAAUUAGUAAAAACUUAUUUGUAUGGAGUGGUUACGUCAAAUAAUAGAUGUGCGACAUACUAUUUAACGGUGAUUAGUUAAUGCAUAUGUUUUAUUACAUUAAAUCAAACGAAAGCCUUGGAGCAACAGUAAAAUUAUGUCUGUAUACAUUACAUGUUCGAGUUGUGAAAGCAACUGCUAAUACUUGCAUCAUGAUAGACAGGGAUGGAGCUACCGAACCCCCUUCGACAAAAAAUUAUACUAUAUAUAUACAUGGUUAAAAUUAUUUUUUAUGUAUAUAUAUAUUAGAUGUUGAACCCCCUUCGAUAAGUUCAGAUGUUCAUUAUGAACCCUUAGUGAAUAUUCUGGCUCCGCCAAUAAUGAUAGACCGCCUACAUUACACCCACUCGGUACUUGCCCAAGUCUAUCCUUUUUACCAAAAUACGUUAGAAUUUUGUUGGUGUAAACACCAGACAGUAGUGAGGAAAAUAAAGCAUCAUCUUAGAUCUCCAGAUGCUAAAGGCAUUCCUAUAUUGUUAUAUAUACCAUAUAAUUUACGAAAUUGUAACUAAUAUUAAUAAGAAAUUUCAAAUUUUAAACAUUUUCGUUAAUUUAGUUAGAUUGUACACAUGAGUGGUAAAUAACGGUAAAAUUUCUCUCUUAUUAAAUUAACAAAUUAAAAUUUUCAGAGUUAAUAACUCAAGUAAUCACUCAACUAUAAACUUUUAUUCUAAAAAAAUCAUUCAACUUUGUUCUUUACCUUAAAUGUCACUCAGCUAUAAAUUUUUAUUUCAGAAAGUAACACAACUUUGAUCUUUACUUCAAAAGUCACUCCACUAUUAAAUUUUUACUGAGAAAGUCACUCAAUCCAUUUAAUUAUUUUAAAAAAAAUAAAAUUUGCUUAUGUAAAAUUUCUAUUUAAAAAAUAAAUUCUGAAAAAUAAAAAGUUUCCAUUUAAUGACCGUUUUAUUCUUAUUUCCUUAAAUUAAUAUCUCGUCGUCCUCUUUUUUCUUCUUCUCAUAAAUUUUUUCGUGACUCGAAUAUUUACAGUAUAAUUAAAUAGAAAUUUCAUAAAAGCAAAUUUUAUUUUGUAAAAAAUAAUUAAAUAAUUUGAAUGACUUUCUAAUUAAAAAUAUAAUUGUUGAGUGACAUUUAAAAUGGAGAUGAAAAUUGAGUGACUUGAAUGUAUAGACAACUUUGCACCUCGUAUCGGUAGAUUCGAGAAGGCCCCAAGAGGAAUUCUUCUUCACAAUUUCUGGGUUUUAGAAUAAUCAAUGGACCCCUAAAAUAUUCGAUUGAAGGAGUGUAUCGAUCAAGCACUCAUGAAACGUUUUCGUUUUCUGAGAAAAUUAUCAAAUUCCAAUGAAAAACCCUUCAUUGCUGUAUUAGCUUUGGCUGCUGCUGGAUUUUUUUCUAGCAAUGAAACCACCAGUUCAAGAACAUCAAUUUUGGUUUCGUUACCCGAUCCCGAUCCCUUAAAAGACAGACUCGUUCGUUCUGCGGCCGACCAAUCUCAAGUGUAUAUUUUCCCAUCGUGUUUUGCUAGAAGAAUUGGUUUGGACUCACCUGGGAAUGUGAAGAAAGAAGGUUCUGGGGAAGAUGACGACGAUGGUGAGAAGAAACAUAAAUGUUGUAAUUGUUUCGGACGAGAUACUAUUGCCAAUGCAGCUGCCACUGUUGGUCCUGCUGUUGUUAAUAUCUCAGUAUCAAGGAGCUUUCACGGAUUGAGCGCUGGAAGGAGUAUAGGAUCAGGAACUAUAAAAGAUGCUGAUGGCACUAUUUUGACUUGUGCCCAUGUGGUUGAUUUUCAAGGCUUGAGGAUUUCGUCAAAAGGAAAGGUUAUGUGACUUUGCAAGAUGGCCGUGUAUUUGAGGGUACCGUGGUCAAUGCGGAUUUGCAUUCUGAUAUUGCAAUUGUUAAGAUCAAAUCUACAACUCCACUUCCAACUGCAAAACUUGGCACUUCAAACAAGCGGCUUCGCCCUGGGGAUUGGGUGGUGGCUAUGGGUUGCCCCCUUUCUCUCCAAAAUACAAUUACAGCAGGCAUUGUGAGCUGCGUCGAUCGUAAAAGUAGUGAUCUUGGACUUGGAGGCAUGCGGCGAGAGUAUCUGCAGACUGAUUGUGCUAUUAAUGCUUGAAAUUCUGGAGGACCUCUAGUAAAUGUCGAUGGAGAAGUAGUCGGAGUUAAUAUCAUGAAAGUACUGGCAGCUGAUGGUUUGGGCUUUGCCGUACCAAUUGAUUCGGUUACCAAGAUUAUAGACCACUUCAAGAAUAGGGGGAGAGUUAUUCGACCUUGGUUGGGUUUGAAAAUGCUCGAUCUAAAUGAUAUGGUUGUUGCACAGCUUCAGGAAAGAGAUCCAUCUUUCCCAAAAGUCAACAAGGGAGUUCUUGUAUCAAUGGUGACUCCAGGGUCCCCCUGCUGAUCGUGCUGGAUUUCACCCUAGUGACGUGGUUGUUGAAUUUGAUGGAAAUCCUGUUGGGACAAUAAAGGAGAUAAUUGAUAUAAUGGGUGACAACAUUGGGAAACAAUUGAAUGCAGUGGUGAAAAGAGUCAAUGAUGUUACUGCUACGUUGAGGGUAAUUCCAGAAGAAGCUAAUCCUGAUAUGUGAAAUGCAAUGUUUUGUCCUCACAGAAGGAUUAUAUAUUUUUCUGAUUUCAAUCUCAAAAAUCAGAAGCUGAUCAGGUACUGCGUAUUGUGAUUGUCCUAUAUGAACCUAUUACAAACUGAUAAGCAUUUUGUAAAGUAAUAACUACACUGGCUCUAUUUAGAAAGUGUAUCUUUCUGCAUUUUGAUCAGCAUGAAUAGGCUAUCAAUGUCUGCAUUUUCAUCAUUAGUUGGUUCAUAUUAUCUAUUCCAUCAGCCAGUUGAUCUUCAUCUUCAUUCAGUUCAUUGGGGUGCCUGCAUCUUGAUCAUCAUUCUGUUCAUUAGUGUCUUCAUCUUGAUUAGCAUUUUGCUCAGCAGCUCCUAAAUCUUGUUCAUUAGAAACCUGUUCAUUAGCAUCUCCAUAUUGAUCAGCAUUUUGCUCAGUAGCACCCACAUCUUGUUCAUUAGGAACCUGUUCAUCAGUGUCUCCAUCUGGAUCAACACUUUUCUCAUUAGCACCUACAUCUUGCUCAUUAGGACACCGUUCAUUCGCAUUUCCAUCUUGAUCAGCAUUUUACACAGUAGAGCCCACAUCUUAUUCAUUAGGAAUCUCUUCAUUAGUGUUUCCAUCUUGAUCAGAAUUUUUUUCGGUAGCUCCCAUAUCCUGUUCAUUAGUGUUACCAUCCGGAUCAGUAUUUUGCUCAUUAGCACCUACAUCUUGAUCAUUAGGACCGUGUUCAUUAGCGUAUCCAUCUUGAACAGCAUUUUGCUCAGUAGCGCCUAAAUUUUGUUCAUUGGGAACCUGUUCGUUAAUGUCUCCAUCUUGAUCAGCAUUUUGCUCAUUAGCGCCACCAUCUUGAUCAAUAUUGUCUGCAUUCAGAGUAGAGGCUAUCAUUGUCUGCAUUUUCAUCAAUAUUAUCUAUUCUAUCGGCCAGUUGAUCUACAUCUUCUUUCAGUUCAUUGGCGCGCCUCCAUCUUCAUAGAUCAUUUCUAUUCAUUAGCGUCUCCAUUUUGAUCAUCAUCCCAUUCAUUAACACCUCCAUCUUGAUCAGCAUUUUUGCUCAAUAGCGCUUCCAUUUUGAUCAUGAUCCCGUUCAUCUUCACCUCCAUCGUGAUCAUCAGGAGCCUGUCCAUUAGCUCCUCCAAAGAGAAAAUUAAGCAACGUUACAUCAUUCCAGUAAAUAAGCUUGUCCCUGCAGCAAAAUAUUUAUUUGGAUUAACACCUUACAAGUCAUGUGCACAUGUGUUUGUAAUUUUCCGUGUAAAAGUCUACUACCUUUUACUAGGGAUAGAUUUUCCAUUUUUCUUUUCCCCUAAGAAUAUUUUAAAUCACUUUACUUCUACUAAUUUUUAUAAAAAGUUACAUUUGUAAUUUACGGUGAAAAUUGGCUAGAAAGUUCUAGUCAGAUUUUUAUUUGAAACUUAACAAGCUGGAGAAGCCUAUAACUAAUUUUCUUACCUUUUACUCACACCUAUGACAAGUAAAAAGAAAAAACUGGAGAACCCUCUAACACCAAGUUUUCAUAGUGAUAACUCGUGAGAUUAAUUUUAGAAUGAGCUUAUCCCAUGUUUGGUUGGGAUAAAAUGUAUGGGAUAACUCAUCCCGGGAUUGUAGUGCUACUUUUAUCCCACCUUGAGGGUGGAAUAACUAAUCCCGGGAUAACUUGUUAUCUCGACCAAACAACCCUUGAAGUUCUCCGGUUCGAAUCCGGGUGAAGCCAUUCUGAACUAUGUUUUGGAGUUUUCCUUACGUGCCAAAUUGGAGUGCAACUUACUUAAGAAACCAGGAGCCUCUUGUUGAGACUUGCUGUGGUGAAAGGAAAACUCAAUCAGUACCCUCAGGACUACGUUAGGCGUUUAGGCAUUUUAGGCAGCGAUAUACUUUAGUACCCUCAAUCAGUAAUUGCUGUACAUACAGCAACACUACACGAGGCAACAACAAGCAUAUAAUCAUCCCAUUUGAGUUCAUUCUGACUAGCUUCUCCACUUCUGCAGUUUGAAAAAUGUCUGCAUUUACAAACAAAAUAGCGCCUUCUUUAUAUGGAUAAGUUAUCAAGGCCCCAAGGUGUCGCGGUACAGCUGGCUAUCACGUCAGUCUAACACAUAGAAAGCGACACUAUAUACUCUUUUACUAAUUAUUCUUUUGAUUUUUCCUAAUCGUUCUUCUCAAUAGAUGAAGUUUGAGGAUCAUUUCUAAGCCGAACAAGACAGAAGAAAUGGCUAAGAAACAGCAGUUGUACAAAUCUACAUUGCGAUAUCCUCUUGACAAAAGGAAUACAAACGUUUACAUCUGUUCAAGUUCACAGAUUUCAGAAGGUUACUUUUUAGCAAUAUAUUAAACAAUUGAACAGUAGAAAACAGAAACUCAAAUUUGUAUAAAAUAAGCAUUGAGCACUGACGAUUUAGUUGGAAUAUACUGGGUAGUCAAUACUAAAACAGCUUCCUGAAAGCCCCAUGAAUAAACACUCCUGUGUGGCUUUGAAAAUUUCAGUAAAUUACACUCUUACCAAACAGAUUUGGAGAUGUCAAAUGACGAUAUAGUUUUAAACAGACGCAGAAAGCAACAUGAAUAAACAAAAGUAGACUCUGCUAUCUGCUCAUAAAAGAAACAUCAUCAUUCCCCACAGUAGUCACUGCAUUUUUAAAGAAAACAAAACUAAAACUUAUAGCAGUUGCAGUGGACUUGCUUCAAAAUAUUAAAAGAUAAACCAAGCAGCAGACAGAGAACGGUGGUUCAGUGUAUGCAUGUAAAAGGUUCAGUGUCAAUUGCUAGGUUCCAACCUGAAGUAAUAAUACGUAUCCAAUCCCCAAAUCAAAAAGAGGAAAAAGAAUAUCACACAGUUAUGAAUUAGCAUUUUGUAAAGUAUGAACUAUGACUCCAUUCAGAAAAUGUGCAUCUUUCAGCAUUUUGAUCAGCAUGAAUAGGCUAUCAAUGACUGCAUUUUCAUCAAUAUUAUCUAUUCCAUCAGCAAGUUGAUCUACAUCGAUGUCCUCCUUCGCUUCCUUUGCGCGCCUCCAACUUCAUCUUGAUUAGCAUUUUGCUCAUUAGCGACCACAUCUUGUUCAUUAGGAACCUGUUCAUUAGCGUCUUCAUCUUGUUCAGCAUUUUGCUCAUUUGCACCUAAAUCUUGUUCCAUAGGAACCUGUUCAUUAGCGUCUUCAUCUUGAUCAGCAUUUUGCUCAUUAGCGCCUAAAUCUUGUUCCAUAGGAAUCUGUUCAUUAGCAUCUCCAUCUUGAUCAGCAUUUUGCUCAUUGGCGCCACCAUCUUGACCAGCAGGAGCCUGUUCAGUAGCGCCUCCAAUUCCAAGCAGAGAAUUAAACAAUGUUACACCUUUCCAGUCAAUAAGCUCGUUCCUGCCACAAAAUAUUCGAUUGAAUUAACACCUUACAAGACAUAUCGCAUAUGUGUGCAGACCCAAUUUGCAAGUUCUUAAUCAGAAACUUACAAAUCCAUGCUGAAAUGUCCUACUUUAAUAUUCUCUGUUGGUUCGGGGACUGCAAUCUGAGAAAUCAUACAUUCUUUAAUUUAAGAGAAAAAAAAAGAGCAACAAAAUCGUCUUGUUAUCAUGAAUAUCAAAUGAUCUUUAAUGUUAGUAUCUUACAAAUUUCGACCCGAUCAGCAUUUUACAUCCUGAACAGCGAACAUGGGCUAGGGUAUUCCGACCUAUUACUUUGCGAUUUCGCGCAUCCUCUGAAACGUCAACAUCAAUCCUGCAUAUAUGCCCCAGGAAAAAGCUUAGACAAAUAAUAAACAGCGCAAGAUUCUGAAAUUUCAUGAGAUUAUGAGACUUACAUUCUAGUAAAGAUCCCUGCAUCAGCUAAGUCUCUUUUCUGCAAAUUAAAGUGGACAAGACCAUAAAAAAUGAGCAUAAUAAGUUGUGAUGUAGUUAGUCAAGAAAUAUAAUAAUCAUACAUCAUAUCCUCUCUAUGAAAUCAGUAGCAAUUUGGUUAUCAAAGAAAAUAUCUGUAGCCCACAGAGACAUUUGGUGCGCUUACAAACAAAUUGAUACUAUAACAAAUUGCAAGAAAUGAUACAGAAAGAGUGAGAAUCCUUACGUUUAGAAAGUAAUACUUGACGAAUGAAACCGUAGCGUUGCAGCCACGACAAUGGAUGCGAUCUUCAGAAGGGAUUACCAUUGUAUCAACUUUGUGGAAUCAAGAAGCAACUAACUCCUAAUAGAUAUGUUUCACCUGUUACACAACAAAGUGGACGAGAAAUUUUAAAGAUGCAAGACUUUACUGUAUCGAGUUUAUCAAUGGAAAAAGAAGAGAGAGAGAGAGACCAACUUCGAAACAAGAAUAGAGCUCUGAAUUUACUGAGAGAAUUGAAGAAAGUAAAAACAAAUAAUGGGUGGGAAUGUUUCAAGUUAAUGGGACUGAGAAGAGAAUGUUUAUAUAGAAAAUUAAGUCAAUUCUUGAUUCUUGAAUUCAGAGGAGGGAUAUUGUAUCAACUUUGUGAAUCAAGGACCUGUUACGUUGCACAGUAAAUUUUCUUCAACAAAGUGGAAGAGAAAUAUCAAAAUUGAGAAUUCAAGAAAGUGCAAAAUGGAAAUGAGAAGAGAAUGUUAAUAUAUAGAAAAGUUGGUUCUUGAUUCUUGAAUCCAAGUUAUGUAUUUACCGUUGAAUUAAUUCAUAUAGGAGGGAAAUCUUGAAAUUAUUACAUUAAGAAGAUUGUUCAAUUUACCCUCCAAAUUAUAUAGUUUUAAAUUUCUGACAUUAGUGUAUUGACAUUUUACUUUUAAUCACAUAUACUGCAACCGACUUAAAAUUGUAUAGAGAACCGUUGCGUUUCCUUUUCCUUGCGAGUUACGAGAAAUAUAGUUGGAAAUAAUUUUAUUUCUAUUUCACUUUGGGAUAAUACCCACGAAAAUAUUUGAACUUUGAUCGAAUUUUCAGUUGAGCAUACUAAACUUUGCGGGGGUCCUAUNNNNNNNNNNNNNNNNNNNNNNNNNNNNNNNNNNNNNNNNNNNNNNNNNNNNNNNNNNNNNNNNNNNGAAUAUAUAUAUAUAUAUAUAUAUAUAUAUUUAUUUUGUGUCUUUAAAUUGUAAUAUUUAUUCAUUAAUUGCUAAUAAAAUGAUCCAAAAUUCAAUAUAAACUUAAAACCUAAAUUUUUCACUUUUCAUCUUAUAUUUUAGUUUCAAGAGAGUUUUUCGCUCCUCAAUUUUUCAUAAUUGUGAUUUUUUAUUAGCGCAUGGAUGAAAACAUACUUGAUCUAAACUUCAAUCACAAUAUAAUUGUCAAAAAUAAAUAUUAUAAAAAAAAUCUGAGAAAAACAGAAAAAAUCGAAAAAACCAAAAGAACCGACUAAAACCUAAACCGAAAAAAUCGAUUUUAUGUUGGUUUGAUUUGAUUUAUAGUUUUAAUAAACCGACAUAAUUGAUUUGUUUUUUUUCAAUAGAAAACCAAACCAAACCGACCUAUGUACACCCCUAUAUCCAACAAUGGUAUUGUUCUUCUCCAAAAUUAGCAGUAGCAGCAGACCAAAACAAUGGUGUUGUUCUUCUCCAAAACAACAUCAUUACAACCCAAACAUUGACAUCCAACAUCCCAAAACAACCAAAAACUCAGAAAGUUUCAAUCUUUACACUCCCCAAGUUCAAUUUAAUAGAAAAAAUAGCAAAAAUUUGCUUCAGAGAAUUCGAAUCACCAAUCUUGAAAGAAACUUUAAAAUGCAUCAUUUAAAAAAAAGAAUAAAAAAUUCAUAAUUUGAGAAAAUCAUCUUCACAGAUUUCUUGAGAAUUCGAAAUUUCAAUUACUAUCAAGAUUGAAGAAGACCCAUUUGGUGUGUGUAUUGAAAUUGAGUCAAAUUGAUGUAAUUGAAUUGGAUGUGUUAAAGAUAACUAAUUUGAUGCGUGUGUAUGUGAUGAAAUUGUGUUCAAUUCAAUUUGAAAUUGUGUUCAAUUCAAUUCCAAGUCAACCAUGGAACACCCAUGAAACACCAUUGAAGAGAAGAAAGACAUAAAAGAGAAGAAAAAACAGAGCAGAUAUAUAUGAAAAAUAAAUAAAAAAUCAUUUAAUUUAUAAAAAUUAGAAAAUUGAGGGUUGUUUUGACAAAACAGAAAGGUUUUUAAACGAUUUUUAACACUUUCAUACGUCCAAUGCGCGUGAAUUACACGCAAUGAUCCAAGGGGUCUGAUAUAUGUCAUUAAAAUAUAGAAAAAAAGUCUAGGGGGUAAUACAACCCAAGCAAAGUUCAGUAUGCUCAACUGAAAAUCCAGUAAAAGUUUAGGAGUUUUUGUGGGUAUUAUCCCUUUCACUUAAGAAAAAGAGCAAGUGUAUCUUAACAAAUGUUAUUGUUGUGUGAAUUUCGAUCUCAAAAACUUGGAAAGUUCGCUCAAUGAAAGAUUAAGUUUAUGGGUGGAAUUAGAGGGGAUAAAAUUAGUAGAGCCGUCAAUAUGGGGCCAAGGACCAAUGGGUCAGCCAGGCCCGACUUGUAAUUUGAUUGGGUGGGUUUCAAUUUUUGUAGCCCAUUUAAGAACAUAGCUUUUUAGCCUGGCCCGGAUAAGCCCAUGGCCCGUAGGGCUUGAGGAAUGUGGGUUGGGCUAGUCCGUAGGCCGGCCCGUCAGUCAAAUAAUAAAUAAUUUAUAAAUAAAAUAAAAUACUGAAAAAUAAUAAAAGAGUUAAAAAACAUUCAAAUUCAAUGAUGACCAUUGACCAAUUCCAUUAACAAAGAAAAUGGAAACUGGAUAAUUUCCUACUUUCCUAUCUAAUACAUAAUAAAAUAAUUACAUAUCUACCACUAAAACAUAAAGAGUACAUUGUACUCUUCACUUUCCUAAUUUUCUUAGUUCAGCUAGCCGCCGCCUCUUCACUGUAUCUCCCUCAACGCGUCAUCGGCUUUCAACCGUGAUGGUUCUGAUUGAGUAGUGUCACCUCUUCGUUUUCUUCCUACUUUGGGUGAUUCGAGCUCUGGCUCCCUUUUGAUUAACAAACAUUAAUAUUAUGUGUUAUUGUGUGAUAAAUAUUUAUGUUUAUUAACAGUGUAAAAUUAAAUUAUAAAAUAUUAUUUUUUAAGAAGUGGGCUGGCCCGUGAGGCCCGUAGCCCACAGGGUAAUAACGUGGGCUUGGUGUUUUUUGACCCGUCAUUUAAAUGGGCCAGCCCGACCUGACCCAUCAAACUCAAAGCCCGUAUAGGCUGGACCAACCCGUAUUGACAGCUCUAAAAAUUAGCCAAGAAAUAUAACACUCUCACUUCAUUCGAAAUGACCUGCUUCGUACUCCCUCCCUCCGUUCAUUUUUACUUAUCAUAUUUUUAAUUGACACAUUUAUUAAGAAAAAUAAUUAAUAGUAUAGUUAUUUUCUCAUAGUAUUUUUAUUAAAUGAUGUUUACAUUGUGUCUUGAAAAUAAUUUGAAGAAAAAACAAUUAAUACUAAAAGUAAAAUAGAAAAAAAGAAAUUAUUUUUUCUUAUUGACAAUCAAAAGGGAGCGGAGGGAGUAUUAGGUCGACGCAAUUAAAAAUUGGGCCGAUAUGUAGCGCCUUAUGAUGAAUCUUGUCAAAACAUUUUCAAAUAGUAAUAUUUUUUAAUUUAAUAUGUUAUAUACCGUCAUGAUUAAAACAAAUAAUUUUAUAAUGUACUAAAAAUUAUAAAAUAAAAAAAUAAAGCAAUUAAAAUACAAUAUGAAUUGAGCCUGAAUUUUCAUCAUUAAUUGAUGUGUUUGUAUUUAGAGCAAUAUUGCAUCAGCCAGUUGAUGUGCAUCUUCAUUUAGUUCAUUUUGCGCCUCCAUCAUUAAAUUCUUCAUCAAACAUUGAGUCAUUAUUUCAAUAAACAAGCUUGUUCAUGCCACAAGACCAAAAAAAAAAUUCAUGUUAGUACUUUAUAAAUCAUAAUAUCAUAUAGCAUAUGAGUAUGGAGGGGCUGCAAUCUGAACAACUGAAAAGAAAAAAAAAAAACAAUUAAAGCGAAGCUGCAGCAAAUGCUCUUGUUCAUCCUUAGCAACAUUCCACAUUUGAUGCAGUAAGUAUCAGCUAUGGUUUUGUCAUUUACUUGCUUAUGGUGUUUCUGCAUUAACGUAUAAUUUCUAUGCCAACUUGUAAGAAGUCAGGGUGGUAGUAGUACUUCCUUCAUUCUUGUCAAUUAGUACUGGUUCAUUUCCUAGGAUUGGUAAAGUAACGUCUAGCCCUCUUGCUUGUACUUAUCCUUUUUGACGAUAUUUUUGACAAUAGCAACUUGCUAACAGGACUACUUCUCUAAGAAUUAUUUAGUGAAAGUUUAGUCUGGAGCAAGAACAGGAUUUGUUUUAGCUCUUAAGCCUUUAGGCAGCUGUAAACUUCAGUAAAUUAUAGAGCAGUACACAGAACUCCAAACGCUGUAAAUAUGUUUCAUGUAGCCGAUUUUUAGAUGUCAAACUAAAUGAUACACGGAUAGCCUUUUUCUAAGGCCACCCUCCAGUACUAACGUUAGCCACGAGGCAGCAUAGAGAGAAGCCUUUCAGAAUCUCCGAAAUUAUUUGUGCAUCGCCAUAUUACAAGAUAACAAUAUAGUGGAUUGUGCUGUCUGCUCAUAAAUUAACUCGAGGGUGAUAACAAAAGCCAUCAGAUAUACAAUUUUCAAAUAUAUGUGUUAGAGAUUCAACUUUACCACACACUGGAACAUCAUUUUUCCCACAUUUUUAAGGAAAGAAAAAAGUUCACUAGCAUUUACUGUCAAGCAACAUCCAAGGAAGUAUAGUCAAAUGCUUAGAUAGUUGACUUGCUUUAGGAAAUUAAAAGAUAAACUAAGCAGCAAACAGAGAAAGGUAGUACCCGAGCUCAAAUAUGUGACAAGUUCAGUGUCAAUUGCUUUGUUCCAACUUGAAGUAAUAACAUGUACUGUAAUCCUAGAAUCAAAAGAGAAAAAUGAAUAUCACACAAUUAUGAAUUAGCAUUUUGUGAAGUAUGAACUCUAUUCAGAAACUGUGCAUCUUUCUGCAUUUUGAACAGCAUAAGUAGGCUAUCAUUGUCUACAUUUUUAUCAAUAUUAUCAAUUCCACCAGCCAGUUGAUCUACAUCUUCCUUCGUUUCGCUGGCACGCUUCCAUCUUGAUCAUGAUUCCGUUCAUUAGCAUCUGCAUCUUGGUCAGCAUUUUGCUCAUUAGCGCCUCCAUCUUGUUCAUUAGGAUCCUGUUCAUUAAUGCCUCCAACUUGAUCAUUAGGACCUCCAUCUUGUUCAUCAAGAACCUGUUCAUUAAGGCCCCCAUCUUGAUCGUUAGCGCCUCCAUCUUGUUCAUUAGGAACCUGUUCAUUAACACCCCCAUCUUGAUCACUAGCACCUCCAUCUUGAUCAGCAUCAGCGCCUACAACUUGAUCAGCAUUUUGCUCAUUAGGAUCCAGUUCGUUUGCACCUCCAACUUGAUCAUUAGCGCCCCCAUCUUGGACAGCGUUAUCAGGUACAACUUGAUCAGCAUUUUGCUCAUUAGGAGCCUGUGCAUUUGCACCUCCACUUUGAUUAUUAGCUCCUCCACCAUGCUCAGCAUUAGCAGGUACAACUUGAUCAGCAUUUUGCUCAUUAGGAGCCUGUGCAUUUGCACCUCCAUCAUGGUCAGCAUUCUCAGGCACAACUUGAUCAGCAUUUUGCUCAUUAGGAGCCUGUGCAUUUGCACCUCCAAAUUGAUUAUUAGCGCCUCCAUCGUCAGCAUUAGCAGGUACAACUUGAUCAGCAUCGUGCUCAUUAAGAGCCUGUGCAUUCGCACCUCCAACUUGAUUAUUAGCGCCUCCGUCUUGGUCAGCAUUAGCACCUCCAACUGGAUUAUUAGGAGCCUGUACGUUAGCACCUCCAACUUGAUUAUGAGGUGCCUGGGCAAUAAUGUCUCCAAAGAGAUAGUCACUCAACAUCACACGAUUCUGGAACAUAAGCCGGUCCCUGCCACAAAAUGCUCAUCUUAAUAACACCUUAGAAGUCAUACCGGGUGGGUAUAUGUAGUGUCUCAUUUUUUCAAGUUUAUAAUGAGAAACUUACAUUCUCACAGAGAAUCUUCCUAUCAAAUUCUGAGAUGGUUGGGUGUCUACAGUUUGAAGAAAUCACAAAUUCUGUACUUUAAGAAAAAAAGAACAAUAAAAUCGUCUUGUUCAUGAAAAUCAAAUGCUCUUUUCCACCCAAGCCAUUCGUUACACUGCAUACAGCAAGUAACUAAUCUGACUGAUUGGGUAUUUCCAUGUAGUUGAUCAAUCAUUGGUAGUAUUUUAACAUUUCUCCUGCAUAUAAUACACAGACCUCAGAAAAAGAUCUUAGGCAAAUAAUAAAAUCACAAGAUGCUGAAAUCACCCAAUUUUCGAAAUUGCAUGAGACUUACAUUCUAUUAAAGUGCCCUCCCCACACAAAGUCAUCCCGCUGGACAAGAAAACGAACAUAAUGAGUAGUUCUGUGCUUAAUCAAGAAAUAUAACAGAACACGAGUACAAAUAUCUGGGGAUUGAAUCCUCUUUAUGAAAUGAGUAGCGAUUUCAUCAAAAUAUACUUAUGAUUGCAUAGAAUUCAGUUCCUAAAUUGGGGUAUCAAAGAAAACAGUUUAGUGUGUUCAGAAGAAAUGAUGCAGAGAGAUGGAGUGAGAAUCCUUACAUCAGGAAUGAAAUCCUCGACAAAUGCAACUGGAUUAUUGCAAGAACUGCAAUAGAUGUAAUCACGACGAUCGAUACCUUGUGGAUCAACUGGAAAGUUUUCUUCCGUUCUAAUAUAUAUGUUCAACCUGUUAUAGAACAAAUUUUCUUCAACAAAGAACAAGGCGGAAUAGAAAUACCAAAAGAAUCAAUGGAGAAAAAAAAAAUAACUAACUUCGAAUCAGUUUAUGAAUAUAACUUGGAGCGGAGCUGGUAGAAAAAUGCACAACAGUAAGAAGAGAAUGUUAAUAUAGAAAAGCCACUUCUUGAUUCUUUAAUCCAAGCUCUGUAUUGACGGUUACUUCAAAAAGGAGGGAAAUUCAACUAUAUUUUAUUUUAUAUUUUUUCCCUUGACAAGAUUUUACGCUUUACCCUCCACAAUUCUGAAAUUAGUCAGAGUGAAAUUUACAUUUAAAAGAUUUUACAUGUAAAUCAAGUCUCAAUAGUUGAAACAAAAGUAACUUUUUUGCGAGGCAUAAAUUUAUAAAUUUGCAUCAUAAAAUUUCACAUGUUAUGUCUAGUGUCCUUAAAAGAACUUAUGUCCCACUAGGCAUAAGUUUGAUUGCUAAGGACAAAAAUUAAAUAUCAACCAUUUUGAAAGGCAAAGUUGCAAUUACAUAUUUUAGUGAAAAAACUUUCAUAGGAGAAUUAUUUAAAAUUAUAAUUUUAAAAUAUUUAUUGCUACACAAAGACUAUAACACAUUAAAAAAUAAUUUCAUUAAUGAUGCUUUUCGCUGUUAUUAUUAUUUUAUAUAGUUAUUUAUCAAGGUAGAAUGAGAAAAAGUAGUAAAUCUUUUUUAAUUUGCUAAAUAGACAAGUUAAAUGAAACAUCUAUUUUUGGUUUGGAGCCAAGUAAGACGGUAUUUCGUAAUAACGAACUAUGAAAGUUUCAAAUAGCCCAUAAUUUUCUUUUUUCGUAAAAGUUUAAAGGCAGAACCAUCAUUAGACACCUAACGUUAGCACGACUUUUCACUUAAGACACUUCAAGUAAACCUUGUACUUUUACUUAUAGAGUCCUACACAGAACUCAUAUAGCAGAUUUGUAGAUGUCAAACUAAAUGAUCGUAAAUCAACUCCAGGGUGAUCGUAAAAGCCAUCAGAUACACACUUUUCAAAUAUGUGUUGGAAUUUAACUUCACCACUGUGGGCGAUGCAAUUUUGAAUAUUUAAAUCCGUAUAAAAUUUGGAUUAUAUUAAAUUUAAAAUAUAUUAGUCCCAAAUAAAUAUUUUGGAUUAAUAUAAUUGGAUUAAUUAUUUAAGUCCAAACAUAUAUGGAUUUAAUUAAAGUCCAUUUUUUUAUUGGGCUAGCCCAUUGAUUUGGGCUACAAAUGAUGAGUCUACUUUGCUAAGCCCAAUAUAUUGUCAUAUUCUAUAGGCCCAAAUAAAUGUCACGUGUCAAAUGACGUGGCAUGCCAAGUCAAGUGAAGGAGCCAAUAGGACCAUUCCACAUGUCAAAAUAAUGCAGCAACCCAAUAAAAUCAAAGCCCAUAAAGGCGCCACAUCACUUGAAUUUGAUUGGUCAAAGAAAGUCCAUCUUCAUCAUCACUCUUCCUUUUCUACAACUAUAAAUAGGGGUCUCAUAAUUCAGAAAGAGGGACCCCAGAACUCUAACAAGUAGCGAGAGAAAGCUCGUGGAUCAAACGCCACAAUUUCUCUAAAAAGCUCAAGCAUUCAAAUCAAGUUCAUUAAGAUUCAAGAUUAAGACCGCAAUAUUCAAGAACAAGCUCAAAAACCCUUGAAUUCAAGCACAAGUCAAGAUCAAGCCCCUCAAAGCAUUCAAAUCAAGUUCAAAUUCAAGAUCAAGCUUUAAACUCUUGAAUUUAUAUUAGAAAAAGCGAAUCAGAGGAUUCAUAGAGAUUGUAAUAUCACAUAUUAAAAUUAAUAAAUUGAUUUUUACAAUAUAUUUUUCUUGUUUCGAAGUAUUGUUUUUCGAUCUCAAAAACUUUAUUGUCCAACAAAUUCUAGCACACCCAGUGGGACUAUCUCUACCUCUCAUCUCAAAUUUUUCAACUGCAAAGUUAAACAACAUUGAAAUGACUUCCAAGAAGGUUAAAUCUCAAUCAACUGUUUCCAAGGCUGCUGAUUCAAAGUUCUCUGCUGAAGUAGAAAGAAUCUUUGGCGUUACUUUCGAAAGCUUAGGAGUUGUGUAACGCCCCGCAUUUUGGGCUAGAAUAAAAACCAUGAUUUCGAUGCGUUGCUAAUUUUGAAGCCAUAAAAUCCUGUGCCAAUACGGCAUGUUAAUUAUUGUGUAGCAUGUGAAUCCGCUCAAGCUUGAAUUUAGACCAUAGAGGUCCUUCAACUCAAGGACGAGUUGAAACUAUUUCGAUCGACUAAGUUUUAGUAGACGUUGUAAAGUGUGUCAGCUUCCAUCGACCAUAACUCUCUAUGUAUGUUGAAUUAGGAAGCCUACUAUCUGUCAAUGAUAGGUAUUCGAGUUAGCUUUCCAACGAUACUAAUUUGGCUAAAAUUCAACACCCGAGCAAGAAGUUAUGGCCCUUCAAAGUGAUAAGCGAUGCCUAACCAAUCGCCCAUGGCCACUGAAAAGCAUAGGCGAUAGCCUAGGCGGCGCCUAUGUGAAGAUAGGCGAUGGGAUGGGCGGCGCCUAUGUAAGGAAUUCUGGUGAAUUAAACACUCCGUGUUAAGGACAAAGUGGUCCUUUUCCACCCUUACUUAGCCCUAAAAAACUAGAUUUAGUUCCAAAGACCACAAAAUACUUAUUCUUUCAUCAAAAGUGCUCAAGAUUCUCCUUAGGGUUUCAACAUAAAAACCCAAAUAGUUCAAGAUUUGACCGUAGGUUUUCAAAGAUAAUUACAUAUUUGGAAUCACCAAUCCGCAAGCUUCAAGAAACAUCUAUUAUCCUUGGAAAUAGANNNNNNNNNNNNNNNNNNNNNNNNNNNNNNNNNNNNNNNNNNNNNNNNNNNNNNNNNNNNNNNNNNNNNNNNNNNNNNNNNNNNNNNNNNNNNNNNNNNNNNNNNNNNNNNNNNNNNNNNNNNNNNNNNNNNNNNNNNNNNNNNNNNNNNNNNNNNNNNNNNNNNNNNNNNNNNNNNNNNNNNNNNNNNNNNNNNNNNNNNNNNNNNNNNNNNNNNNNNNNNNNNNNNNNNNNNNNNNNNNNNNNNNNNNNNNNNNNNNNNNNNNNNNNNNNNNNNNNNNNNNNNNNNNNNNNNNNNNNNNNNNNNNNNNNNNNNNNNNNNNNNNNNNNNNNNNNNNNNNNNNNNNNNNNNNNNNNNNNNNNNNNNNNNNNNNNNNNNNNNNNNNNNNNNNNNNNNNNNNNNNNNNNNNNNNNNNNNNNNNNNNNNNNNNNNNNNNNNNNNNNNNNNNNNNNNNNNNNNNNNNNNNNNNNNNNNNNNNNNNNNNNNNNNNNNNNNNNNNNNNNNNNNNNNNNNNNNNNNNNNNNNNNNNNNNNNNNNNNNNNNNNNNNNNNNNNNNNNNNNNNNNNNNNNNNNNNNNNNNNNNNNNNNNNNNNNNNNNNNNNNNNNNNNNNNNNNNNNNNNNNNNNNNNNNNNNNNNNNNNNNNNNNNNNNNNNNNNNNNNNNNNNNNNNNNNNNNNNNNNNNNNNNNNNNNNNNNNNNNNNNNNNNNNNNNNNNNNNNNNNNNNNNNNNNNNNNNNNNNNNNNNNNNNNNNNNNNNNNNNNNNNNNNNNNNNNNNNNNNNNNNNNNNNNNNNNNNNNNNNNNNNNNNNNNNNNNNNNNNNNNNNNNNNNNNNNNNNNNNNNNNNNNNNNNNNNNNNNNNNNNNNNNNNNNNNNNNNNNNNNNNNNNNNNNNNNNNNNNNNNNNNNNNNNNNNNNNNNNNNNNNNNNNNNNNNNNNNNNNNNNNNNNNNNNNNNNNNNNNNNNNNNNNNNNNNNNNNNNNNNNNNNNNNNNNNNNNNNNNNNNNNNNNNNNNUGGUGUAAAUUAUGUAGGGUAUUCCACCUAGCUCAGUUGCAUUUCAUUAUUGUUGAGAAAAACUAUUGCAUUACACUCAUGUGUUUUCAAAUGACUUGAUAUGAAAUUUCUUUAUAAUGGCUCUCAACUAUAUUUUGUAAAAAUAUUAUGUUUUGCUUUGAUAUCUCUGCGUACCAGUACUUUUGUGCUGACCCCCUCCCCUCUCCAACCUCCCAGGUUAAGAGGCCCAGUCUAGGGGUCAAGAGAAUCAGUAGAUCAUUCACACAGAGUUGUAGAGACAAGUGGUGAGCCUUCUAUGUUUCGGAAGGUCUUAUGUCCUGCAGUCCUUUUAUCUUAUAUUAGUUUUGGGUCUGCUGGGGGCCCUGUCCCAGUUUUCAGAUAGACAUUGUUUCAGUCAUGUAGUAGAGAUUUUGCAGACGGUUUUAGAGAUGUUGAUUUAGAUUGUGGGACACUAUUCCCCAUUUUCAUUUUCAUAUGAUUCUUGACCAUGUUUCCGUUAUAUUGUGUUUCUUUCGCAUUACUUUGAUCAUAUGAAUUAUGUGCAUGAUUAUCAGACAGAUAGGGGUGUUUUGGGCCUCCAUGGUUUGAAAUACUCAUCACGGCCAGGCCCUAGUUCGAGUCGUGACAAGCUAGCACGAGGAGAAAGACAAGUUUUCUAGGACAACAAAUACUUCUAGUGUCGUCCACGCCAACUCCAGUUUUUGGAUCUUCAACCCCAAAAGGAACGAAGUCCAAUGCAAGUGCUUCAAGGAGGAAGCAGUGUGGCAGAAUCGCUUAAUAAGACUUUAGAUCUACUUGAGCAUUCUGGUUCUAAAUACUCUGGCGCAAAGAGUGAUGUUCGUUCAAGCAACUCAUCAUCUCUGACCACACCGCAUAAGUUGCGCACUUCAAAGAUCAACUUGUGCAAUAAUCCAUGCUACUCUUCAACAUCUUCAGUGAUUACGCUAGCGAUGGUGACUGAUGCCUCGUGUAUGGAGGAACAACUUGUGAAUCUGACAAAGGCAAUUGAGAGCCUGACCAAAUAUAUUCAGAAUCAAGAUGCUCGAAUUGAUAAGAUAGUGGAUAGGGUGAAAUAUCUGAUAGACAAAGAAUCUAGUCAUGCACCUGGAAAAUCUCCAGAGAUUUAUGAGAUAGAAAAUCUUGUGAAACAAACACCACCGACUAAAGAGGUGUAAGUUUCUUCUGAGGAAAUGAUCCUGAUUGGGCAAUUGAGGGAAUUCAUUGAAGGGACCCUCAAAGACAAGUAUGAUGUUGUCACAAAAUCUUUCCUUGUGUAUGUCAAGCCCUACACUGCGAGGAUAAAUAGCCUCAAAAUGUCUGCCGGUUAUCAACCCCCCAAAUUUCAACAAUUUGAAGGCAAAGGGAACCCAAAACAGCAUGUCACACACUUUUGUUGAGACAUGUAACAACGUUGGAAAUUACAGUGACUAUCUUGUCAAAUAGUUUGUUCGUUCCUUAAAGGGAAACACCUUUAAUUGGAAUACGAACCUUGAGCCUAAUUUCAUCGAUAGCUAGGAGCAAUUGGAGCGCGAGUUUCUAAAUCGUUUUUAUAGCACAAGGUGUAUAGUGAUCAUGGUAGAGCUCACAAAUAAUCUCCAAAGAAAGGAUGAACCAGUUAUUGACUUCAUCAAUCGAUGGAUAAAUGCUAGCCUAAACUGCAAAGAUAGGUUCAGUGAAGCUUCUGCAAUAGAGAUGUGUGUCCAAGGAAUGCACUGGGAGCUUCUCUACAUCUUGCAAGACAUUAAGCCUAAAUCCUUUGAAAAGCUAGCUAUCCGUGCUCACGAUAUGAAGUUGAGCAUGUCUUCUGCUGGAAAGGAGGCAGUGCCUAUCCAUGACCCUCGAAGGGGAAAGGAUAAGCAGGAACCCAAAAUAUGGGCCAAGUUUGUCCCCAAAAAUAAAAACAAAGAGUCCAUGAAUGUUGAUGUGUCUCCUAUGAAGGUCACCAUAAAGGUGAGCAAGAAUCAAAGUAUGAAGAAGACUUCUGAAGCACGUCCGAAUCAGAAAACUUUAAAAGAGAUACAAGAAAAGGAAUAUCCCUUCCUUGAUUCUGAUGUUACUGAGAUUUUUGAUGAACUCCUUGAGCAUAAGCUCAUUGAUCUCCCAGAGAUGAAGCAUCCUAAUGAAGCUGGAAGGAGCAAUGGCCCUAAUUAUUGAAAUAUCAUAGGCUCAUAAGUCACCCUCUGAAAAAAUGCUUUGUCUUUAAAGAUAAAGUCAUGCAACUGGCAAAAGAGAAGAAGAUCUUCUUCGACGAUGAGACAGCCAGUUCUCAUUAAAUCUUCAUCACAUUUGGAUCGCUCAAUCCAGUCCAAAUAUGUGUUAAAGAGCAUAAUGAGAAAAUAUUAGAGUCUGAUAGGUCUUCAGUUAACGAAAACGAUGAUGAAGGUUGGACUCUGGUAACCAGGCAUAGACGCAAGAGGAUGAGUCUACAAACGGAGUUAUCCGAGCAUCCAAACAGAAGGACAAUGGUAAAGAAACCAAGGAACAAAAGUUGGUUGAAUUCCCAAAGAAGACGAGGGUGAUGGAGCUCUACCCCGAAAAACCUUAGUGUCCGGUGACUUUAGAGGAAUUGUUACUGAGUUGUUUUCGUGUAAAGAUUGCCCAAGUCAACCUUGAGGCGUCUUGUUUUAAUAUCGCCAAAGAGGGGGCAAAUGGUGAGAAUCUACCCAUGGUAGUUGUUUCAUCUUCCGAAAAGCUUGCUGAAACUCUUGGCGAAGAUGCACAUGUAUGUGAUACAAAAAUCACAUUCACAAAUAACGAUUUUCUGCUUGGUGAGGCCCUACAUAACCGUCCCUUAUACAUGGUGGGUCAAAUUCUAGGAAAGAAGAUCAAUAGAAUCUUGAUAGAUAAGGGAUAUGGAAUCAACAUCCUGCCUAUCCGCACGAUGAAGAAACAUAGCAUCGUUACUAGCGAACUGGAUGAAAGCCGUAUAAUGAUCCAAGGCUUCAACUAAAGGGGCCAGAAGGCUAUGGGUUGUAUUAAGUUGGGGAUUCAUAUGGAUGAUUUUCAAUCCAUUGAUGCAUGUGAUCGAUGCCAAAACUUCAUAUAAUAUAUUGCUUGGUAGGCCUUGGGUGCACGGGAACAAAAUUAUCUCGUCCUCUAACUAUCAAUGCUUGAAGUACCUCAAAGAUGGAAAGGAAAGAAAGAUAGUUGCCGAUGACAAGCCUUUCACUGAAGCUGAGUCAUAUUUUGUUGAUGCAAAAUUCUACUCAAAGAAUUAUGUUGUGGAUGAGAAGAGGGUUGAAGAUGUCACCAAGACCAAGUGUGACGAUCUUGCUUCUAAGAAGGCCGCGGUGACUUUAAAAAAAAGUCACCACCAAGAAGAAUCUCUCCACUUCAAAUAAAGAAAGUGUCGCUUCUAUGAAAAUAAAGGCAACUCCCGUUCUUCACUACGUACCAAAAGUAAAGAAAAAGAAAUAUCACUCAUCGGAUUUCCAAGAUAAUAUACUAAAGGGGCUAACUUUACCUAUCAGGAAGAUUGAUGCAAUAAGUCCAUCCUUAAGACUUCUUGAAGAGUCUGUGGCUCAAAAUAUCCCAUAAGAUAUGACACUCCCUACGAAGUGUACGAAAGAAUGCUUUGACCCAAAUGCAUAUAAGCUAUUUGUAAAGUAUGGAUAUAAUCCUAAUGAGACAUCAAGAUUAGGAAAACUUCCGUCAGAGGGUACAACCAGGCAGGCACGUGAAGGCCUAGGAUACACGCAGCCACCUCCAAUUUGCAUCUCCAUAAGAAGGGCAGACAGUAAUUACAUCAUCGUGGAAGAAAAAUACACUGUUGCUAAUAAAAGACCCUCUAUAUUUGACCGACUUAGAGGGUCAAAUGCAAGAACUUAUGUGUUUGAAAGGUUGGGACCUCUAAAUAAGAAGAAAAGCAACAAGCAUAAGAAGAGUCGUCAAAGCACGAUGAUGCACUCUUCACUUAAAAUACAGAAGGAUUUCCAAAGUUUGAUUUCUUCUAGAAUGAAGUGACAGACAGAAAUGGUAGUUUCAUACAACAAGGUGCUAAAAGCAAAGGCAGAUACUAUGGUUUAUACCAAGCAACACAAAGAAGAUUAAGAGAGUGUUGGCUCCUCAUAUUAUGUUACGAACCAGAACAAGAAAGAUGUCUCAUCUCAAAUAAAGGUUGAUGAAGAGAUAGAAGAUGCCUUUUGGUGUUGUCAUAUAUCUGUCAACAACUAUGAUCUUCAAGAGGAGAAAGAUGUUGGGGAUGUUCCAUCAUAACUUAAAGAAGGAGUAAAGGCCACAAUAGAUCCCUUGAAGGAAGUUAAUCUUAGAAUAGAUGAAAACCCAAGACCAACUUACCUGAGUGCGUUUUUAGAAGUGGAAGAGAAAAUCGCUUAUAUGGACACACUCAAAUAAUAUAUGGAUGUCUUCUCCUAGAGCUAUAAGGAAAUGCCUGGCUUAGAUCCAAAAGUAGCGGUCCAUCAGUUGGCGGUCAAGAAUGGUGCCCGUCCUGUUAAGCAAGCCCAAAGACAUUUUAGGCUGGACUUGGUUUCUUUGAUUGAAAAUAAAGUUAACAAACUCAUUGAAGGGAGAUUUAUUUGCGAAGUCAAAUAUCCCAUAUCGAUUUCAAGUAUUGUUUCAGUAUGGAAAAAGAAUGACCAAAUUCGAGUUUGCGUUGACUUUUGGGCUGCCCUAAGGAUGACUUUCCAAUUCCUAUACCAGAGUUGAUGAUUAAUUCCACCACUGGUUAUGAGGCAAUGUCCUUCAUGGAUGGUUCAUCCGGCUACAAUCAAAUUCGUAUGGUGCCAAAAGAUGAAGAACUCACUGUAUUUUGUAUGCCCAAAGGUAUUUAUUGCUACAAGGUGAUGCCUUUUGGUUUGAAGAACGCUGGUAAUACUUAUCAAAGGGAUAUACAGAACAUCUUUAAUGGCCUGCUCCAUAAAAAUGUUGAAUGCUACAUCGAUGAUCUAGUGGUGAAGUCAAGAAAGAGAGACGACCACUUAAAAGACCUAAGAAUGGUAUUCGAGUUACUUCGAAGAUAUUAACUUAGGAUGAAUCCAUUAAAGUGUGCCUUUGGAGUUACUUCUGGAAAGUUUCUUGGCUUUAUUGUGUGACACCGAGGAAUUGAAAUUGAUCAAGACAAGGUCGAUGCUCAAAAUAUUCAUGAGUUAAAAAGCCUCCAAGGAAGGCUAGCAUAUUUAAGGAGGUUCAUCUCAAACCUGACCAGAAAAUGUCAACCAUUUAGUCAUCUCAUGAAGAAAGACACUCCCUUCGAAUGGGACCAAGCUUGUAGUAAUUCCUUUGAUAGUAUCAAAUCAUAUUUAAUGAAGCCACUAGUUCUUGCGGAAUCCAUACCUAGGAAACCAUUGAUACUUUACAUCGCAGCACAAGAGAGGUCAGUUAGAGCACUACUGGCUCAAGAAAAUAGUGAUGGCAAAGAAAACUCUCUUUACUAUUUGAGUAGAAUGAUGACGCCGAAUGAGCUAAAGUAUUCUCCAAUUGAAAAGUUAUGUUUGGCAUUAGCCUUCUCGAUUCAAAAGAUGAAGCACUACUUUCAGGCUUAUGUUGUUCGUCUUAUGUCUAGGGCAAAUCCCAUAAAGUUUAUAAUGUCAAAAUCAGUCCUUAGUGACCGACUUACAAGAUGUACCUUCAAUUUCAAUAGUUUGAGGUUGUGUACGUUCCCCAAAAGGCUGUAAAGGGACAAGCAUUGGAUGAUUUUUUGGCAGAUCACCCGAUACCUGAUGAUUAGGAAUUGAGUGAUGAACUUCCUGAUGAAGAUGCAAUGGUUAUUGAAGCUAAACCCUCAUGGAAGUUGUACUUUGAUGGUGCCACACAUCGAUAUGGAGAUGGUGCCGGUGUGGUGUUUGUCACUCCACAAGAAGAGGUCAUCCCAUACUCUUUUACCCUUACAAACCAUUUCUCUAAUAAUGUUGUUGAAUAUCAAGCUUUAAUACCUGGACUUGAGAUGACAAUUGACAUAAAACAACUGCAAUUACAAGUCUUUGGUGACUUCCAAUUGGUGAUCAAGCAGCUUUUGGGAAGCUAUAAAGUCAGAAAGCCUGAGCUACGACCAUAUCAUGACUAUGCACAGAAGUUGAUGGGGUGGCUUGGAGAAGUAAUCCUCCAACAUGUACCAAGGAGAGAAAAUAGGCAAGUUGUGCCCUAGCUGCUUUGGCCUCAACCCUGACUCUUCCAAAUCAGACUCAAGUCACUAUACGACAAGAAUGGGUAGUACCGCCAACAACUGAAGAUGAAGAAAAUAAAGUUGAAUACCUUGUUGCCAUAUCUGAAGUUGAAAAAGAAGAUUGGCGACAACUUAUCAUUGAUUACUUAUGUUAUGGGAUACUUCCAGAGGACCCAAAAAGAAGGACAUACAUUCGUCAUCGUGUACCUUACUUACUUUACUAUAAGGACACACUGUACAGAAGAUUAUUUGAAAGAAUACUCUUAUGGUGUCUGGGAGAGAGAAAAUCAAUUCAAGCUUUGCAAGAAGCACACUCGGGAGUGUGUGGAUUAUAUCAAUCUGGACUAAAGCUUCAUUUUCACAUUGAAAGGAUAGGAUACUAUUGGCCAACGAUGGUGAAAGAUUGCUUGGACUAUGCUAGAAGAUGCAAAGCUUUUCAAUUCCAUGCGAAUUACAUUCAUCAACCUGCUGAAGUACUACACCCAACUGUAGCAUCUUGGCCGUUCAAUGCUUGGGGAAUGGAUGUUGUUGGUCCACUACCAAAAUCUUCUGGUGGACACUUAUACAUCUUGGCCGCGACAGAUUACUUCUCAAAGUGGGUCGAAGUUGUUGCUCUUAAAGAAGUAAAGAAAGAAAAUGUUGCAAACUUUAUUCGAGUGAAUAUCAUCUGCCGCUUUGGAAUUUCUCAAUAUAUAAUAGCUAACAAUGGCAAGCCGUUUGAUAACAAACUGAUGAAUAAAAUUUGUGAUCUCUUUGGCUUCAAGCAGCGCAAGUCUUCUAUGUACCAUGCGCCGCCGCCAAUGGUCUAGCUGAAGCCUUCAAUAAAACUUUAUGCAGCUUGUUGAAGAAAGUUGUCUCCAAAUACAAACGAGACUAGCAUGAGCGAAUGAAAGAAGCUUUAUGGGUGUAUAGGAUAACUUAUUAUACGCCAACGCAAGCAACCCCAUACUCGCUUGUUUUUUAAGUCGAAGCAGUCCUGCCACUUGAGCGUCAAAUACCUUCUUUGAGAUUGGCUAUUCAAGAAGGGUUCACUGAUGAAGAAAAUUCUAAGUUGCAUCUUGCGGAAUUAGAAGCUCUUGAUGAGAAGAGGCUGGAGGCUCAACAAAAUCUUGAAUGUUAUCAAGCCCGGUUAUCUCGUUAUUUCAACAGAAGGGUUCGCUUAAGGUGAUUCCAAGUUGGAGAUCAAGUUCUUGCAGUAAGAAGGCUCAUUAUCACUUCUCAUAAGUCUAGGGGAAAAUUCACCCUAAAGUGGGAUGGACCAUAUGUAACGCCCCGCAUUUUGGGCUAGAAUAAAAACCAUGAUUUUGAUGCGUUGCUAAUCCCGAAGCCAUAAAAUCCUAUGCCAAUAUGGCAUGUUAAUUAUUGUAUAGCAUGUGAAUCCGCUCAAGCUUGAAUUUAAACCAUAGAGGUCCUUCAACUCAAGGACGAGUUGAAACUAUUUUGAUCGACUAAGUUUUAGUAGACGUUGUAAAGUGUGUCAACUUCCAUCGACCAUAACUCUCUGUGUAUAUUGAAUUAGAAAGCCUACUAUGUGUCAAAUAAUAGGUAUUCAAGUUAGCUUUCCAACGAUAUAAAUUUGGCUAAAAUCCAACACCCGAGCAAGAAGUUAUGGCCCUUCAAAGUGAUAAGUGACGCCUAACCAAUCGCCCAUGGCCACUGGAAAGCAUAGGCGAUAGCCUAGGCAGCGCCUAUGUGAACAUAGGCGAUAGCCUAGGUGGUGCCUAUGUAAACAUAGGCGAUAGCCUAGGCGGCGCCUAUGUGAAGAUAGGCGAUGGGACAAAGUGGUCCUUUUCCACCCUUACUUAGCCCUAAAACAUGAGAUUUAGUUCCAAGGACCCCAAAAUACAUAUUCUUUCAUCAAAAGUGCUCAAGAUUCUUCUUAGGAUUUCAAAAAUGAAAACCCAAAUAGUUCAAGACUUGACCGUAGGUUUUCAAAGAUAAUUACAUAUUUGGAAUCACCAAUCCGCAAGCUUCAAGAAACAUUUAUUAUCCUUGGAAAUAGAAGUACGUGGGGCUAUCCAAAAAAAUCUCAUGGGUGUAGUUGUUCACCACUUGUACAUGAUGAAGCACCUUGGUUUUUACCUGAUUAUGCAUAUGUGGAUGUGAUAUUGAUAACUUGCAAGUUGGGUAUGACGAUACCCUACAGAAAACGAUAUGCGAUUGAAUAAGAUGAAAUUUGAAUGCAUUGCUUUUACAUUUGAAAGGUGGAUGCCCGAAGAAGGCGUUUGAGACACAAGUGGCUCGUCGCUAAAAGAACGUGUUUGCCGACAUGGAAUAUCGGUACUAUGCUUUGUGGUCUUGCGUACCUGAUAUUAUAUUAUCCCAAAUUGGAAUUAUGGUUAGGAGUCAUGCUUUGUGGUCUUGUGCACUACCAUAUUUGAUUUGGGUCGAAACACCAUGCUUUGUGAUCUUGUGUGUGUCUCCCUCACUUAUACUCUAAUCUCGGCGGCAACCGAGGUUUGACAGUUGGUGUAAAUUAUGUGGGGUAUUCCACCUAGCUCAGUUGCAUUUCAUUAUUGUUGAGAAAAACUAUUGCAUUACACCCAUGUGUUUUCAAAUGAAAAUAUCAUGUUUUGUUUUGAUAUCUCUGCGUGCCAGUACUUUUGUGCUGACCCCCUCUCCUCUCCAACCUCUUAGGUUCAGAGGCCCAGUCUAGGGGUCAAGAGAAUCAGUAGAUCUUUCAAAUAGAGUUGCAGAGACAAGUGGUGAGCCUUCUAUGUUUCGGAAGGUCUUAUGUCCUGCAGUCCUUUUAUCUUAUAUUCAGUUUUGGGGGUCUGCUGGGGGCCUUGUUCCAAUUUUCAGAUAGACAUUAUUUCAGUCAUAAAGUAGAGAUUUCGUAGACGAUUUUAGAGAUGUUGAUUUAGAUUGUGGGACACUAUUCCCCAUUGUCGUUUUCAUAUGAUUCGUGACCAUGUUUCUGUUAUAUUGUGUUUCUUCCGCAUUACUUUGAUCAUAUGAAUUAUAUGCAUGAUUAUCAGACAGAUAGGGGUGUUUUGGGCCUCCAUAGUUUGAAAUGCUCGUCACGGCUAGGCCCUGGUUCGGGUCAUGAGACCAUAUGUUGUAUAAGAGGCAUAUUCAAAUGGUGUUUACUAGCUUGUCGAUGCAGAUGGUGUGAGGGUUGGCCCCAUCAAUGACAAGUUCUUGAAGAAGUACUAUCCUUGAAGGAAGAUGACACUCCUUAAGGCACGAGUAUAAACUGCAUGUACACUCCUUAAGGCACGAGUAUAAAUUGCAUGUCCACUCUUGGCCCGCAAGAGUAUAAACUGUGUACGGCUAAAAAAAAAUAAAAGUCCGCUAGGUUGAAAACCUCGGAAGAGACGACCUAGGCAAAAGUUCGGAAACAAAAAAAACACUCACCCAGAACUACUUUGUGACUUGAUCCUUCAUUGAGGUACGUAGGGGCUUAGAAUUUCAUUCUUAGUUCAGUUGCAUGAGUUUCAAAAAAAAAUAUGUUCCUGCAGUAUCUACUAUAUGGAUACCAAGUAUGAAAAUAUUCUAAUUAAAUUUUGGACUCACUCCACGUAUUAGUGGCUCAAUAGGGGAAAACUCCAAUGAAAUAUGAGCUUCAUUCACAUAAGAUGAAGUCUCCNNNNNNNNNNNNNNNNNNNNNNNNNNNNNNNNNUUGAGAGUGAAAUUUUGACAAAAUUUCCAAGUCUUCAAAUCAAGGCCUCUCGCGGGUUUAUCCUUAAAAUGACCUAAAAAUUUCCAUGCCUUAAGGUGAACAAAAUUUGUCCCUUUGCACCUUAAAUUGGCCUCUCACGGGUUUAUCCUUAAAAGGAUCUCAAAAUUUCUAUGCCUUAAGGUGGACAAAAUUUAUCCCUUUUCACCUUAAGUUGGCCUAUCAAGGGUUUAUCCUUAAAAGGAUAUCAAAAUUUCUAUGCCUUAAGGUGGACAAGAUUUGUCUCUUUGUGCCUUAAACUGGCUUCUAACGAGUUUAUCCUUAAAGUAUAUUGAAAUUUCCAUGCCUUAAGGUGGACAAGAUUUGUCCCUUUGCACCUUAAGUUUAUCCUUAAAAGGGCCCAUAUUUAAAGAAGACCGUUGCAUAAGUGCAUCGAUGAAAGGGCCCAUACUUAGAGAAGACCAUUGCAUAAAUGCAUUAGUAAAGGGCUCAUACUUAAAGAAGACAAUUGCAUAAGUGCAUCGAUGAAAGGGCCCAUACUUAGAGAAGACCAUUGCAUAAAUGCAUUAGUAAAGGGUCCAUACUUAAAGAAGACAAUUGCAUAAGUGCAUCGAUGAAAGGGCCCAUACUUAAAGAAAAUCAUUCUGUCUUCAAGCAAAGUUUUUCGGCCUUAAGGUGACGGAAGCGAAGUUAAACUCUCGCACCUUAAUCCGGUUUUCAAUGUCUUCAAGCAAAGUCUUUCGGUCUUAAGGUGACGGAGAAGAAGUUAAAAUCUCGCACCUUAAGCCGGCCAAUUAUUGCAGUCUUUCGAUCUUAAGGUGAUAGAGGCGAAGUUAAGCUCUCGCCACCUUAAGCUGGCCAAUUAUCACAUAAGUCUUUCGGUAUUAAGGUGACAGAGGCGAAGUUAAACUCUCGUCACCUUAAUCCGUCUAAUUAUUGCAUAAGUCUUUCGGUCUUAAGGUGACAGAGGCGAAGUUAAACUCUCGCCACCUUAAGUCGGCCAAUUGUUGCAUAUUGCUAUUUGGUUCAACCCUGCAAAAAAAAAAAGGAAAAACAAGAAAGAAAGUAAAAAAACACAAACAGAAAGGAUGUUACCUGUUAGAGCAUUGCGAUCUUAAAAGUUGUAUAUCACCAACUUGGAUUGAGAUAAGAUGCCUUGAUGAGAAUAAAGCCCUCAAAAUUGAGUUUGAAGCAAUUAAAACUCCCUUUGAUGGUGAUGGUCCCACAUCAAGAUAUAAAUUAUUUGGUGAGGUGAUGCAAAUCUGUAAUCCUCUGUCGGACAGCAUAUAAAGAUCGACUUCAAAAAGUCAUCUAGAACAAUCCAAAAAGUGUUAAAAUCCAAAAUUUGGAUAUAUUAUACAUGCAUGUUUUCGGGAUUAAGCGGAUCAUAAUUUCAAUACUCUCACAUUGAGAUAUAAUUUUUUUUUGGUGAUGUUGCAUAAAUCUGAAUUGUUGAUGCAUCAAAACUCGAUGUUGAUUUCGGGAUAACACCUGAAAAUAUCUCGAUUUUAUUAAAUUACAAAUUUUGGAUAUGUUAUAUAUCUUUGUUUCUAGUUUCACAAGAAUCAAGCGGCUUGUGAUUUCAUCCUUCCUACUUCAAGAUAUGAAAGUUUUAGUAAAGACGCGUAAAUCUGAAAUUUUCAGCAUGAUAAAAUUCUGGGCUAACUUCAAAAUAUUAUCGAAAAUUAUAUUGAAGGAAUUUAAAGCUGAAUUUUUGAUAUGUUAUAGAUCUCGAAGUCUAGUUUCUGGAAUAUCAAAUAGUUUAUGAUUUCAAUAUUCCUACAAUUAGAUAUAAAUUUUUUUACCACAAAUAUGCUGUGCUGAAAAAAAGUGACGAAAAUAAGAGAAAAGUAGGAGGGAAAGAAAUUCCCUCAAUAUUGUUUAUGGCUUGAAAAUCCUAAAAUCGAUAUUGAGAAAGUGGGGAAACUACCUCCUUUUAUAGAGUUGUAGGAUGGAUGUUUCCUUCUCCAAUAUAAGUUCAGAUUGGAAUAAUUUCUAUCUCCAAAUUCAAAUUGGAGAUUGUUUUCUUCUCCCAUACAAAUUCAAAUUGAAAAUCGCUUCCUUCUGCCAUUCAAAAUUAAAUUGGAGGUUAUUUUCUUCUCCCAUACAAAUUCAAAUUAGAGGUUGAUUUUCUUCUCUCAUACAAAAUUCAAAUUGGAGGUUGUUUUCUUCUCCCAUACAAAUUCAAAUUGGAGGUUCUUUAUUUCUCCAAUCUAAGUUCAAAUUGGAAGAGUUUUAUUCCUGAUUAAGUAAGGUGAUGAAAAAGUCUUCCAAAAUCUGUUUGAAAUUGGAUAUCAUGCCUUACUAACGGGGUCUUAAGUAUAGAGAUUCGUGAAAAAAAAUAAGAGAGUUUUGAGAGGCAAUAUCAAUAUGGUUCGGCUUUAAUUUUUUUGAAUGGGGUAUUCAUACGUAUCAAAAUCGCUGAAGCACGAAGAAAACAUGUUUAAAUAAUCAUACUUCAAGGCUAGUCUCCAAAAUAUUAAAUGUCUCGACAAGUCUUGAAGUAGGGGCCAUUUGUGGCGUUUGUGGGUGAUGCAAUUUUGAAGAUUUAAAUCCAUACAAAAUUCGGAUUAUAUUAAAUUCAAAAUAUAUUAGUCCCAAAUAAAUAUUUCGGAUUAAUAUAAUUGGAUUAAUUAUUUAAGUCCAAACAUAUGGAUUUAAUUAAAGUCCAUUUUUUUUAUUGGGUUAGCCCAUUGAUUUGGGCUACAAAUGAUGAGCCCACUUUGCUAAGCGCAAGAUAUUUUCAUAUUCUACAGGCCCAAAUAAAUGUCACGUGUCAAAUGACGUGGCAUGCCAAGUCAAGUGAAGGAGUGUAACACCGCGUAUUUUUGGGCUAGAAUUUAGACCAUCGUUCCUACGUAUAUAGAUUCGAACUGAAUUAUUCUUUAUUAACAUACGUGUGGUAAACACUCCUAUCGUAAUGCCCCAUAAAAUUCUCGAGUCGAUUUCAUUUUUAGUGUUAUGUUUGAGGGGCUAACAACUAGAAUAUUUUUCUUAGUGUAACGAGAACUUAGAGUCAUUUCAGCUGGCAAUCUUCGGGAUACAACUUUUCAACCUUUUCGACAUUCGUUUUUAGAUUUUCAAGUUGCGUUACGAUCGGGAAAGCUCAUAUUACAUCUCGGAUAAGUUUUGGAAUUUUUCAGAACGCAUAAGUCUGCGUUUCGAUUUCAAAACAGUAGCAAAACGAAUAGCCUAUUGCCCAGUUUUCAGUAUUUCAGGGUCAACUUAAAAUGAUCAUAUCUCUCUGAAUAUAAUGAACUGAGAGAGAUGAUACCUAUAAAAUGAAAUAUCUUUGAGUCUUCUUUCUAAUGCAACUGGUUUCAUCCAAAUCCAACAUCUGAGUAAGGAGUUAUACCCAUUUUACUUUAGCCUGUCAGCUUGUCAACUGAGGGACAGUUUCGAAUUUGUUUGUUUUCUUAGGGGCAUUUUAGUCAUUUCACCUCACCUAAAUUUCGUCUAUAACACCAGAUUUAGCCCCCAAUUCAUCAAAAUAUAAUCCUUUUCUCAAAUUUUCUCUCAAGAACACCCCUUAGGGUUUCAAAAUAAAAACCCCAAUAACUCAAGAUUCAACCAUGGAUUUUCAAAAAAAAUUGAAGAUUUGGAAUCCCCGCAACGUAGGCUUCAAGAAGCACCUAUCAUAUUCGCAUAUAGAGGUACGUGGGGUUAUCUCAAAAAUCUCAUGGGCUUAACAAUUCAUGUUUUAAAAAUGGGGGUUUUGAAAUUAUGAAUAUAAGCAUGUUUCAAGCAUCUUUAUGAUAUUGAUUUGGUCUUUAGGCCUUAUUCCAAAGUGAUUUGAUAUAUGAUAUAUGUAUAUGCAUGUAUUCCAAAAAUAUGUUAACUUGAGAGCAUGAAUGAUAUGUAAUCCCUCUCUUGAUGUGAAUUUAUUUUAAAUGUUCAUAUGAUGUAAAUUGUUUGAAAACAUCUUGAAAAGCAUGACAUGAAAUGUUUUGAGAAUUGAUAUGAUUUUGACUUGAAUAUGAGAGGGCUAUUUGUGUUGAAACAUAUUGAAUACAAUGGUUGAAUGAGAAGAAUGAUGUGAUAUUGAUGGNNNNNNNNNNNNNNNNNNNNNNNNNNNNNNNNNNNNNNNNNNNNNNNNNNNNNNNNNNNNNNNNNNNNNNNNNNNNNNNNNNNNNNNNNNNNNNNNNNNNNNNNNNNNNNNNNNNNNNNNNNNNNNNNNNNNNNNNNNNNNNNNNNNNNNNNNNNNNNNNNNNNNNNNNNNNNNNNNNNNNNNNNNNNNNNNNNNNNNNNNNNNNNNNNNNNNNNNNNNNNNNNNNNNNNNNNNNNNNNNNNNNNNNNNNNNNNNNNNNNNNNNNNNNNNNNNNNNNNNNNNNNNNNNNNNNNNNNNNNNNNNNNNNNNNNNNNNNNNNNNNNNNNNNNNNNNNNNNNNNNNNNNNNNNNNNNNNNNNNNNNNNNNNNNNNNNNNNNNNNNNNNNNNNNNNNNNNNNNNNNNNNNUGCUUUAUAAUGGAUCUCAACUAUAUUUUAUAAAAAUAUUAUGUUUUGUUUUGAUAUCUCUGCGUACCAGUACUUUUGUAUUGACCCCCUUCCCUCCCAGGUUCGGAGGCACAGUCUAGGGGUCCAGAAAAUCAGUAGAUUUCCUCAGACAGAUUCGCAGAGUCACUUGGUGAGCCUUCUAUAUUUCGGAAGGCCUGAUAUCUGGCAGUUUCAUUUAUCAUUUAUUUGUUUUGGGUCUACUGGGGGCCUUGUCCCAGUUUUCAGAUAGAUAUUUGUUUCAGUCAUGUAGUAGAGAUUUCGCAGACGUUAUAGAGAUGUUGAUUGAGAUUGUGGGACAUUAUUCCCCAUUAUUGUUUUCAUAUGAUUCUUGACCAUGUUUCCGUUAUAUAGUGUAUCUUCCGCAUUUUUUUUUCAUAUAAGUCAUGUGCAUGAUUAUCGGAUAGAUAAGGGGUGUUUCGGGCCUUGAUGGUUCGGAAUACUCGUCAUGGCCAGGGCCCCGGUUCGGGUCGUGACAAGGAGCCAAUAGGAUCAUGCCACAUGUCAAAAUAAUGCAGCAGCCUCAAUAAAAUCAAAGCCCAUAAAAGGCGCCAUGUCACUUGAAUUUGAUUGGUCAAAUGAAGUCCAUCUUCAUCAUGACUGUUCCUUUUCCACAACUAUAAAUAGAGUUCUCAUAAUUCAGAAAGAGGAACCCAGAACUCUAACAAGUAGCAAGAGAAAGCUUGUGAAUCAAACGCCACAAUUUCUCUAAAAAGCUCAAGCAUUCAAAUCAAGUUCAUCAAGAUUCAAGAUCAAGACCGCAAUAUUCAAGAACAAGCUCAAAAACCCUUGAAUUCAAGAUCAAGUCCCUCAAACCAUUCAAAUCAAGUUCAAAUUCAAGAUCAAGCUUUAAGCUCUUGAAUUUAUAUUUGAAAAGGCGAAUCAGAGGAUUCAUAGAGAUUGUAAUACUCACAUAUUAAAAUUAAUAAAUUGAUUGUUGCAAUAUAUUUUUCUUAUCUCGAAGUAUUAUUUUUCGAUUUCAAAAAUUUUACUGUCCAACAACCACAUACUGGAACAUCAUCUUUCCCUGUCAUCCACAUUUUUAAGGACAAACAAACUAAAGUUCACUAGCAUUUACUGUCAAGCAACAUCCAAGGAAGUAUAGUCAAAUGUUAAUGAUCAAUAUUUUGAUCAUUAGCGCCUCCAUUUUGAUCAUUAGGAUCCUGUUCAUCACCCCGCCCAUCUAGAUCAUCAUUCUGUUCAUUAGCGCCUUCAUCUUGAUGACCAUUUUGCUCAUUAGUGCCUACAUCUUGUUCAUUAGGAACCUGUUUAUUAACGUCCUCAUCUUGAUCAUUAGCACCUCCAACUUUAUCAUUAGCGCCUCCAUCUUCAUCGUUAUUCUGUUCAGUAGCAUCUUCAUGAUCUUAAUCAACAUUUUGCUUAUUUGUGCCUACAUACUGUUCAUUAAUGCCGCCAUCUUGAUCAUUACCGCCUCCAUCUUGCUCAGUGUUUGCGCCUAAAUAUUGUUCAUUAGGAACCUGCUCAAUAAUGCCCCCAUAUUGAUCAACAUUAGUGCUUCCAUCUUGAUCAGCAUUAGCACCUCCAACUUGAUUAUCAGCGCCUCCAUCUUGGUCAGCAUUAGCGCCUCCAUCUUGAUCAGCAUUAGCGCCUACAGCUAAAUCAUGCUCCUGCCCAUUUACACCUCCAUUCUGAUCAUUAGGAGCCUGUACAUUAGUGACUUCAAAGAGAGCAUCGUGCAACGUUACACCAUUCUGGUACAUAAGCUCGUCCCUGCCACAAAACACUCAUUUGAAUUAACACCUUACAAGUCAUACCUACAGUCUCCAUUUGCAAAUUUAUAAUUAGAAACUUACAAUUUCAUAAAGAAUCUUCCUGCUAUAAAAUACUCAGAUGCUGGGGAGGCUACCCUCCGCAGACCCCAAGUGUGGAAAUUCACUGGAUGUGUUGGUGGUGGUGGGGCGGCUGCCAUCUACUUCUUCAUGUUUCCGUUUGUUUAAUACAAAAACAUGAAACCAGCAUAUAAUACACAUGUCUCAGACCUCAGAAAAAAGCUUAAAUCACAAGAUGCUGAAAUGCUCAAUUUUCGAAAUCAUGAGACUUACAUUCUAUUUAACUAGCCUUCGAACACUAUGUCGUGCAGUGCACCUUCAAAGUGUACAAGACAAGAAAAUGAACAUAAUAAGUUGCUGUGUGCUUAGGCAAGAAAUAUAUCAGAAACAGCGGUGUCGAAAUUAAGGGAUUGAAUCCUCUUUAUGAAAUGAGUAAGAAUUUUCAUCAAAACUAUUAAUUUCCAAACGGAUGAGUAAGUACAAAAUUCAUUCCUAAAUUGGAAUGAAAAUCCUAGACAGCAAUGAAUGGUAUCCAUUGUAUCAACCUGUUGCACAACAAAUUUUCUUAAAAAAGACUAACUGCUGAAAGAAUCAAUGGGGAAAAAAAAGACUAACUGGUGGAAAAUGAGAAUUCAAAAAAGUAGAAAAAUGCAGAAAGAGUGAAUUAAAACUGACAAGAGAAUGUUAAUAUAGAAAAGCAACCUCUGUCUUGACCGUUAAUUCAAACAGGAGGGAAAUUCAACUGUAUUUUUAUUUUUUAUUUUUUCCCUUGGACCAGAUUUUACAAUUUACCCUCCACAACUCUGAAACUAGUCAUAUUGAAAUUUUACUUUAAAAAGAUUUUACAUGUUUGGAUGUAUGUAAACCAAGUCCCACGUUGAUAAUUGGAAAAAAAAAAAAAAUGAUAAGUUAGUUAUAAAUAGUUAUUAAGUGUGAUAGUUUUGGGGGGAAAUUGUUAGGUGGAUCAAAAUUGACAAUAUCACAUCAUUUUAAAAGUAUUUUUAGGCAAUACAAAAUCUAAAGUAGAUAAUCUACUUAGACUUCUCAUUAGGGUCAUUUGCAUUUUUGCUACUAUUUUGAGUUUUUUUUUAAUUUUUGUCUUUUAAGAUACUUUUUUGCAACGUAAAAAUUCAUAUUUUUACAUCAUAAAAUCUCAUAAAUUAUGUUUCAUGUUCUUAAAGAAGUUAUGCCUAGCUAGACAAUAGUUCAGUUGCUCAGGGCAAAAGUUCAAGAUCAAUCAUUUUAAAAGACAAACUUUGCAAUUAAAUAUUUUAGUGAAAACUUUUGUAGGCACACAAAUAUCAUGACUUAUUUAAAAUUAAAAUUUUAAAAAAAUUUAUAGCUACACAAAUAUUAUUACGCAAUUGAUAUUGCCAGUGUCAAUAAUACUUGCUUUUUCUUCUUAAAUAAUCAGCAUCAAAAUCCUUGAAAUACGAAAAUAUAUCCGGAGAGUUAGAGUAACUAUUUCUACAAGUAUUGGAAUAUUUAGUUCACUUACACCUAUUAUAUACAAAUAAGAAAACUGCGGAGACCGUUAACACCAAGGUUUUGUGGUGUAGUUGGUUAUCACGUCAGUCUAACACACUGAAGGUCUCCGGUUCAAGUCCGGGCGAAGCCAUUUUGUUAUCUCAUUCCUUUUUUUUUGGGUGCCAAAAUGUACUGGUGCUGUAAAUAUGCUCCAUAUAUCAGACUUGGAGAUGUCAUGUUAAAUGGAUACCAAAUAAUUACAUAAACACCCAAUAUGGUACCACUACCUAAUAGGCAGAGAGGCUGUUUCAUAUCAGUAAAUUAUAGUACUACUUACACACACAACUCAAAAAGCUGUGAUUUCAAAUUAAACAGAUACCAAGCAUUGCCAUAUUACAAAAGAUAAAAGAAGUGGAUUAUGUUAUCUGCUCUUAAAUCAACUUCAGGAUGAGAGUGAAAACUAAAAAACAUUAGGUCCACAAUUUUCAAACGUAUAUGCUAAUCUAACUUCAUCAUAUAGCAAAACAUCAUCUUUCCCAAUACUAAAAUUCUGUAGCAUUUACUGCCAAGUGUCAAGCAAAAUAUAAGGAAAUAGAUCAGUAAUCUCAUAGUAGCUUUUAACUGGUUAGUAGCUUUUAACUGGUUGAUUAUUCUCAAAUGCUUGACAGAUGGCUAGUAUCAAGAAAUUAAAAACAAACUAAGCAGCAUACAGAGAAUAGUAGUACUGCAAUCCCAAAACGGAAUAUCACACAAUUAUGGAAUUAGCUUUUUGUGUAAUUAUGAAGUCUAGUUACUCUACUCAGAAAGUGUAUAUCUUUCUGCAUUUUGAUCAGCAUGAAUAGGCUAUCAAUGUCUGCAUUUUUCUCAUUAGCACCUACAUCUUGCUCAUUAGGACCCCGUUCAUUUGCAUUUCCAGCUUGAUCAGCAUUUUGCAGAGUAGAGCCCACAUCUUGUUCAUUAGGAAUCUGUUCAUUAGUGUUUCCAUCUUGAUCAGCAUUUUUCUCGGUAGCUCCCAUAUCAUGUUCAUUAGGAACCUGUUCAUUAGUGUCUCCAUCCGGAUCAGUAUUUUGCUCAUUAGCACCUGCAUUUUGAUCAUUAGGACCCUAUUCAUCAGCGUCUCCAUCUUGAACAGCAUUUUGCUCAGUAGCACCUAAAUUUUGUUCAUUGGGAACCUGUCUGUUAAUGUCUCCAUCUUGAUCAGCAUUUUGGUCAUUAGUGCCUCCAUCUUGAUCAGCAUUUUGAUCAUUAGCGCCUCCAUCUUGAUCAUUAGCGCCAUCAUCUUGAUAAGCAUUUUGAUCAUUAGCGCCACCAUCUUGAUCAGCAUUUUGAUCAUUAGCGCCUCCAUCUUGAUCAGCAUUUUGAUCAUUAGCGUCUACUAAACCUUGUUCCCCAUUUAAAAGAAACAACGGUACCCCGCCUAAAAGGAACAACGGUACACCAUUCCAGGAACUACUAGUCAUACUGCAUAUAUAUGUGUAGAGUCUCAAUUUGCAUAAUUUUAUUUAGAAACUUACCAUCUCAGACAGAAUCUUCCUUCUCUAAAUAACAUGAAGUGUUGGGGGACUGCAAUCUGCGGAAAUCAUUAAUUCAGUAUUUAAUAAAAGAAGCAGCAAAUCUGUCUUGUUCAUCAAAAUCAAAUGCUCUUUAAUAUUAGUAUCUUACAAUUUGACACCCGAGCAGCAUUCCACAUUUGGCACAGUUUAUUUCGGCUGUGGUAAGUCCAUGUAUCACAGGAUCAUCAGUCACGUCGUCAGAUACUCUUAAACAUUAAACCUGCAUAUAUAUAAAGGCUAGUGACGUUUGCAAUAAUACAUAUCCAAGUUGCUGAAAUCAUAUGAAAUAUCCAAUUUUCAGAAUCGCAUGAAAUCAUGAAACUUACACUCUAGCAAAGAUCACUUUUGGAAAACGGGAUGGCACCUGCAAAGUGUACAAGACAAGAAAAUUAGCAUAAUAAAAUGUUCUGUGCUUAGUCAAGAAAUAUAACAUAUAUGCUAAAUUAAUUGCAAAAUUCAUGAUACUAUCGUCUUUAUGAAAUCAGAAGUAAUUUCAUCAACAGAUACAACAUGAUUUUUCCUAAACGAAUUUAGAAGAAAUUAAUUCAAGAUUGUCCUGAGAAUUUGUUUGUAUACCAUUUGGUGUAUUCAUAAAUAAAUUGAUUUCUGCGGGAUGCAGAGAGAGUAAGAAUCCUUACUAUAGAGUCGAUAUCCCAGACGAGUGCAGGUUGAUUUUCGCACCGACGACAGUAGAUGCAAUGUCGAGGAGGGAUAUAAUUGCAUGGGUGAAAAAGUCGACUGCUCAUCCUCCUAUCAACUUUGUUGAAUCAAGAAGCAACUCCUAACAGAUAUGUUAUAGAACAAAUUCACUUCAACAAAGAACAGAAAAAUGGCUGGGAAUUACAAAGACUAACUUCAAAAUAUCAGAAAAUCGAAGACAGGCUCACUUCUCACCAGAAAAGAAUUAACGAGAAUCCAAGAACGUGAAAAAUGGCUGGGAAUUAGAAACGCAGAAAGACUGAAUUAACUUUGAAGGAUAAAAUGCAGAGAAGAGGAUGUUAAUAUAGAAAACUCAGUCCUUGAUUCUUGAAUCCAAGCUCUGUAUUUGCCUUUAAUUCAGAAAGGAGGGAAUUUUGAAAGAGAAUUUUUUUUUUCUUUUUUUCUUUACGAGAAAUAUAGUUGAUAUCUUAAUAAUGUUAUUAUUGUGUGAAUUUCUAUGGUAAAAAUGUACUUUUAUCGAGUAUUUAUACCAAACAUAAAUGACUGAUAUAAUAAUUAAUAACGAUUAAUUAAUGUAGAGAGAGACGAAGAUCGACUUACAUAUGAAAAUCUAGGAGAAGUUAGUGAAGAUUUGAGUAAAUCAUUUGGUUUCAUAUCGAAGCGUUCAACUAAAUAAAGAAUUCAUCUUGUAAGGAGAUUAAUCGAGCAAUACAGAGAAAGAAAGUUUGACUUACCUAUGGUGUUCAUCGAUCUAGAAAUAAAACAUAUGAUAAAGUCCUAAAGAGGAUUCUACGGAGAUGUUUGGAGGCUAAAUAUGUAGAUGUAGCUUAUAUUAGGGCGAUAAAAACAGGUAUGUCCGCCUUAAGAUUCAAGUGAAUACAAUUGCAGGAGACUUGAAGCACUCCCCCAUCUUGAUGAUUGUUGCACCACAAUUCAGCUCUUAAUCUGUUUUAAUUUGUCAUGGUGAUGGUCUGAUGGAUGAACCAAUGCGGCAUAUCCAGGGGAAUGCGUCAUGAUGUAUAUUAUUUGCAGAUGAUAUAGUGUUGAUGCGAUAGUCGACAAUUUAAUGAUAGACUGAAUAUUUGGGGACCAACUCUAAAGUCUAAAAGGUUCAAGUUUAGCAGGCUAGAGAUUUGACGGUUCUUUUUAAUGUUCAUACUCUUUCUAUUUCUUAAAGUUAAAUUGUUUGACGAAUACAAUCCUUCUUCUUGGUAAACAAAAUCACUAAACCAAGUUCUUGUGUACUUUUAUUUAUAAAAAUGAAAUAAGAUGUAGAAGUCAACUAAUAGUUUACAUAUUCGAACCGUGAAAGCAAUCACUAAUACUUGCAUCAGGAUAGACUGUCUACAUUAUGUCCCUUAGGUGUGGAACUUUUUUUGGUCAAGCAUUCCUAUAUUGUUAUUUAUAGCAUAUAAUUUACGAAAUUGUAACUAAUAUUAAUAAGAAGUUUCAAAUUUAAACAUUUUCGUUAAUUUAGUUAGGCUGUACAUAUGAAUGGUAAAUAACGAUAAAAUUACUCUCUUAUUAAAUUAAUAAAUUAAAUAGGGUAUUUGCUUCCUCUUCAAUCUAUCUUUCAUCCUCUAUACUCAUUUCUUUUGAAUAUUUUUGAUGAUUUCACAUUUUAUUUCAACUCAAUUUCUCUAAAUUCUCUAUAUCAUUUUGUCAUGUUUGAUUCAUACAUGGAAAAAUGAAUAUUUUUGUGUCUCAUUUUUUUUUUAAAUCGAGAAAUCCCCCUCGACAAGUGGUGCAAGGCAUGAAACUUUGGUAUAUAAUAGGCCCGUUCUAUUACAAACUGAUAAGCAUUUUGUAAAGUAUUAACUAUAUCUUUCUGCAUUUUGAUCGGCAUGAGUAGGCUAUCAUUGUCUGCAUUUUCAUCAAUAUUAUUUAUUCUAUCAGCCAGUUGAUCUACAUCUUCUUUCAGUUCAUUGGUGCGUCUCCAUCUUCAUCGUCAUUUCUAUUCAUUGGCGUCUCCAUUUUGAUCAUGAUCCCGUUCAUUAACACCUACAUCUUGAUCAGCAUUUUGCUCAAUAGCGCUUCCAUUUUGAUCAUGAUCCCGUUCAUUUUCACCUCCAUCGUGAUCAUCAGGAGCCUGUCCAUUAGCGCCUCCAAAGAGAAAAUUAAGCAACGUUACAUCAUUCCAGUAAAUAAGCUUGUCCCUGCAGCAAAAUACUUAUCUGAAUUAACACCUUACAAGUCAUGUGUAGAGUCUCAAUUUGCAAACUCUUAAUUAGAAACUUACAAUCUCAUAUAGAAUCGUCCUUCUCUAUAAUACCUAGACGGUUGGGAAACUACACAAAUAUUAUUACAAAAUAGGUAUCACAAGUGCCAAUAAUCAUUGCUUUUCUUUUCUUAAAUACAUCUUGAUUCAAAGCACAUUCAUAAAAAUUGGAAUUUAUGAAAUAUUUACUUCUCAAAAAGUAGUAAUAUCACCCUUUUCAUGAAUUGGAGCACGAGUGCAUGUUAUUAGAAUGUAGCUAUUUGACAUGAUUGUAAUACCAUGACAAGAUUAAUUUUUUUUCUUUUACAAAAAUAAUACUACUCUGUUUCAUAAUACUUGAUUCUUAUUGAUCCGACACGUCUUUUUAAAAAAAUUUAAUUUGAAGUAUAUUUUAUCAAAAUAACUUUAUUAAUGAUAUUUUAGAACUCUAAAUUUAACUAGUAUUAUUUUAUGUAGUUAUUUAGAACUCUUAAUGUACUAGGAAAGUUUUAACUGACUCAUAAUUUCUUUUUUCAUAAAAGUUUAAAGGUGGAACUCAUCAGCAAACAUCUAAAAUUGACACGAUUUUUCACUUAAAUACCUCAAGUAAGCAUUGCACAUUUUAAACUCCCGUAUAGUAAGGCUCUACUAGCUUGAUGCUGGUCGAGCGAACCCCUUGCCCCACCAUGUCCACUAAAUAAAAUAAUUAGAAUCAAAAUCCUUGAAAUACGACAAUAUAUAUUUGGAGAAUUCAAAUAACUAAUUCUACAAGUGUUGGAAUAUUUGUCUAGUCAACUCACGCUUACACCAAAUAAAUAGGAAAACUGGAGGAACUUCAAGCACCAGGGUUUCGUGGUGUAGUUGGUUAUCACGUCAGUCUAACACACUGAAGGUCUCCGGUUCGAGUCCGGGCGAAGCCAUUUUUCCGAUAUGUUAAAAGGUUACCAAAUAAUUACAUAUACCAAAUGUAUGUAGCUAGUAAACUAGCUCUUAAGCUUUUAGGCAGUAAGUAGUACCUCACUGCUUGUGCACCCUACAUAUUUAUUGGAUCGAUCUCUACCAGAACAAUAACGUAUCUGUAUCUGUAAAUUAUAAUACACUACUAAAUACACACAGCUUUUAUCUCUACCAGAACAAUAACGUAUCUGUAAAUUAUAAUACACUACUAAAUACACACAACUCAAAAAGCUGUGAUUUCAAAUUAAACGGAUACCAAGCAUAGCCAUAUUACAAAAUAACAAGAUGGUUUUAACUUUUUUCUCAAACAUUUGACAAAUCCCAAACAUAAAGAAGAAGUGGAUUAUGUUAUCUGUUGUUAAAUCAACUUCAGGAUUUGAGCGAAAACUGAAAACCAUUACAUCCAAAAAAUUUAAUAGUCUCUGUUAAUCCAACUUCACCAUAUAGCAAAACAUCAUCUUUCCCAAUACUAAAGUUCAGUAGCAUUUACUGCCAAGUGUCAAGCAAAAUAUAAGGAAAUAGAUCAGUAAUCUCAUAGUAGCUUUUAACUGGUUAGUAGCUUUUAACUGAUUGAUUAUUCUCAAAUGCUUGACAGAUGGCUAGUAUCAAGAAAUUAAAAACAAACUAAGCAGCAUACAGAGAAUAGUAGUACUGCAAUCUCAAAACAGAAUAUCACACAAUUAUGGAAUUAGCAUUUUGUGUAAUUAUGAAGUCUAGUUACUCUACUCAGAAAGUGUAUAUCUUUCUGCAUUUUGAUCAGCAUGAAUAGGCUAUCAAUGUCUGCAUUUUCAUCAUUAGUUGGUUCAUAUUAUCUAUUCCAUCAGCCAGUUGAUCAACAUCUUCAUUCAGUUCAUUGGGGUGCCUGCAUCUUGAUCAUCAUUCUGUUCAUUAGCUUCUUCAUGUUGAUUAUCAUUUUGCUCAGCAGCACCUACAUCUUGUUCAUCAUAAACCUGUUCAUUAGCAUCUCCAUAUUGAUCAACAUUUUUCUCAGUAGCAACCACAUCUUGUUCAUUAGGAACCUGUUCAUCAGUGCCUCCAUCUGGAUCAGCAGCACCUACAUCUUGCUCAUUAGGACCCCGUUCAUUCGCAUUUCCAUCUUGAUCAGCAUGUUGCUUGUUAGUGCCUCCAUCUUGAUCAGCAUUUUGAUCAUUAUCGUCUGCUAAACCUUGUUCCCCAUUUAAAAGAAAUAGUGGUACCCCGCAUAAAAGGAACAACGGUACACCAUUCCAGGAACUACUAGUCAUACUGCAUAUAUAUGUGUAGAGUCUCAAUUUGCAUAAUUUUAUUUAGAAACUUACCAUCUCAGACAGAAUCUUCCUUCUCUAAAUAACAUGAAGUGUUGGGGGACUGCAAUCUUCGGAAAUCAUUAAUUCAGAAUUUAAUAAAAAGAAGCAGCAAAUCUGUCUUGUUCAUCAAAAUCAAAUGCUCUUUAAUAUUAGUAUCUUACAAUUUGACACCCGAGCAGCAUUCCACAUUUGGCAGAGUUUAUUUCGGCUGUGGUAAGUCCAUGUAUCACAGGAUCAUCAGUCACGUCGUCAGAUACUCUUAAACAUUAAACCUGCAUAUAUAUAUAAAGGCUAGUAACGUUUGCAAUAAUACAUAUCCAAGUUGCUGAAAUAUUCAAUUUUCAGAAUUGCAUGAAGUCAUGAAACUUACACUCUAGCAAAGACCACUAUUGGAAAACGGGAUAGCACCUGCAAAGUGUACAAGACAAGAAAGUUAGCAUAAUAAAAUGUUCUGUGCUUAGUCAAGAAAUAUAACUAUGCUAAAUUAAUCGCAAUUCAUGAUACUAUCGUCUUUAUGAAAUCAGAAGUAAUUUCAUCAACAGAUAUAUUAUAGAACAAAAAACAGAAAAAUGGCUGGGAAUUAGAAAAGAAAUUAACGAGAAUCCAAGGAAAGUGAAAAAUGGCUGGGAAUUAGAAAUGCAGAGAGACUGAAUUUAAUGGGAUAUUUGAAGGAUAAAAUGCAGAGAAGAGAAUGUUAAUAUAGAAAACUCAGUUCUUGAUUCUUGAAUCCAAGCUCUGUAUUUACCGUUAAAUUCAGAAAGGAGGGAAUUUUGAAAGAUAAAAUUUCUUUUUUAUUUUUCCCCUUAAGAAGAAGUAUUACAACUUACCCUCCAAAAUUAUUUUCUUUUUAACUUUAUCGUGUUUUAAACGUACAUAUAUAGAAUACCAUUAUGUUUCCGUUUCUUUUUUCUUUACUUACGAGAAACACAGUUUAUAUCUUAAUAAUGUUAUUGUUAUGUGAAUUUCUAUGGUAAAACACAGUUUACUGAGCCACCUGAGACUGAAGCUUUAAUUUUAGGAUUUCUUUUAACAAGUCAGGAUCCGAUUCGUUACUCCAGAAAUAUAUUUUCUGCUUCCUCGUUUCCUUGGCCUAACGUUAACAUGAUUUGCUUAUAUCUAGACUGCAGUAGCGACUUUUGCGAAAAGGUAUACCGUGAUAGAAGAAAUGGCUUUCUCUAAGAUAUACAAUAAACAGACUAGCAUUCUCUGUCAAGCAACUAACAAAAACAAUUGCAUAGCAGUAUUCAGUGACUUUUAAACUAUAGAUUAUUGUCGAAUGCUUGAAUGCUUGACAGAUGACUUGCAUCAAGAAAUUAAAGACAAUCUAAGCAGCAUAUAGAGAACAGAAGUGCCUGAGCUCAAACAUGUAAAAGUUCAUAGAAAUUAAAGAAAAACUAAGCAGCAUAUAGAGAACAGAAGUGCCUGAGCUCAAACAUGUAAAAGUUCAUAGAAAUUAAAGAAAAACUAAGCAGCAUAUAGAGAACAGAAGUGCCCGAGCUCAAACAUGUAAAAGUUCAUUGUCAAUCGCUUUUCUCCAAAAUGAAGUAAUAAUAUGUACUAUAAUCCCCAAAACCAAAAAAAAAAUAUCACACUGUUCUGAGUUAAUAUUUGUAUGCAUGAACUCUAGUGACUCUACCAAAUGGAAGUGUAUUCUUCGUAAAUCAUCAUAAGCUGGUUUUGCAGCAUCAGUAGGCUAUCCAUGUCUGCAUUUUCAUCAAUGGUUGGUUCAAAUGUUUUGAUUUAGAUCAAAAUUGUCAAUUCCCUCAGCGAUAUCUACAUCUUGAUUAGGAACUUGUUCAUUAACGCCUCCAUCUUGUUCAUUAGCACCUCCAUCCUGUUCAUUAGCGCCUCCUUCUUGUUCAUUAGGAACCUGUUCAUUAGCUCCUCCAUCUUGAUCAGCAUUUUGCUCAUUAGCACCUAAAUCUUGUUCAUUAGGAACCUGUUCAUGAUCGCCUCCGUCUUGAUCAGCAUUUUGUUCAUUAGCGCCCAAAUCUUGAUCAUUAGAAGCCUCAACUUGUUCCUGGUAACGCUGAAGCAAUGUUACUUCAUCCCAGUAAAUAAGCUCGUUCCUGCCACAAAAUACGAAUCAUUUACAACGUUACGUCUUACAAACCAUAUCACUUAUGCGUAGUUUCCAUUUUGUAAAAUUUUCAGAAACUUACAAUUUCAUCACGAAUCUUCAUUCUUUAUAAAAACCUGGACGGUUGGGUGACAGCAAUCUGGAGAAAGGAUAAAGUCUGUAUAAGCAAAACAAACAAACCAGGAACUGCAAAAUUGUCUUAUUAAUGAGAAUGAAAUGCUCUUUAAUAUUAAUAUCUUACAAGUUUCCACCCAAGCUGGUUUCCACAUUUGACACAGUAAACAUCGGCUCGGGUUUGGCCAUCUAUUACUUCAUGAUACGGCUCUUCCUCAAACAUUAAACCACAGAAAUUCCAAUUUCCAAAAUUGGAUGAAAUCAUGUGACUUACACAUUAUGAAAGAUCCCAUGUAGCACUAAGACCCAUUGUAGCACUAAGGAUGGCAACUGCAAAAUGUACAAGACGAAAAUUAAACAGAGUUGCUGAAUUAAUCACGAAGAGCUGUCGAAAUUAUGGGAUUGAAUCUUACAUCAUAUCCUCUUCAUGAAAUCAGUAGCAUUUCAUCAAAACAUACAAAAUGUUUUUAUGUACGAUUCAGAAAAUUAUCAUUCAAAAUUAUACUAUAUGUGGAAUCACAAGAAAAACUCAGAACAUACAACAUGACAUACUACAAAUGUAGAUUCAGAGAGAGUGAGAAUCCUUACCAAAGUAAGGAUAUUCUCGAUGAAUGCAACUCGAAUUUCGUACCUACGACAAAAGAUGCAAUCAGUAGCCUGGAUUUCGUCGUACUCAAGUAUGAAGGGCCUUCCCAUUGUAUCAACUUUGUGAAUCAAGGCCCUGUUACGUUGCACAAUAAAUUUUCUUCAACAAAGUGCAAGAGAAAUAUCAAAUUUGAGAAUUCAAGAAAGUGCAAAAUGGAAAUGAGAAGAGAAUGUCAAUAUAGAAAAGUUGGUUCUUGAUUCUUGAAUCCAAGUUAUGUAUUUACCGUUAAUUCAUGUAGGAGGGAAAUUUGAAAUAUCUUCACAUUAACCCCUAUUUAACAAUUUCCUUUUUCUAUUUUAUUUUUUACAUAUUGUUCAAUUUACCCUCCACAAAUUAUAUAUUUUUAAAUUGUAGUGUGAAUUUCGAUCUCAAAAAAUCAGAAACUUUGCUCAAUGAAAGAUGAGUAAUGGGUGCAAUUAGAGGUGAUAAAAUUAGCCACGAAAAUAUCACACUCAAUUCAUUCGAAAUGACCCGCUUAGUAGUUAUUAGCUUGGUGCAUUAAAAAUUGAACGACAUGGCCUAAACUAACUCAUGAUAAAUCUUAUCAAAUAUUUUCAAAUAAUAUCUUUUUAAUUGAUGUAUUAUAUACCGUCAUGAUAAAAAAUAAAAAAAAUUAUUAUGUACUAAAAAUUAUAAAAUAAACAAAUAAAGUAAUUAAAACACAGUAUGAAUUGAGCGAAUCGGAUUUUGACCCGAAUUUUAAUCCAUUUCAUUUCCAAGUAACUUUUAAGCGGGUCAAUAACCUACUCAGUUAUUAACUCAAUCUAUUUUAAUCCACUCGAAUUCAGCUAAUCCAUUUGACAACUCUAGAUGCAAACUAGAGACUAACUAGCACAAUGGGGAACUGAGGGUGCAACACUGCAACUUGCCCUUUGUAUCAUAAUGAUAAGGGUGUCAAACGGGCCGGCUUGGCCCAGCCCGACCCGGCCCAUGUAACUAACUCAAGCCGGUUUGACCCGGCCCGAUCAGUCCACGGGCUGUAGGAUACAGGAUACUGGGCUGAGUUAUUUUUUGUUUUGGGCUCGAUUAACCUGGCUCGGACCAAACCCGGUCCGAGCUUGUCGGUUAACCGGCCCGAAACCUUUUUUUUAUAUUAAAAAAAAUGAUUUCUGCAUAUUGGGCCAAUUUGACCGUUGGGCCCAACGGCUAUAUUACCGUUUGGGCCCUAAAAAUGGCUAAUUGGCCUAAUUUAAAAAAAAAUCAAUUAAAAUAUUUUUUAAAACUCAAAAAAAAUCAUAUAAAUACCCUACACUUUCAAAUCAUUCUCCAAACAAUUUUCAUUCUCUCAACUCUCAAUUCUCAAAUAUUCUAUAUAUUUCCUAAAGUUCUUACUUUAAUUUUUAAAUUUUGCGAUUACAAAGUACGAGUAGAAGUUUCUAAAGUCGCAACCUUCAAAUACUUCCAAAAUUUGGUAUUGUCGUUCAUCUCUUACGUUUAAUUUUUAAUUAGUGUAUUAAUUGUUGAAUAUUUAAUUUUAUUAUAUUUGUGUAUUUUGAAUUUUUUUAGUUUAAUUUAUAUUAUGGAUAAAUUAAGAAACCUCGCCACUAAAGGUGUUAAAAUUUUUUGUCUCGGAAGUGGUAGUGGUAGUAAAAAAUGAAUUACUAGCGGUAGAGGUACUUCAAGUAGUAGAUAUACCUGUGUGCCUCUGCCUCCGGUACCGCUUAGUCAACCUUUUGAGGAAGAAAUAGGUGUAGGUGCUCACGAUAUGGAUCAUGUUCAAGCUGGGAAAAAUUAUGGUAUAGAAGAAGAAAAUGAAGUAGAUGCGGUUAAUUUAGAUGAAGAUGAUGAAAAUAUUGGUGAGACACCCACAGUAGGAAAUGCUAACGUUAGAUCUGAAUCGGUUAAUCUCCUUCCCCGUCCUCCCCGUUUCCCAAGAGCUCGUAAAAUAACUAGUAUUGCAUGACAAUUUUUUGAACGUAUAUCAGAUAUUGAGGUGCAAUACAAUAUUUGUCAACAAAUAUAUAAGCAUAAAAAAGGAGGCAAGCAAGGGGGUACGGGUACGUUAAUGAGACAUAUAAGUGAUAAUCACGAUAGAAAGUUAAAAAUUGCACAGGGUGGUGCGCAUGUUGGUGGGCCAACACAAACUAGAAUGGACCCAAAACCGGUCAGGUAAUGAAAAAAUAUAAUAAAUUGAGGGACUGGGAAGAAAUAGCUAAAAUGAUUGUUGUGGGUUGUUUGCCUUUUAGUUUUCCUUCUUCUGAUGUCUUUAUUCAUUAUAUUCAAGUAAUUUAUAAUCCUAUGUUUAAUGGUAUUCCUAGAAGUAUUUGUAGGGCCAAUAUUUUUAGACUUCAUUCACAAUAUUGUUUUUAUUUAUCAACAUUGUUAAAAAAUAUUCAAUGUAGAAUAUCCCUAACUUCUAAUGUUGGCCGUGCUGUAAAUAAAAAUGACUAUUUAACCAUUACUUGUCACUGUAUAGAUAGUAAUUUUGUUAUGCAAAACAUAUUCUUGCUUCUUUAUAUAAUGAAGAUCUUAAACAUACUGGAGAUUUUAUUGCUGAUUUGAUUGCUAAAGUUGCGGAAUUUUACGAUAUUGAAAAUAAAAUCUUAUGUAUUGCUUUUGAUAAUGCUUCUAACAACAAGACCGCUAUAACAAAGUUAAAAUUUAAGUUAUCUCCGUCGUUACCUGAAAUUUUUCAUGUUUUAAGUGUGCUUGUCAUAUAUAUAAUUUAAUUGUAAGAGAUGGUCUUGAGUUUUUUGAGCUUUAUAUUAAAAAAAUUCGGCUUGCCGUUGGUUUUAUUCAAGGAAAUAAUCGUAGAAAAAGAAUUAGAGACUUUAAACUUAAAUGUGAACAAAAUGGACUUGCACCGAUAUUGAUCUCCGAAGAAUGUGAUACUAGAUGGAAUGCUACGUAUGAUUUUUUAAAAACUUGUUAUAAAUAUAGAGUUUCUAUUACACUAUCUUUUAACCAACAUUGUGAUUCGUUUGCUGAUUCUGCCCACUACACGCUACAUGAUUCUGACUAGGCUGUAAUUAAUGAUCUUGUUAAGUUUUUAAAAAAAAAUUAUAUAGCUACGGUUGAAUUUUUCGGUGCUUAUUAUCCUAUUGUUUGUAAUAUUUUGGCAUAUAUAGCCGAUAUUUCUGGUUUUCUCGAAGAAUAUAAAAAUAAAGAAGGUUACAAAUAAGUUGUUGGUGUCAUGUUUGCUAAAUUUAAAAAAUAUUUUUUUCGAUUUCCCCUAUUUACUUGGUUGGUGUUAUACUAAUUCCGUGCAUGAAAUAUAAUACUAUGUGCCGCUUUAGUAUUCUUAUUUAUGCUAACUUAGAGAUAAAUACUAACAAUGAUUCUCGUGAUGAAGAACAAGAACAACCUGAUUUGUGGAUGGCUAUGGGGGAUGCGAAUGCUUACAUAGAUAAAUUAUAUAACCACUAUGCUGAUUUGGUUGAUUUAGCUGUACCGACAAAUAUCACUCCAACUGUCGUUCCUCAUCCUCCCGAGGAGCCAUCAUCUUCUAAAAGGCCGGCACAUAAUGGUAUUCCUGAUUUCUUUUAUGAUUUACCUUGUUGGAACAGUGUUGACGAGGGAGCUUACACAACAACUUGUCGGGAAGAGCUGAAGUAUUAUCUUCGAACACCGAUAGAGGAUCACAGACAACGGAUCAACGCGUUGGAUUGUGGAGGAAUAAUGAAACACAAUAUCCCGUGCUUUCAAGAUUAGCCAGAGAUAUCUUGAAUGUUUCAAUGUCAAUCGUUGCAUCGGAGAGCGCUUUUAGUCAGGGAUGACAGCAGCUUGGAGACAACCAACAUUCAUUGGGAAGUAAUGCAAUGAAUAUUCUAGUUUGCCUUAGAGAUUGGAUUAGAACGGAACGAAGAAAUCAAGGAAUGGAAGCGGAGCCGAACGACGAGCAGAGACUUGAAGAAAUUAUGACUUUACGGGAGAACUCAGCAGAAUCAAGUCCAAUGCAUGGUUUUUUCCCCAUUGACUUUGACUAUCCUAUGCAAGUUCCCGUUAAUAUUAACAUGAAUGAGUUGGAAAAAAUGAUGCAAAAUUUGUAGAUUUUCCAUCCAUGUAAAUUAUAAAUUUUGAAUCAUUUUGCAAUCAAUAAAAUUCAACAUUCAUUCACUCUUUAGUCCUUACUUUGUAAUUUUUUCCAUUUAAUGAUGUAAAUUGAAUUUCUAGUUUAAAUUAAAUACUUAAUUUUAAUAUAUUACUAAUUUACUAUCAAAUAUUAUUAAUUUAUUAUAUUAAGUAGCAUAUGUUUUAUUUAAAGAAGUACAUACAUUGAAUGAUACGUAUACAUGUGUAUAUGUUUUAUAAAUUAGUAUAUAUUUAACGUAUACAUGUGUAUAUGUUUUAUAAAUUAGUAUAUAACUAUAUAUUUAGUGCGUGUAUAUGUUGAAGUAUAUGUUUUAUUUAAAGAAGUACAUACGUUGAAUGGUACGUAUAUAUGUGUAUAUAUUUUCUAAAGAAGUAUAUAUUUAAUGUAUACAUGUGUAUAUGUUUUAAAAAUUAGUAUAUAUAUCAUUAUAUUGUAGUAUAUGUUUUAUUUAGAGUAGUAUAUAUAGUUAACUAACGUAUAGUCGUAUACACGAUUACAUGUGUAAUUACGUAUAUGUAUUAUGUGUAUAUAUUUUUUAAAGUCUAAUGUAGUAUAUACUAUAUAUAUAGUGUAUAUAUAUUGUUUAACAUAUGUAAAAUGUAUAUAGGUGGGUAUAUAUAGUGUAUAUUGGAGAAAAAACUUUUUUUUUGUUGUUUGACCGGUUUUGACCGGGUUUAGAUGGGUUGGACCGGGUUGGGUUAAGUGGGCCAGUUCAGGCUGUUGGCCCCGGAACCGGCCCGGCCCAUUUAACUAGGCCUGGAUCCGGCCCGGCCCACUAACCGGCUGCCGAUUUCGAGUUGACCCGGCCCGACCCACUUAGCACCCUUACAUAAUGACAAUGAGACUCUGUCACAUUUGUUACUAAACUUGCUCCAUCUCAUUGCGUGGUAUAUCAUAAUAGGCCAAUUUUUUCUGUUAGUACUUUACAAAUCAUAUAGCAUAUGCGUAUGGAGGGGCUGCAGCCAAAAGUACAGGAUGUCAUACAGGUUCAUAUAGUACUUUCUUCAUUCUUGUCAAUUAGUAGAGGUUCAUUUCCUUAGGAUUGGCAAGGUAACGCCUAGCCCUCUCUAAGAAUUAUACAGAACUCCAAAAGCAGUAAACUUGAGUGCUUGUGCACCCUUCAUCUUUAUUCUGGAUGUCAUACAGAACUCCAAAAGCUGUAAAUAUGCUUCAUGUAGCAGAUUUUUAGAUGUCAAACUAAAUAAUACACGGAUAGCCUUUUUCUAAGGCCACCCUCCAGUACUAGCGUUAGCCACAAGGCAGCAUAGAGAGAGCCUUUCAGCAUCUCGGAAAUUGUUUGCGCAUCGCCAUAUUACAAGAUAACAAUAUAGUGGAUUGUGCCAUCUGCUCAUAAAUCAACUCCAGGGUGAUAAUACAAGCCAUCAGAUAAACAAUUUUCAAAUAUAUGUGUUGAGAUUGAACUUUACCACAUACUGUAAGAAAAAACAAACUAAAGUUCUCUAGCAUUUACUGUCAAGCAACAUCCAAGGAAGUAUAGUUGACUUGCUUAAGGAAACUAAAAGAUAAACUAAGCAGUAAACAGAGAAAGUAUGAACUCUAUUCAGAAACUGUGCAUCUUUCUGCAUUUUGAACAGCAUAAGUAGGCUAUCAUUGUCUACAUUUUUAUCAAUAUUAUCAAUUCCACCAGCCAGUUGAUCUACAUCUUCCUUCAUUUCGCUGGCACGCUUCCAUCUUGAUCAUGAUUCUGUUCAUUAGCAUCUCCAUCUUGAUCAGCAUUUUGCUCAUUAGCGCCUCCAUCUUGAUCAGCAUUUUGCUCAUUAGCGCCUCCAUCUUGUUCAUUAGGAUCCUGUUCAUUAACGCCUCCAACUUGAUCAUUAGGGCCUCCAUCUUGUUCAUUAAUGCCUCCAACGUGAUCGUUAGGGCCUCCAUCUUGUUCAUUAGGAACCUGUUCAUUAAUGCCCCCAUCUUGAUCAUAAUUCUGUUCAUUAGCAUCUCCAUCUUGAUCAGCAUUUUGCUCGUUGGCGCCACCAUCUUGAUCAGCAUUUUGCUCAUUAGCACCUCCAUCUUGAUCAGCAUUUUGAUCAUUAGCGUCUAAACCUUGUUCCCCGUCUAAAUUAAACAACGGUACCCCAUCUAAAAGAUUCAACGGUGCACCAUUCCAGGAACUAAUCGUGUUCCUGCCACAAUAUACUUAUCUUUAUUAAAACUUACUAGUCAUACUGCAUAAGUGUACAGUUUCAGUUUGCAUAUUUUUAAUUAGAAACUUACAAUCCCAGACAGAAUCUUCCUUCUCUAAAUAACACGAAGUGUUGGGGUACAGCAAUCUGCGGAAAUCAUUAAUUCAGUAUUUAAUAAAAGAAGCAGCAAAUCUGUCUUGUUCAUCAAAAUCAAAUGCUCUUUAAUAUUAGUAUCUUACAAGUCGACACCCGAGCAGCAUUCCACAUUUGGCACAGUUAACUUUGGCUGUGGUAAGUCCAUAUAUCUCAGGAUCAUCAGUCACGUCGUCUGAUAUUCUAACAUUAAACCUGCAUAUAUACAAAGGUUUGUAACGUUUGGGAUAAUACAUACCCAAGUUGCUGAAAUCAUAUGAAAUCAGAAUCGCAUGAAAUCGUGUAACUUACACUCUAGUAAAGACCACUAUUGGAAAACGGAAUAGCACCUGCAAAGUGUACAAGACAAGAAAAUUAGUCAAGAAAUAUAACAUACAUGCUAAAUUAAUUCAAGAUUGUCCUGAAUUUGUUUGUAUACCAUUUGGUGUAUUCAUAAAUAAAUUGAUUUCUGCGCGAAGCAGAGAGAGUGAGAAUCCUUACGAUAAAAUCGAUAUCGUAGACGAGAGCAAUAUGAUUUCUGCACUGACGACAGUAGAUGCAAUAUCGAGGACGGAUAUAAUUGCAUUGAUUAAAAAGUCGACUGCUCAUCGUAUCAACUUUGUUGAAUCAAAAAAAUGGCUGGGAAUUAGAAAGACUAACUUCAAAAUAUCAGAAAAUCGAAGACAGACUAACUUCUCACCAGAAAAGCAUUAACGAGAAUUCAAGAAAGUGAAAAAUGGCUGGGAAUUAGAAAUGCAGAAAGACUGAAUUUAAUGGGAUUUUUGAAGGAUAAAAUGAAGAGAAGAUAAUGUUAAUAUAGAAAACUCAGUUCUUGAUUCUUGAAUCCAAGCUCUGUAUUUACCGUUAAUUAAAAAAGGAGGGAAUUUUGAAAGAUAAAAUUUCUUUUUUAUUUUUCCCCUUAAGAAGAAGUAUUACAAUUUACCCUCCGAAAUUAUUUUCUUUUUAAUUUUAUCCUGAUUUAAACAUAUAUGCACCGACUUAAAAAUUAAAAUUGUAUAGAGAAUAGAAUAUCAUUAUGUUUCCGUUUCUUUUUUCUUUACUUACGAGAAAUAAAGAUUAUAUCUUAAUAAUGUUAUUGUUGUGUGAAUUUUUAUAGUAAAAAAUGUAUUUGUAUCGAGUAUUUAAAUGACUGAUAUAAUAUUUACAACAACAAUAACAUAUUCAGUGUAUUCUCACGUAGUGGGGUCUGGGGAGGGUAAAAUGUACGCAGUCCAUACCAUUACUAGAGAAGUUGUUUCCGAUAGAUCCCCUCGGGACAAAAAGACAGUAAUUAAAGAAGUAAUAAAACAUGAAACAAGGUGAACUAACCAAAAUAAAACACCCACAAAAUAUUACUAUACACUAUCAAACCAAAAUCACGCACCUAACCCAAACCCUCCUAGCUAGAAACUUCAAUCUAUGCACAAAGCCCCAUGAUACUAGCAAGGCUACACCCACACGCAACCCUCUAACCUAAUUUGUAUCCUUCAUACCUUCCUAUCUAGGGUCAAGUUCUCGGUAAGUUGUAACUGCUCCAUGUCACGUCUAAUCACCUCUUCUAGUAUUUCUUCGGUCUACCUCUACCCCACCUAAAAUCAUCCAAUGUUAAUCCCUCACGCCUACGAAUUGGCGUCUCAAUGCCCCUCUUCAUAACAUGUUUGAAUCAUCUCAACCUCACUUCCCGCAUUUUGUCCUCCACCGAAGUCACUCCCACCUUUCCCGAAUAGUCUCAUUCUGAACUCUAUCUCCCCUAGUAAGUUCACGCAUCCAAUACAACAUCCUCAUAUCUGUCACCUUCAACUUUUGGAUGUGCGAGUUCUUGACUGGUCAAUACCCGCUCGAUACAACAUAGUCGGACGGAUUGCCACUCUAUAGAAUUUUUCUUGUAGCUAGGAGGGCAACUUCUUAUCACACAAAACUCUCGACACAAGCCUCCAUUUCAUCUACCUUGUCCUAAUAAAUAAUUUGGUUUCAUAUUGAAGCGUUCAACUAAAUAGGCAAUUCAUCUUGUAAGAAAUUUGAUCGAGCAGUGUAGAGAAAGGAAGAUUGACUUAUAUAUGGUGUUCAUCGACCUAGGAAAAAGCAUACGAUAAUAUCCUUAAUGUACAUGUAACUGUUGGGUUCAAUAUGUAUGAAAAAAGCGUAAAUGGAAAAUUGAGGGACACAACCUUUGAGGAAAAGACAUAUUGUUUUGGAAAAGGGGUGACUAUUCAGAUAGUUGUGUCUGUUCAAAAAAAGACACAAUGUUUCGAAUGAACAGACAUGACUCUUCCAAAGGAUACACCUUUUCAGAUGAACCAUUGCUACCUUUAGGAAGGGGCACUUGAUGGCUAUAUAAACCUGCAUUUAUCCACAGGUUUAGGCAUGAAAAAUUUUCUGAAUAUACAAACUCUUCUUGUCUUUAAAACAUUCUGUGUGAUCAAUCAAACUGUUGAGUGAGUUCGUUGAAUCCAACAAUUUGAGGUACCGCUAUUAUUCGGAUUGAAGGGGAUUUUAUCCUAGGAGGAAGAUUCCAUAACCUCGGGUACAGUGAGGAGAAUUAUUCCUUAAUGACACUCCGUGAAGUCGGGGGACUUGGCCUUACAAAUUCUAUUUCAUCUAUUUUCUGAAAAUAAACACACUUCUUAGAUAGAUUAUUCAUAAUCUAGUGCUGAAGGUGUUAAGUAACUUCAAAAGUGUUCUUGUCUUGGAGUUGAACUAAAGUUGAAGUUGGUGUUACAUGUAUACAGAUUUUUGUACCCAAACACCACAAAACUACAGUAACUUACAUUAAGGCGAUAAAGAUAUGUCUGGUGGAGUCAAGAUCCGAGUGAAUACGAUUGAAGGAGACUCAAAACACUUUCCUAUCUUGAUGGGGUUGCACCACGAUUCAGCUCAUAGUUUGUUUUAAUUUAUUAUGGUGAUGAAUGAACUAAUGUUGCACAUCGGGGAGGGGGGAGUAGCAUGAUGUAUGUUAUUUGCAAAUGAUAUAGUGUUGAUGAGAUUAGCGACAAGUUAACGAUGGACUGAAGAUUUGGAGACCAACUCUAAAAUCUGAAGGGUUCAAAUUUAGCAGACUAGAGAUUUGACAGUUCUUUUUCACGUUCAUACAUUUUCUAUUUUUUAAAGUUAAAUUGGUUGUCGAAUACCAUCCUUCUUCUUGGUAAACAAAAAUCAUUAAACUAAAUUUUUGUGUACUUUAAUUUAUAAUAAUGAAAUAAGAUUUAAAUGUCAAGUGGUAGUAUUACUACUAUUAAUAAGAGUGAAAAACAGGCAGCACUUCGUCAACAUGACUGCUUCUUCACCUGUUUCAGUUGCUUCGUGAUUUUACUAUAUUAUCCCUAAUUAAUUAUUUUAACUUAUUUAUAUAUAAGAAAUAUAAUAAUACUUAAUUAAAAAAAAAAAAAAUAGACAUUUAUGACAUGUUUGUUUCAGCUGCUUUAAUUGUAGUUUUAUUUUAUCACCUCAAAUUAAUUAUUAUUUCUUACGCCCUUUCUGUUAUGUCAUACAUCCCCUUGUUUACUAUUCUUUACAUUGAGUCAGGGGUCUCUCGGAAACAACCUCUCUACUUAUUCGGAGGUAGCAGUAUGGAUUACGUACAUCUUACCCUCCCCAGAUCCUACUUUGUGGGAAUACACUGGGUUUGUUGUUGUUGUUGUUGUUGUAUCCAAGUAUUAAAAAAAUAAUAAUAUUUAAUAAAUAAUAAAAUAAAUAUAAAUGAUAAAUCAAUUCUUGAUGUUUUAAAUUAAUAGGACAUCUUAUAUGAGACUUAUUUUAAAAAAUUCACAAGUAUGUUUGCUCCAUGAUUUUACUAUAUUACCCCUAAUUAAUUAUUGUAAGACAUUUACAUAUAAUAAAAUUAAUAAUAUUUAAUAAAAAAAUAAAAUAGACAUUUAUGACAUGUCUACUUCAGCAGCUUCAACCGUAAUUUUACUAUAUCACCCUUAAUUGAUUAUUAUAAGUCAUUUAUAUAUUUAAAAUUUAAUAAUAUUUAAUAAAAAUAAAAUUGACAUAAAAUGAUAAAUUAAUUCUUGAUGUUUUAAAUUAACAUGACAUCUUAUAUGAGACUCAUUUAAUUUUUUUCACAAAUAUUUUCUCAUAAUAGUUUUUCUAUAUCACCUCUAAUUAGGUAUUAUAAGUUAUUUAGGAUAUAUCCACUUCGGUGCUUCAAUCAUUAAAUUUGGUUGACUCUCGAAUUUAUUUUAGUGCUACUUAAAUUGGAAUAGAAGAAAAAGUAUUAUAAAUCAUAAUAACUAAAAACUUAAAUUAUUUUAAGAAUAUAACUGAAUAUCAAUGCCACAAAAAUUUGAAUAAGGAGAGUAACACAUAUUAUUUGAAAAUUACAUAAAAAAAUAUUAUAAUUUACAAUAGCUAACAAUUUAAAAUAUUUAAAAACACAUUAAGAAUCUUAUUGAUUAUCUAAAUUAUGUUUGUGUCACGUAAAUUCGAGAUAGUCUUGACAUUUUAUAAUUUGCAUGUUUUAUUGUUUUAAUUUAGUAAUUUGUUGAUCCAAAUGAUGUUUUCAAAUUUAACAUGUUUUAAAAAAUUAGUACUUUGUUUAUUUUAAUUUAUUUACUUUAUUUUGGUAAAAUAUUAUAUAUUUAAAAAUUAUGCAAAAAAAAAAUUAUAAGUCAUAACUAUUAACAUCUUAUAAUAUUUUAAAAACAUAUAGUAAAAAAUAUGAUUUACUUUUGAAAUUCUAAUAGUGUCACAUAAGUUGCGAUAAAGCAAGUAAUAUAAAUUAUUUGAAAUUUCAUUAAAACAUACUAAAAUCACAAAGAUUAACAACUUCAAAUAUUUAAAAAAAUAUAUUAGUAAAAAAAAUUGAUUGACUCACUAAAUUCUAAUAUUGGGACAAAGCAAGUAACAUAAAUUACUAAAUUACAUAAAAGAUACUAUAAAUCACAAUGAUUAGCAACUUAAAUUAUUUAAAAAUUUUAUAUUAAUAAAAAUUUGAUUGACACUACUCCAAAAACUAUUUAUAUUAUAUAAAUUGAGAUAACGUAAAUAAUAUAUAUUAGGAGUGGAUGGAAGAAAUGAAGGGUCACCUUUUUUAUUUGAAAUUCUUGUAAUGUGACAAAACAUUUUUUUCCUUUUACUAGAAUACCAACUCUAUCCCGUAUUACUAUAUUGUUUUAUUUCCUAUUACAUAUCUUUUAAAGAAACUAGGAGAUUAUUUUUACCAAUUUAACAUUUAACUCUUUUUAUACUAUAUUAUAUUUACCUUCUUUAUCCAUCAAUAUAAAAAUUAACAAUGAAAAACUUUCUUGAAACUCUGCAUAAUUUUAUCUUAAUUUUGUAAAUUAAUAAAUAAUUUGAAACAUGUCGUAUCACUUGGGAUUUGACUAUCACUGGGGGUUUUUCAGUAAAAUCAUGUAGCACAGCUCUAGAAAGUGCAUACGACGCAAAUUCUCAAAACAAUCUUAUACCCAGAACCUAAUCUCCUUUAUUUGGAUUUGAAAACUUUGGAUCCCUCCGAAAUUAAAAUAUUUUCCGUGGCUCCUGAAUCAUGGACGAAUAACUAACUCUAGCUUGCUAUACCAUAUUAAAGUUGUAGAUUCUCCUAUGUGUAGGCUUUGCAAUACAAUGGCUGAAGAAACAAACGCUCGCCCUUUCGUCCUUUGUCCAAAGGUUGCACCAAUAUGGACUGGGUUUAGUGUCAUGCAUCAGCUGAGCACUCUUGUAUCAACUGAUACUCACCCGUCCCGAUGGUUACAUGAUCUAAUCCACCACUAUUUAAACCCCUCCGAAGGGGUGUGGUUACGCACACCCUCUAAGAUCUACAUGGCUUUUUGCAUCUGGCAUAUCUAACUUGCACGAAAUAAAUUCAUAUUUGAAAGUAUUCUCUUUUUACCGUCUUUAAAGGACGUUUCACAAAUGGCCGAGGAAUUUCGGUUCCUAGUAGGCCUUACGGGGGAAAACUAAGAUUUCAAUGGAUCCGAAGGGGCACACCCCCCCCCCUCCCCCCCCCGCGCGCAAGCAAACUGCAUGCUUAAUACUGAUUGUGCUUCUGAGACCUCAUCUACAAAUCAACAUUAACUCGGCCUAGGUGGUGUUUUCUGGAACUAUAAGGCGGAAUGGGUAUUAGGCUUUCAUGGAACCUGCGCUGUUACAGAUGUCCUGGAAGGAGAAACUUACGCUCUGUUAUUAGGACUCCGGUUUGUUUAUCAGAACAACCUUUUUCCACUGGAAAUUGGGAUAGACUCUCAACAAUUAGUCCGACUACUUGAUUCUAAUACAUAUCCGAAUUUAACUUUGAUAUCUGACUCAACUUUAAUAUCUGAUUAUAGGUACCUCCUGGGCGCACUAGAUAAUCGUCAACUGCACCACUUUUUCAGGGAACAGAAUAGGCUAGCUGACAGAUUGACAAGAUUACCUAGUACAAUCUCUACUACUAUGUUGUUUUGGACUCCACCACAGUCACUCAGUGACAUUUUGUAUGCCGAUAUAAAUGGAGUAUUAUUAGUUAGACAGUUGAACACUUUAACUGUUCACCCAAGCGUGUAUUAUAUUAGUCCCAUACAGGAUUUCAAGGGCUCCUACUUCUACUACCACACUUGUGACUCGAUCACAACUAGACUUGUAAAUGUUUUUGUGUUAUAAAUAAAACUCUGCCUGUUUCACCAAAAAAAAAAUCGUACGAACUAAAAAAUUUCUACGUUGCCUAGACCUAUUAUCAUGGCAAAAUGACCUUCUGGACCCUUGUACUAUGUCGAUUUUGUAAGUUAGAUACUUCUACUUAUAUGUUUGUCAUCUGGACCCCUGAAUCCACUAAAAAACAACAUUUUAAAUCCUUUUUUGGUGAGUGUAAUGCACUCUUUCCACGUCAGCGGCCACGCCUGCCUCAUUUGCCACGUUAUUUAAAAAAAUAAAAAAAUAGAAAGUAUUAUAUUAAAUUUCAAGUCAUUUUUAAAAUGCUAAAUAACAAAUUAAAUAUUAAAAUUAACUUAAUUAAAUAAGAAAAAUUUAUAAUUGUAGAAAAAUUUGAAUAAUCAUGUUUUUAUUUUUGCUCACAAAUUAAACAUCAAAUUCAUUCCAAAUAAUUAAAAUUCUUUUCGAACUAAUUUAAAUUUUGAAUUAUAAAUUCAUAUAUACAAACAUAAUAAAAUUUUGAUUUUUAAAUUUGAAUAUCUUUAAAAAAUUCACAAAAAGUUUAAUUUUUUUCAAGAAAAAUUCACUAAUUUUUUAAAGUAUUCACUAUCACUCAUUUUCAAUUCAAAUUUAAAUUUUAAUAAUAAUAAAAAAGAUUUCAAAUUUAAAUUUUUAUUCAAAAAAAUGAAAAGAAUUGAAUUGAGGGAAAAUUAAAAUAAAAAAUAAAAAGUAAAGAUGGUGGUAGGAAGGGGUGUUGGAAGAGUGUUGGGGUAGGGUGUGGGGUUGAAAAGGACUAGGAUGGGGUGGAGAUAGGGCUAGGAGAAGUUUGGGGGCUGGAGGUGGGGUUGGAAGGGGCUGGACUAAGAUAAUGAGGUGUGUGGGUGGGGAUAGGGCUGGGGUGANNNNNNNNNNNNNNNNNNNNNNNNNNNNNNNNNNNNNGGGGCGGGGAGGAAAAAAAUAAUUUUAUUUUAUUUUAACUUUUAAAAAAUAAUUUUAAAUUAUCUUAAAAUUCUAUUUUUUUAAAAAAAAAUUUAAAAAUAUUUUAAAAUUAUUUUUAAAUUUUUCAAAAUAUUUUUAAAUUAAAAAGGAUGGAGGAAAAAAAAGACCCUUUUUAAUUUUUUUUAAUUUUAAUAUUAUUUUUUAAAAUUAUUUUAAUGUAAAAUUGGCCUCCACUCGCACCAUCAGGCGAGUGGCUACACUCUAUUUGUCAUAGUCACCAUUUCAAUGCCACAUAGGCAAGAUCAACGGUCAAAUAGUGCAAAAUAUUAUGUUUUAAUGGGUACAAGGGUCCAGAUGACAAACAUAUAAGUAGAAGUGUCUAAAUUACAAAAUCGACAUAGUAAAGGAGUCCAAAAAGUGAUUUUGCCUAUUAUAAUCCCUAGAUCUUGUUUCACAUGGAUCCUAUCGCCGUCCAAUCAUAUUCAGUUUCCGGGUCUCACCCGGAUCGAUAUUUCUAUCCGUCGAUUAACAAGUAAAUCCCCAAAUAUUUAACGGCUGCGAUUGACUUCUCCAAAUCCCCCAAUUCAUUUCGAACCGGGAAAUUUACGUCGGCCCAAAUCCCCCAACUAUAAAUUACCCACCACCAUCUGCUUCAUUUCUCAUUCAAAUUCAAAACCCUAGAAUCUUUAUCUUCUUCAAAUUCGUCUCUGUGAAAAUGUCUGGCCGCGGAAAGGGAGGCAAGGGAUUGGGAAAGGGAGGAGCCAAGAGGCACAGGAAGGUUCUUAGAGACAACAUCCAGGGAAUUACCAAGCCAGCUAUUCGUAGGCUUGCUCGCAGGGGUGGUGUGAAGCGUAUCUCUGGUUUGAUCUAUGAGGAGACCCGUGGAGUUCUUAAGAUCUUUUUGGAGAAUGUGAUUCGUGAUUCAGUUACCUACACUGAGCAUGCUAGGAGGAAGACUGUUACUGCUAUGGAUGUUGUUUAUGCCCUCAAGAGGCAGGGAAGGACUCUCUACGGAUUUGGUGGUUAGAUCAGUUGUUAGUUAGUAGAUGUAGAUCUGAUGGAAAUUUCUGCUGUUUCUGUGUUUUAGUUUCUAUUUAGUGUUGUUCUACUUCUUAUGCUCUCUAGAUAUUGUAAUUUCUCAUUACAUAUUCAAUGAACAGCUGCUCAAUUUCUAGAAAUUACAAUGGUUGUUCUCCAGCUGACUAUUAUUGUUGUUAAUUGAUUGAAAUUACAUAUCCUGUUUUUGCAACCAUGGGUUUGGGUAUUCAUACAUUUGCGAAGUGCAUACAUUUUCUUUGAUUUAUGUUCUUCAUUGGUUAUUGUUUGUUCAAUUUGAAUUUUGACAAGUGCCUGCUUGGAAAUAGAAGAGAAAUCUGUUCCAACAGUGCUGCCACAUAGUAGUAGACUACCUUGUAAAGAGCUCGGCAAAUUAUGAAAGUUUGGCUCCAAGCCUACUCAACAAAAUUCCCCAGAUUUUCAUCAAUGAAAGGUGACACGAAGUAAAAAUAAAAUGAAAAAUUGACAGCCACUUGCUUUGUUGUGUUAAUUUGGAUGGCUAGGGUGUGCAUUCAAUCUUCGUUUGUUUUUCUUUGUUUUAGUAGCUGAUUGAUUACCUUCAUACUGGUCUUAGACUGUUCAAAGACUAUCUGCACUAGUGUUUUCACCUGAAGGAUUUAGGCACGUUAAAGUGUUUUCACUGAAUUAAUAAUUUAGGCAACAAGUGUUUUUGUAUGAUUGGGAUAUUUCUUUGUCUAUGCAAAUAUGCCUUGGACAUAAUUUUUGAGGCUGGAAUAUUGGGAGCCAAGCCAAUUAGCACUCCCUUGGAGAAAAUCGUAAGUUGGCACUGGUCGGGGGAGCAGACCUUACAGAUCCAAAAGAUAUUAUCGGUUGGUUGAUUGCCUUAUAUAUCUUUGUUUCACUCUACCUGAGUUAUCAUAUGCUGUGUGUAUGUGUUGUCUUAGUUCUUAUAUCAACUAAAGAGGUGAAUGGUGUUGCGACUCUAUGGGUAGUGCACUAGUACAACUCUGGAAGAAAAUAUGGUGCAGAAACAAAAUACCAGUAGAUGAUGAUGACCAUUUGUGAAUUGCAAUGGUUAAAAGUCGUCAAUAUAUAUUGUGACGGUCAAUCAACACUUCACAUUACCCAGAAUUUGAUUUUCUAUGAACUAACCAAAUUUUAGUUAAAGACACUGAACGACCCAGAAUUCAUGGCAAAACAACUUCAGGAUUUGUAUUACCGCGUUUUAGGCAGCGAUAAACUUCAUUGCUCUCAAUCAGCAGUUGCUGGACAUGUGCUCCGUAUAGCAGAAGUGGAGAUGUCAUGUUAAAUGAACACCAAACAUUGCCAUAUUACAAAAUGACAAUAUAGUGAUGCAAAAAGCAACAUGAAUAAACAAAAAGCAUAAUUUAUAAAAAUGCCCUUUUAGUUGGCCUCAUCUCGCAUCUAUGACCUCCAACUCUGCAUGUGCUUAAGUGGACCCUUAAACUUGUAUAAAGUUGAAUAAGGAGACACGCGUCCUAUGUGGCAAUAAUACACGUAAGACGUGAUGUAGGACAUGAAUUAGCCACGUAGGAUAACACACAGGACUCAUGUGUCUAUUUGUUUAACUUUAUACAAGUUUAAGUGUCUACCUAUACGCACUCAAAGUUAGAAGGCCAUAAAUACAAGCUGAAGUCAAGUAAAAGGCCACAUUUAUGUAUUAUGCCUAAACAAAUAGUAAACUAGGAUGUCGCUCAUAAAUGAACUCUGGGAUAAGAGUAAAAGUAUGUGUUAAAAUACGACUUCGCCACAUACUGAAACGUCAUCUUUCCCCAUAAUAGUCAUCCACAUCUAUAAGAAAACAAACUAAAGUUGACUAGCAUUACUGUAUAUAGAUGUUGCAGUUAAGGAAAUACAUCUCUGACAGUCGACUUGCUUAAAGAAAUUGAAAGAUGAACUGUAGUACCAGAGCUCAAACAGGUACUGUAAUCCCAAAAUCAACCUGAAUAUGUACUGUAAUCCCAAAAUCAAAUAGAGAAAAGAAUCUUUCUUUUGUCAAGUAUGAACUCCAUUCAGAAUGGUCGGCUAUCAAUGUCUGUGUUUUAAUCAUUAGUUGGUUUGUAUUAUAUAUUCCAUCACCCAGUCGAUCCACAUCUUCAUUCAGUGCAUUGGUGCGCCUCCAUCAUGAUCAGCAUUUUGCUCAUUAGCGCCUCCAUAGUGAUCAGCAUUUUGCUCAUUAUUAGCGCCUCCAUAGUGAUCAGCAUUUUGCUCAUUAUUAACGCCUACAUCCUGAUCAGCAUUUUGCUCACUAUUAGCGCCUCCAUCUUGAUCAUCAUUGUGCUCAUUAGCGCCUCCAUCUUGAUCAGCAUUUUCCUCAACAACUUCUAAUUCUACGUCGUGUAAAGGAAACAACGGAUCAUUAUUCCAGUAAGUAAGCCUGUGCCUGCCACAAAAUGCUCAUCUCUAUUAACCCUUACCAGUCAUACUGCAUAUGUCUACAGUCUGAAUUUGCAUAUUCAUAAUUAGAAACUUACAGUAUCAUAAGGAAUCUUCCUUGUCUAAUGGACAUGGAUGGUUGAGGGACUGCUAUCUGGAGAAAUCAUUAAUUCAGUAUUUAAUAAAAAGGAGCAACAAAAUCUCUUGUUCAGGAAAAUCAAAUGCUCUUUGGUAUUAGUUUCUUACAUAUCGCCACCCGAGCAGCAGUCCACAUUGGACACAGAGGGCAUCGGCCAGGGUGUUUCCACCCACUACAUGAAGAGCAUUCGCGUCUUGUAAUACUUCAACAUUAAACCUGCAUAUAUACAAAUGUGUGCAAUAAUACAUAUAUGUCUCAGACCGCAGAAAGUUUAGGCAAAUGACAAAUCUCAAGUUGCAGAAAUCAUAUGUAAUAUUCAUUUUUCAAAAAUGCAUGAAAUCUGAGACUUACACUCCACGAAAGAUCCCUACUGGCAAUACGGCUUGCACCUGCUCGGUGGAAAAGACAAGAAAAUGAGCAUAAUAACUUGUUUUGUGCUUAGUCAAGAAAUAUAACAUAUAUGCUUAAUUAAUCACAAUUCAUGAUGCAAAUAAAGCCAUUGAAUCUUACAUAUUGUCUUUAUGAAAUCAGUAGCAAUUUCAUCAAAAGAUACAACAUACUUUUUCCUAAACGAAUAGUUAGAACAAUUUAGAAGAAAUUAAUUCAAGAUUGUCCUGAAUUUGUUUGUGAACCAUUUGGUGUGUUCACAGACAAAUUGAUACUAUAAACAAAUUGCAAGAAAUGAUGCUGAGAGAUAGAGCGAGAAUCCUUACGGGCUGAAGGUAAUUCCCGAUGUGCACAACUGGAUUUCUGCACCUACGACAGCGGAUCCAAUCUGGAGGUCUCAUUGUAUCGACUUUGCGAAUCAAGAUGCAACUCCUAAUAGAUAUGUCAUAAGAACAAAUUCACUUAAACAAAGAACAAGGUGGAAAUUAUAACAGAGUUACCAGCUGUGAUAAAUCGAGUUCUUCACCGGAAAAAAGACUAGCUAGCUUCUCACCAUAUAACAAAUGUAACCAAGAAAAUGAAAAGAGUGAAUUUAAUGUGGCCGAAAAGAGAAUGUUGAUAUAGAAAAGCCACUUCUUGAUUCAAGAAAGUAGAAAUAAUCAAUGAGAGAAAAGGACUAACUUUCGUAGCAGAAUAUGAAUGUAACUUGGAGAAGAGAGCUGGUGGAGAAUGAGAAUUCAAGAAAAGUAGAAAAAUGCAGAACGAGUGAAUUUAAUGGAAGUGAGAAGAGAGUGUCAAUACAGAAAAGCUCUGUUUUGACGGUUAAUUCAAAAAAGUAGGGAGAUACAAUAAUUUUUAAUUAUGUAUCCGAAAAUUACCAAAACUAUGUAUUUGAGAAUGUAUCCAACUGUUUUGUGUUUUUUUAAAAAGUGGUUUAGGUAAUUAAUAAAAAGUGUAACACUUUAUUUAUUUGGACGGUGGUUUGUCAUGGUUUUAUAAUGUACCGUAUUGUAUAGUAUGCUAUUUUAUUGUUCAAUACAGAAAAUAGAAUAUUUGAAUGGACUGUAUCGUUCACUUUUAUUUCAUAACAGUUUUAUUGUUUUGUUUGACGGUAUGGUACUGUAUCGUACCAGAAAAAAUUAACUAAAAUAUCCUUAAUUAUUACAAAUAUUAAAUUUAUCAAAAUUCUUAAUAAAAUAGUUUUCUUCUUGCUAAUCUGUCACAAAUUAUGUCAUGUAAAUAUAUUAAAUUGUUAAGUUCAUGUAAAUUCUAACAAAAUUAAUACAAGAGUAGAUCAAAAUAAAUGUAAUCUGAUUUAUUUUUAUAGUAACAAAUUUCAUUUUCUUUUGGUGUUUUGAAGCGUGACCACCAACGACAAGUACAAAGUUUGAAUGCAGCUUUUGUGUAUGCUACAGGUGUGUUCGGUAUGAAAUACAAAAAAAAAUUCUAGGAAAACUAAUUAUUUCUUACUUAUUUUCUUGUGUUCGUUAUCCAAAUAGAAAAAUAUUUGUAUAUAUUUAACACAAAACAAUGAGAACGAAUAGGAUAAGGGGAUGGGGUAAGAUUUUAAAAAAAAAAGUUGAGGUAGGGGUUUGGUAAGGGGUGAGGUCGGGGGUCAGGUAGGGAUGGGAUAAGAAAAAAAUUUAUAAUUUUCUAAAAAAGAAAUUUUAAAAAUAAUUUUUGCGGGGGAGGGGGAGGGGUGCCUUGUGGGGUGGGGUUUAGGAUAGGCGGUGGAGUAAAUUUAAUAUAGGGUAAAAAAUAAAAUGAGAUUAUAUAAUAUUAAAUAAGGACAUAAUUGAAAAAAAAAAAUAAACAAACCAUGGAAUACCACCAAAUCAGUGACUAUAUAAAGUGAGGGUUUUAACAAAUCAUGAAAUUAAGUUAUACCAUAUCAUACAUGUUAAGAAACAAUCAAAACAAACAUAGUUCUAUUUGCAUAAUUUGACAUAUGUUUUGAAAUAUGAAUUCUCUUAAACUGUUUGAAUGAUAUGGUGGUCCAAACUUUAUGUUUUGAAUGAAGAGACCGGAACUUGAUAUUUUAUGGCUUAGAGAUAUGACUUGCAAGUCUUGAUAUGACGAUACCAAAUCAGAUAACGCCAUAAUAGACUGAGAACAGAAUAUAAGUCAAAUCUCAUUCAGAUUUUCAGAUUUUGAAUUCAGAAAGAUGCAUGUUUAGAACAGGUUAAAAAUGGGCACCAAGAGAGUUAGGUGGUUACCCGAAGUAGGCAUGAGUCAUAUGAUUCGUGCCUGAAAUCGUGUUUUAUCAAUACGGAUUUAUUAUAUCCCCAACGAGGGAUUAUAAGUUGGCCUAGUGCCUUGUGGCGUAUUAGAUUCAGAUACUCCAACCCUUGCGGUAAAUUUGGUGUAAUGACCCUUCAGGUCAUUUUUUAUAUUUAUGCUUAUUUUCACCGUUUGAGCUUCUUCAUAGCUGCCCCAAGUCAUUUAUGACUUGCUGGGACUGAGGAUUCGGUUAUCGGGCAGUUCGUUUGGUUUUUAGAGUCAACUCCCUCUUUAGAAGUCUUCGUUGGUUUCAAAUGGCCACCAAUCAAAAACUUCAGCGAACGAUCUCGGAUGAAAAUUUCGACUGCACCAGCAUAUCCGAAAUAUAGAUUUAAGUCUAGGUAGACCUUUGGUUUGGGUCCCAAUGCACCCGAACUCAUUUCGACCUAUUAGUCGAAAAGUCAUAAAAUCAAAACUAUAUAUGUGGGCCCCACUUUUUGCCUAAACAACCUUGUAUGGAGGUUUUGAUGAUUCCAAUGGUUUUGAAUUGUGGUUUACACUCAAAUUUCACUAUUGGAUCAUAUAUUUUGGGUCCCGAAUGAGUUUCGAGGGUCAAAAAUAAAUUUUUGACUUUGCUGUCGCAGGAUACCGCGUCUAUUCGCCGAAGGGGUCUAUAAAUAGAUCCAAGGUCGUGAUUUUGGGGAUUUUUCUUUCACAUUUGAGAACUUAAAACCCUAAAUGGGUAUGAUAACUUGAAAUUUAGUCUUGUGGGUGUCUAGGGAGCUUGGUAAACAUUUUUUAUCAUGAUUAAGGUAAGAUUUCAUCACUUUAUUGGUGAAUUUCAUUGUUCUUAACCCAAAAUCCCAAUUUUAGCUUAGGGCUUGAUUUAGCCCCAAAUUUCGUUUGUUUGUACCCAUCAAUUUAGGGUUAUGCUUUCUUGGUGUUAGAUGAGCAUUGGGUUGACCUCAGAAAUGCGAUUUUCGUAUGUGAGAUCCACUUGGACUUUUUGGUGUCAUUUUUGGACCCGAAGCACAAUAGUGCAAUAUAGGUAUCGUUAGACUCGUAUUGAUGAGUAGAUUAUAUUUUUGAUAUUGUGAUGGCAUUUUGGAGAUUGUGAAGUGAAGACGAGUAUAUGGUGCUUGAAGUGUGAUUUUGCGAUUUAGCCUUGAGGUAGACUUCUGUCUACUCUUCUUCAUGGAUGAUUGUAACACCCCGUAUUUAAGUACAUAUAUUGGCGUAUUCAAGUACGUGUAUUGGUCUUAUUUAUAUGGAAUUAAUUUUAUUUUAUUUUAUUUAUACCAGAAUUUGCCUGUCGAUGGUUCCAUAUGAAGGUUAUUGAAUAAGCUUUCCAACGAUAUAAAGAUUUCCAAAAACGGAUAGGUUUCGGAUAUAAUCGAGCACGUUCGAAACUAUAAAACGGUGGCCGGGAUAUUUGGGAAUAGUAAAUGUGCAGGAAAAUUUCCUGCACACAAACUACUGAGGUCAGUCAUUUUUUUUGGGUCAACUUUGAACGAUCAUAACUCCCUUAAUAUAAUGAACUGGGAGAUUUUCCACCUAUGAAAAGAAAGAUCUUUGAGUCUUCUUUCCAAUGCAAUUGGUUUCAUCCAAAUCCGACAUCUGAGUAAUGAGUUAUACUCGUUUUACUUCAGCCUCUCAAAAUAGAUUUUUAGGGUCAACUUCAAACGAUCAUAACUCCUUGUACAGGACGAACUGGGUGGCCUACUUUAUAUUAAAUGAAAGCCCUUUGAAUUAUCUUUCCAACGAUACCAAUUUCACCCAAAUCCGAUAUCGGAGCAAAGAGUUAUGGUCGAUUUACUUUAGCCUAUCAAAACAGUCCACCAUGGACAGAUUCGGAUUUACUUAAAUUUUAAGGGCAAUAUGGUCAUUUUCCAUCACCUCAUGGACGAAAAUUGGUCAUUAUANNNNNNNNNNNNNNNNNNNNNNNNNNNNNNNNNNNNNNNNNNNNNNNNNNNNNNNNNNNNNNNNNNNNNNNNNNNNNNNNNNNNNNNNNNNNNNNNNNNNNNNNNNNNNNNNNNNNNNNNNNNNNNNNNNNNNNNNNNNNNNNNNNNNNNNNNNNNNNNNNNNNNNNNNNNNNNNNNNNNNNNNNNNNNNNNNNNNNNNNNNNNNNNNNNNNNNNNNNNNNNNNNNNNNNNNNNNNNNNNNNNNNNNNNNNNNNNNNNNNNNNNNNNNNNNNNNNNNNNNNNNNNNNNNNNNNNNNNNNNNNNNNNNNNNNNNNNNNNNNNNNNNNNNNNNNNNNNNNNNNNNNNNNNNNNNNNNNNNNNNNNNNNNNNNNNNNNNNNNNNNNNNNNNNNNNNNNNNNNNNNNNNNNNNNNNNNNNNNNNNNNNNNNNNNNNNNNNNNNNNNNNNNNNNNNNNNNNNNNNNNNNNNNNNNNNNNNNNNNNNNNNNNNNNNNNNNNNNNNNNNNNNNNNNNNNNNNNNNNNNNNNNNNNNNNNNNNNNNNNNNNNNNNNNNNNNNNNNNNNNNNNNNNNNNNNNNNNNNNNNNNNNNNNNNNNNNNNNNNNNNNNNNNNNNNNNNNNNNNNNNNNNNNNNNNNNNNNNNNNNNNNNNNNNNNNNNNNNNNNNNNNNNNNNNNNNNNNNNNNNNNNNNNNNNNNNNNNNNNNNNNNNNNNNNNNNNNNNNNNNNNNNNNNNNNNNNNNNNNNNNNNNNNNNNNNNNNNNNNNNNNNNNNNNNNNNNNNNNNNNNNNNNNNNNNNNNNNNNNNNNNNNNNNNNNNNNNNNNNNNNNNNNNNNNNNNNNNNNNNNNNNNNNNNNNNNNNNNNNNNNNNNNNNNNNNNNNNNNNNNNNNNNNNNNNNNNNNNNNNNNNNNNNNNNNNNNNNNNNNNNNNNNNNNNNNNNNNNNNNNNNNNNNNNNNNNNNNNNNNNNNNNNNNNNNNNNNNNNNNNNNNNNNNNNNNNNNNNNNNNNNNNNNNNNNNNNNNNNNNNNNNNNNNNNNNNNNNNNNNNNNNNNNNNNNNNNNNNNNNNNNNNNNNNNNNNNNNNNNNNNNNNNNNNNNNNNNNNNNNNNNNNNNNNNNNNNNNNNNNNNNNNNNNNNNNNNNNNNNNNNNNNNNNNNNNNNNNNNNNNNNNNNNNNNNNNNNNNNNNNNNNNNNNNNNNNNNNNNNNNNNNNNNNNNNNNNNNNNNNNNNNNNNNNNNNNNNNNNNNNNNNNNNNNNNNNNNNNNNNNNNNNNNNNNNNNNNNNNNNNNNNNNNNNNNNNNNNNNNNNNNGAAGCACAAUAGUGCAAUAUGGGUAUCGUUAGACUCGUAUUGAUGAGUAGAUUAUAUUUUUGAUAGUGCGGUGGCAUUUUGGGGAGUGGGAAGUGAAGACGAGCAUGUGGUGCUUGACGUGUGAUUUUGCGAUUUAGCCUUAAGGUAAGCUUCUGUCUACUCUUCUUCAUGGAUGAUGUAUGAUAUAUAUUGUGUGAAUGUGAAUGAUAAGAUUAAUAUUGAAUAGAAUGACUUAGUAUUGAAUAUACAUAUAAGUUUGGAGAUUAGAUAGGGUUUUUGACCCGUAGGUUGAAUUACUUAGUAACCUUGUAGAAUCCUAUUGCCUUCUCCCUAGUUUGGGUAAAUUUGUAGCAUGGAUAUGAUAUAAUGCUAUGCUCGGAAUAUGGUUUUAGCAUUUGAAGCAUGAUUUGUAUAUUUAGCCUUAUUGGGCUAGUGUGAUAGUUUUGAAACCGUAAGUUUGAUAGAGUUAACUUGAGUACCCUUGUUUCUAAUCGAAGUUACUAUCUUAGGCGAUAAUAUGGCUUGCUUGACAUCUAGAGGAUGAACUAGAUACCUUAGCCUAGUUUGGAGCAUAGUAUGCUUAAUAAUGGAUUAGAAGUGGGAUUAUCCGGCCCACUUAGGCUAAGAUUUGUGUUAGCCCUUGUGGGCUUAGUUGCAGAUAGUAGACCUAGUUGAGACUAAUGAGCCUUAUUUAUGAGAAUUACUUGGUGAAUUGAUAAAUUAUGAUGAUUUUUGUCGGAUUAUGAUUAGUGGCCCAUAGAGAUGCAUUUUUCUCUUUAUUAUGAUAUUUGACCCAUAGAGAUGCAUUUUCCUCUUUAUUAUGAUAUUUGACCCAUAGAGAUGCAUUUUCCUCUUAAUUAUGAUAUUUUGUCCAUGGAAAUCAUUUUCCUCUUAAUUAUGAUAUUUUGUCCAUGGAAAUGCAUUUUCCUCUUUAUUAUGAUAUUUGGACCAUAGAGAUGCAUUUUUCUCUUAAUUAUGAUAUUUUGCCCAUGGAGAUGUAUUUUCCUCUUUAUUAUGAUAUUUGGCCCAUAGAGAUGCAUUUUCCUCUUUAUUAUAAUAUUUGGUCCAUAGAGAUGCAUUUUUCUCUUAAUUAUGAUAAUUUGCCCAUAGAGAUGCAUUUUUCUCUUAAUUAUGAUAUUUUGCCUAUAGAGAUGCAUUUUCCUCUUAGUUACGAUAUUUGGCCCAUAGAGAUGAGUUUCCUCUUUGUUAUAAUUAUUGAGCUUAUAGAGACGAUUUUUCUCUUGAUCAUGAUGCAAAACCUAUAGAUAUGAGAUGUCUAAUAGGGUUGAUAUGCUUGUUGAUAUUAUGCCUUCUAGAUGUGAGAUGAUUAUAGAUAUGCUACGGUUUAUAAAUAUGAUUAUUGAUAUGAGUUCCGGAUAUGUAUAUAGGCCUAAGGCCAUGAUUAUGAUGUUGUGAUUAUUCCGGAUAAAUUAAUGGGCCAAGGACCGUGUUAUGGUACUGAUUAAAUAUCCAAAAAGUGUUUAUCAUUGUGAAUGAUGUGAUUGCGAUUUAUGGAUAUGUAUAUGUUUGUAUACACAUCUCUCCGAUAUGGGACGGAGGAAGAUGCGGUAUGAUACUUAUUAUUUCAUUGAUUGAAUACUAGUGAUAGCAUGCAUAAGUUUGGUACGUUCAUGAUUAUUUACCAUUAUAAAUGAUGUGAUUAUAGCCGAAAUAUGAUAUUAUGGUUUUUCUUCUUGUUAGACGGUUAAGCUAUGUGGUAACUAGUUGUCUAUUAGCUAACUAUUGCACUUAAUGGCUAUGAAACUAAUGUAUUAAUUAAUGAAUCUUGCUUAGUUGGAACAUGGUAGCUAACGAUGGUCAGUUAAUGAAUGAUGUCAUUUAAUAAAAGAUGGUUAGGUGACAAGUAGUAAUGUGUUGUCUAGUAAUGAUUAACAAAAAUAGGAUGAAUAGCUGAUAAUAAUAAAUGGUAGAUAAAUGACGGAUUUGGUCUAAUGAUGAACCUAGACUAGUUGUUAGAUGUUGACUAUUAAAUGAAUAGUGGUUAGUUGUUAUCUCGUGAAUAAGGAUUAUGUGAACGAUAAUGUUUAGGCUAAUAACUAGAGGUUAUGUGAUGACUAGCGAACUAGCGGUUUAAUAAUAAUAAAUGUUGAUUAGCUAAUAACAAGUAAUUGGGAUGUAUUGAUAAGAUAGAUAUCUUUACGGUUAUGAGUAUAUAGGCUUGCGUCUGUGCACCUAUUAUAUGCCUAUAUUUAUGUGUCGAGAGUUAUGAUGAUACAUUGAUACCCGAUAAGGCCGGAGGAUAUUAUGAUGAUAUUGAUACCCGGUUCGAGUCCGGAGGAUACUAUUGAGAUGAUAUUGAUACCCGGCAAGAUUGGAGGAUAUUAUGAUGAUAUUAAUACCCGGUUCAAGUUCGGAGGAUACUAUUGAGAUGAUAUUGAUACCCGACAAGGCCGAAAGAUAUUAUGAUAUGUAACACCCCGUACUUAAUUACGUGCAUUAGUCAUUGUUAUAUGUGUUGGGGUAUAUGUAUUGAUCCUAAGUUAGGUAUAUAUGAGUUUAAGUAUGAGUAUUGAUUAUUUUGAGAUGGUUUCAAGUGUAUAGUUUGAUUAUAGGUGUAUAGGAAUCGACUUUAUUUAUACCGGAAUUUUCACGUCGAUGGUUCCAUACGAAGGUUCUUGAAUAAGCUUUCCAACGAUAUAAAGAUUUCCAAAAACGGAUACGUUGCGGAUAUAAUCGAGCACGUUCGAAACUAUAAAACGGUGGCCGGGAUGUUGUGAACAGUAAAUGUGCAGGAAAAUUUCCUGCACACAAACUACUGAGGCCUGCCAGUUUUUUGGGUCAACUUUGAACGAUCAUAACUCCCUCAAUAUAAUGAACUGGUUGAGCUACCAUAUAUCAAAAGAAAGAUCUUUGAGUCUUCUUUCCAAUGAAAUUGGUUUCAUCCAAAUCCAACAUCUGAGUAAGGAGUUAUACUCGUUUUACUUCAGCCUCUCAAAACAGAUUUUUAGGGUCAACUUCAAACGAUCAUAACUCCUUGUACAGGACGAAAUGGGUGGCCUACUUUAUAUGAAAUGAAAGUCCUUUGAAUUAUAUUUCCAACAAUACCAAUUUAACCCAAAUCCGAUAUCGGAGCAAAGAGUUAUGGCCGAUUUACUUUAGCCUAUCAAAACAGUCCACCAUGGACAGAUUCGGAUUUACUUAAAUUUUUAAGGGCAAUAUGGUCAUUUUCCAUCACCUCUUGAACGAAAAUUGGUCAUUAUAUACAUAUACUUAGCCUCAUAUCCAUUAUUUAUCAUCCAUUAUUGAAAACUAAGAAACCCUAGCCAAAUUUCAACUCCAAUUAUCUUGUGAUUCAACCGUAGAAAAUCCAAAUUGAUUCCGUAGUUGUGUUCACCGUCUCAAGGGCUUCGAGAAGCACCCCUUAUUUGUGCCAACAGGACUUCGAAAUCAAAAGGGCCAUUUUUUUGGUAAGGAUGUAAAUUAUGUUGGUGUUAUUUAUAUGGAUAUGUAUAUAUAUAUAUAUAUGCAUGUGAGCAUAAGAAGUAUGUUAUUUGAUUGUUGUUGAAAGAUGAUUGGAAAUGAUGUUGGAUUAUUCUUGUGCAUGGUUGGAUUAUGUUAAAUUGUGAAGGAAUUUGGGGUGAUGAUGUGGUAUUGAUGAUGUGGUAUUGAAAUGAUGAUUAUAUAUAUAUACACACAUAAACCUAUUGUUCAAGUUGGUUUUUGGAAUGUUUUGCAAAUAUUGGUAGUAUGGAAUUAUGGAAGAGAAUUGUGGUGUUGGGUUGCUAAUACUAGAUGCCAAACAUUUCAUUGUAGAUAAGUGAUUUGUAAAGGCGGGAAGUUGUGUUGAAUUGGUAUCUGAAUCUACAACGAGGUAUGUAAAGCAUACUCUAACAAUGUUCUUUGGCAUGAAAACACCAAUGUUCCAUCAAGUAAGAUUCCGAGGUUGUCCAAAAACAUGUAUUGUUCUACGUUACCAACGAAGUUGUUUCCAUUCUAUAAAGUGUCAAAAUGUUUCAUUGAUAUACCAAAAGGCUCUUAUUUCAUUGUUGUGAUAUUGAUGAUUCUGAAACACAUUGUUGAUGUACCAAUGAGUCUUUAUUACAUCGUUAUUGUAUAGAAGGUCUAUUACUUGGUUCCUAUUGAUGUAUCAUUGUUUCAAAGUAUCAAAAAUGUGGUGGCGACCGAAAUAACAAUCUCAAAGAUUAAUUGAACUAAGUGAUGAAAGUUCUCUCUUAUCGGGUGGUAUCCCAGGGGCAUAAGCCUAGCAUGGGUCGAUCCCUAUUUCAUGUGUUUAUGGGUGGUAUCCCAGGGGCAUAAGCCUAGCAUGGGUCGAUCCCAGUUGAUAUGUACUGGAGGCAUCCUAAUGGUCACAGUACAGUACAGUAAUGAUUACAAAGACGAUAAGAACGAAGGUAAAGUGAUUGAAUAAAUACAAUGUACAGGUUGUCACAAGUUCUAGUAAGUGUGGUCCACUCCUAUUACGACUUAUUCACUUGUUUCUGAUUUCUAUUGAGCUCCUAUAUCAUAUGUGAUUAUUUACAGCUUUACAUACUCAGUACAUAUUUCGUACUGACGUCCCUCACGGGGGACCUGCAUUUCAUGCUGCAGGCACAGGUACCUCAGCUCAUACACCGCCCAAGUAGGAGCCAGGUCAUACAACUAUUGUUGGUGAGCUCCAGUUUGCUUCGGAGCUUUUCGAGUCGGUUCCUUAUGUUUUGUUAUUGUACAUGAGUCAUGUGUGGGCGGGGGUUUAUCCCGACCCUAGUUAUGUCAUGUAUAUCCUAGAGGCUUUGUAGACAUAAGGGAGGGUAAAGUCAUGGAAGUUUAUAUAGUAACGUUAUAUUUGUAUAUGUGGUGGCCUAUAUAUAUAUAUAUUUGCGCGUGUUGUGCUGAUACAGGUAAUUAGACCCUUCUAUAUGCAACGAAGUGCUGUCCAAUUUUUGGUGACAUGUAAGUGAAAGUACAGGUAUUUGAACGGGUUCUCCCGGGCCUUCUCGGCUUCGGGUGCCAGUCCGGCCCGAUGGGAUUUUGGGGCGUGACAGAUAUUGAUACCCGGUUCGAGUCCAGAAGAUACUAUUAAGAUGAUAUUGAUACCCAGCAAAGCUAUUGAUACCCGGUUCGAGUCCGGAGGAUAUCAUUGAGAUGAUAUUGAUAUCCGAUGAGGCCGGAGGUUGAUGACGAUGAUGAUGGUCCUGAUGAGGACAGUUAUGAUGCAUUGUGAUAUUGAUGGUAUAUUUUGCAUUCAUUCCUGCAUGCGCAUCGCCUAUCACCAGUAAGCACCUAUGUCUAUCAAUCGGUAUGGGACGGUUGCAUAGAUAUGGGUGAAGAAUAUGUCUUGUGUUAUUGUUUGUUAAUUGAACCUUCCAAGUCUGGGGUGAUGGGGGUACACAUAGGCUCGGCUAGGUAUUUGAUUGUCCGGAGUAGCCAGUUAUUUAUGAUGUUAUUGAUAUUGUUAUUAUCAUGGUUAUGAUCAUUAUUAUGGAUAACUUAUGACAGAUUGGUCAUGGAUCCGGUAUUGGGAUUGAGGUAUGUUUUCGACCUUUGUUAUCUUAUGAUUAGAUUAUUAUGCAUGAUUAUUCUAUGUCUAGCCAUAUGGAUUAGAAAUCCUGAGUAUGUUGGUAUUGAAUCCUGAUAGUAUUAUAAUGAGGUCUUAAAAUGAGAACAUGAUGAUGUAGGUUAUGUUGAAAUGACCUUCUAUUUUUAUAUAUAUAUAUAGAGAGAGAGCUAUAUGAAGUCAUGGUACUAUUGGAUAUCCCUUUCUUCGUUGUUCAUAUUGUAUAGUCGUUCCUUCGCCUUGUCUAUUACAAUAUAUCUUUAUUUCGCUCUUUAUCUGUAUAUUGACCUGGGAUACACGGUAUAGCUUUGGCAUAUAUUGAAUGUAGCUGGAAUAAAAUAGUACACCUUGAUACUUCGUUAGUCUUAUUAUGUUAGACUCUUGGACAUGAAUAUGAUAGUUGUCCCUUGUUAUUCUCAUUGACUUAUUACAUGAUUUAUGGACUCUUGGUUGUAUUUUUCAUUCUGUUUAUAUGUUGUAUAUAUCUACUUUAUCUUUGGAGCUCAGUUGGUAGUUGCCUACUGAGUACCAUUCGUUUGGUACUCAUACUACACCUCUGCAGCCUGCAGAUCAUAGUACGAGUUGUCGCCGUUGAUGUGUUCAUCGUGUGGAGUAGCCCUGAUUCAGAGUGAGCUCCUGACAUUUGGAGUAUUACUUAUCUCUCUCCUAUGUAUUAGACUAACCUCUAAGUUGUAUUUAGAGGUAAGUUGAAUUAGUGUAUUUCUCCUUGAUAUAUCACUUUUGUACUCUUAUUAUAUUUAGAAGCUCUUGUAUUGAUACCACCAGGUUUUGGGAUUCGUCUAUGUAUGAUCUUUAUCUCACAUAUUUCGCAUUUUUUUCUUUAUGUUAUUAAGUAGUCCGUUACUAGCCAUUCCGGACUAUGGGUUGGCUUGCCUACUGGUGGGUUAUGUUAGGCGCCAUCAUGACCUGAAAAGUUGGGUCGUGACAUUUGGGUUGGGGGCUUGUCCACCGAGUUAAGGGCGGGUCUCAUAUAGCCCGUGGGAUACUUUCAGAUAUGUAGGGUGUACCACCUAACUCAGAAGUAAAACAAAAAAAUGAAUUGCAUCUACAGAAUUGUUUUAAGAUCAUUUGAAAUUGCCCAUGCAUUUUAAAUUAUUUUAUGCAUAACAUUUUAUGAAAUGCUCUUGCUUAUGUUAUAUAUAAAAUUAUAUUAUUUUGGAUUGCUCUGUGUAUUAGUACAUCUGUAUUGACCCCCUAUAUUUCAGGGUGUGAGGCUUAGUCAAGGGGUCCCUCUAAGCCGUAGAUUUGUCAGACAGAGGUGUGCAGUUGGUAAGUCUCCCUUAUUUUGGAAGACCUAUUUUUUUUUACAUUGUUAUUUCAUUUUGGGUUGUAGGUCCGACUAGGGGACUUGUCCCAGUAUUCAGACAAUAGUGUUUUUGAGUUGUUGGAGAUUUCACAAACUAGUGUCAGGUGCUUUUGAAUGUAUCAUGAACUCAAUUUUGUGUUGUUCAGUUGAAGUAAAAGAAUGACCAUGAUUUCGUAUGAUAACUUUUCCACACUUCUGUAUAUUGUAUGAACAUUGUGUAUGGUUGCCAGAUAAAAAAGGGGCGCUCGGGCCUUCACGGGUUCGAGAUGCUCGUCGCGGCCAGGGCCUCGAUUCGGGUAGUGACAAUUAGCAUCUUAAUACAUAAUUAGCAUCUAAAUACAUAAUUGUAAUGUUGAGAUACAUAAUUUAAUUACUGAGAUACAUUUAUUUCUGAAACUAUUUGAUAGAGAUACAUAAUGCAUUAACUAGACCAAAGAGAGAUACAUAAUUAAUUAUGUAUCUAAAAAUUAUGUGUUUGUGGAUGUAUCCGACUGAUUUUAAAAAAAAUGAGAUUUAGGUCAUUAAUAAAAAGAGUAGAAUUUUACGUAAUUUAGUAAAGAUAAGUUGUGGUGUUAUGUAAGUUUUUUUUUUUAAUUAAAUGAAAAAAAUACUCAAAACUAUAAUCUAAGUUUCUAUUAUUACAUAACUACUCAACUAUCAAAAAUAAUUAUAAAAAUCUCUUUUUGACACUUUCUCUCUUCAAACUUCAUAUACAUAUUUCUGUUAUCCUUUUCUUACACUUAAUGCUCCAAAAAAAGUGUCUAACAUCAAGGAACCUCAAUCAAACGAUUUUCAAAUUUUGAAUUUACAAAUGUGUUCUUCGCAAAUCGCUCAACAUCAACUUUUCCACAAAAAGGAACCACAACCGCCACAGUCCCAGCCAUCAUGUCGCCAACUAGUCUCCCCUCAUUAACAACGACCAAUGAAGGCUUCACCGGUUACCGUUGCUCCACCAUCACUAGACCAUUACCUUAACCCCCCACCCUUUCUUAUGUCAAUACCGCGCCGCUAACACAUGCUCCAUCCAAGAUUGAUCCCAACAACUGCGUCGAGUGGCCAGAGAGAGGUCCGCGACGACCACCAGUCAAACCCUAAAAUUUUUUCUCAUCCCGCGAGUUCUGAAAAUACUUCGAUGAUUUGAGCAUUGACGAAAUUUCAACGCCGAUUCAAAGACAAGGAAAGUUUCAACAUCGAGUCAAAUACUUAUCAUGUAUCAGAAUAAGUUGUUAUUUCAAUAAUAUACAUAACAUAGUUAUGUAUAUGGAUGGUUAAAACGGUAAAGACAAUAUAAUCUGAUGCAUAACACAUGAAUGUAUACAUAUGACAUUUGACAUUGCUGAGAGUUUUUAUAUCACAUCAUAUACAUAACAUAUAUGUUUGACAUAGACAUUGCUGGGUUGUUUUACUUCAAAAAGUAUACAUAACAAAGGUAUGUCUAUGUAUGCUAUACAAAUUGUUGAGUUGUUUUAUUUUAAACCAUAUGCAUAAAAAAGUUAUGUAUAUAUUUGACCUAGACAUUGUUGGGCUUUUUCAUUCCAAAUUUAUAUACGUAACAGAGUUACGUAUAUGUAUGACAUACAGAUUGCUGAGUUAUUUUAUUUUAACCCAUAUACAUAACAUAGAAAUUUAAUGCAAAGUUCUUGGUGUUGAAUAUAGCCUCAACUAUUAGGAGAGCUCUUAUUUUCAUAUCACCAAUACAUAACUAUGUUAUGUGUAUGGAAUACAUAAGCAAUUGCACAUGUGUGUUGACGCAUCUCGCAACAUAUACAUAUCAUAGUUUUGUAUAGGACUCUGUUCGACCUGUUUAAUUGUAUUAUUUCAAUCUAUAUACAUGUCACACUUUUGUAUAUAGAAGAAUGUUAGCCAUUGCUCAACUGUAUUAUCAGUAUUGAAAAUUUUUGUUAGAAAUUAAAUUAAUAUUAAUUUGCAAUGUAUAUUAUUAUAGGAGAUGGAAUACAUCAAAUGCCUCAAUAAUAUUGGAAUGUUCAUCUUUUUGAGAAAUUCUUUUGAAAAAUAGAGCUUGAGAAAAAUCGCAAAUUAUUGAUCGAAAAUAUAAAAUCUGAUGUUAUUUGAUCGACUACAUUGAUUUUGUAUUUCAAAAAUUUUAAAAUUUAAAUUUAUUACUGAUUUUAAGGGAUUCAAUGUUCACUCAUUGAUAGAUAUGACGUUAAUUGCGUUCCACAUUAAAGGAAGACGUGGGUAAUGUGAUAGACAUUUAACUCUGAUAUUUGGUUGAAAUUAAUAGAAUGUUUUUGUAAAAAUAAAAGAAUAAGAUCAUUCGUAACAAUAAAUAAAGUUGAAAUUUGUGUCAUGGCCAAACAUUUUAACUUUUUACUAAAGUGAAAUAAUUUUUUAAAAAAUAAAAAAUUGUUUUGUCCAAACGGGUCCUAAAAGGUGGGAGGGAGUAACAAUUAGUAGUAGUCGGUGAUCGGCUCCUUCAAUCAACGGCUCAUAUUCAGUUUCCGCCUCUCACAUGGAUCGACAUUUCUAUCCGUCCGAUUAACAUGUAAAUCCCCGAAUAUUUAACGGCUGCGAUUUACUCCCCGCCACAUUUCGAACCGCGAAAAUUCAUGGCGCCCAAAUCCCCAAAUAUUAAAUACCCACCACGGUAUACUUCAUUUCUCAUUCAAAUUCAAAACCCUUGAAACUGUAUCUUCUUCAAAUUUCUCUUCGUGAAAAUGUCUGGCCGCGGAAAGGGAGGCAAGGGAUUGGGAAAGGGAGGAGCCAAGAGGCACAGGAAGGUUCUAAGAGACAACAUCCAGGGAAUUACCAAGCCAGCCAUCCGUAGGCUUGCUCGUAGGGGUGGUGUGAAGCGUAUCUCCGGUCUGAUCUAUGAGGAGACUCGUGGUGUGCUCAAGAUCUUUUUGGAGAACGUGAUUCGUGAUUCGGUUACCUACACUGAGCAUGCCAGGAGGAAGACCGUUACUGCUAUGGAUGUUGUUUAUGCUCUUAAGAGGCAGGGAAGGACUCUGUACGGAUUUGGUGGUUAAAUUGCAGAAGUUGUGAAUUAGAUCAGUUGUUAGGUGGUUGAUGUAGAUCUGAUGGAAAUUUCUGUGUUUUGGUUUCUAAAACGUUGUUCUAGUUCUUAAGCUUUGGAUGGUGAAUUUCUCAUUGCAUUUUCAAUGAACAAUGUUCAGUUUCUAGAAAUUUCUAUUGUUAUUUUCCAUCUUACUAGUAUUGUUGAUAAUUGGUUGAAAUGACUUUUACUAUUUGUGCAAUUCAGAUUUAUACAUUCAUGAAAUGCACCAAUUUUCUUUCCAUUUCUCCGUUGUUGAGAAAGCUGAAAGGUGGAUAAGCAUUAACUUUGUGGGCACAGUAUCUAAGUUUCUAGCUUGAGCGAUUCAAUCUGGAGAGGGCCAUGUUUUAAUUUUGUUUUUUAAAAUAUCCACUUGCUUUUUGUCCGCUGUUUCUUGAUAAUUUGAAUGGUUAGAGUGUGUUUAAUUGUAGUUUGCUUUAGUAGCUGAUUAUCUUGAUAUUGAUUUGUUGUCUCAUAUCUAAAUUGUAGCUCAUUUCCUUCUUACCUUGAUGACUUUUGCUCUCUUCUGAACUAGUGUUUGUGAAUAUCCUCUUCAUGUGCUUAAUUGUCUAAAAUCACACGGGAUGGGUUUAGGCAACGAGUUGUGGUUCAUUUCAAAUUGAAUUUUGUUGUUUUGUUGAGCUAUUUUUCAAUUUUUUCCUGUUCCUUAAAUCAUCUUGAUUUGUCAUCUUUUGGAGAUUUGACUUGAUUGAGUUGAAUUUGCUUUGUGUUAUGGUGCUCUUUCCUUAGGCAUAUAUGUCUGCUCUACCCUGUACUUGAAUUUUGUGGAAUGAGUUAACUGCGUGCUGAGUGAUGAUAUAAGUAAGCAGCUAAGUGGUUCAUGGGUCUUACGGCAACAUACCUAGACUUCUUCAUAUGUCUAGACUAGAAUUUUAAGUCUGUUAGUAGUUUGCAUCACUGCUUUAUUUCGACUUGGAUAAUUGGGCAGCCUUCGAGUUUCUUUUGCAUGAUGGUUUGGACUCUCACAAGGUUGGUCUUUUUUCUAAAUUCUAAUGCGUCUUUCUGAAGUAGGAAAGAGAUCUGCAAAGCAGAUCCAUCUUCGUAAGAAUAUCUGCAGAGCUCAACAUCUAUUUGUUUCAAAAUUUUAGAACUUAUCACAUUAUAGUUAGGAGAAACUGCACUCAAUAGCCUCAAUAUACACUCUGAUAUAUCCACAAAACAUGAAGUAGCAUGACGGUCACAUUUCAGUCAUCAGGCUCCUAUUUCCUUUUGAUCUUAAAUUUUGAAGCUGUCUCAACAGUUAGGUCUUUGUAGUAUUGGUUUACAUAUUCAUCACAAUAUCAGUCCUUUGAAAUUUAUUCAUGGUUAAAUAACAUACCCUAUGUGAUCUUGUAAGUCGGAUUUAGGGAGAGUGGGUAUACGUUGUUGGGUUCAAUAUGUAUGAAAAAUGUGUGAAUGGAAAAUAGAGAGAAAAUGGUGGAAGGAAGGAGACACUAAUUUAGAACGUGUACUCCCAAAUUGGAAAUUUCACUAAUUCUCCCACAUUGGUGGGAGAAGGGAACUUUGGAGUGUUUAUAAUGAUGAACACUUACUCCACAUGGUAAGUGAGGCAAGAAGUAAGAGAUGACUUGCGCCGUUGUCGCUUGCGCGGCUCGGAUUUGGAUUUUUCAAAUGAUCGAUCGAUGAGAUCUAUUUUUUGGACAAAAUUUAUUUGAAUUCUGAAAAAUACCAAAGGGAAAAAUGAAUAACGCACUAAAUAUUUUCUGUGUUUAAUACUCCAUUUAUAUGCACUUCAGUAGUGUUUCGAAACAUGCAUGCAGAAGCUAUUUCGAACUGAACAGAUGCUUCAGAAGGAUGCACUGUUUCGAACUGAUGCUUCUGAAGGAUGCAAUCCUUCAACGAAAUGAUACACUGUUUCAUGAAAUGAUACGCCUGUUCGGAACAAACAUAGUCCUUGGAGAAACAGACGUAAUUUUCCAGAAAAGGUGCAAUCUUUUAAGUGAACUAUUGCCACCUUUCAGAAGAGGCAUCUGAUGGUUAUAAAAACCUGCUUUCAUCCACAGGUUUGGAUAUGAAUGAAAUUUUUUUCUGAAAUAAAAACUCUUCUUGUCUUCAAAACAUUCCUUGUGAUCAAUCAAAUCGUUGAGUGAGUUCGUUGAAUUCAACAAUUUGAGGUAUCGCUGUUGUUCGGAUUGAAGACCAUUUUAUCCUGGGAGGAAGAUUUAUAACCUCGAGUACAGUGAGGGGAAUUAUUCCUUAAGGACAGUCCGUGAAGUCGGGGAACUUGGCCUUAAAAUUCUAUUUCAUCUCUUUUCUGAAAAAAAAAAAAAUUAACACACUUCUUAGAUAGAUUAUUCAUAAUCUAGUGUUGAAGGUGUUAAAGAACUUCAAAAGUGUUCUUGCCUUAGACUUGAACUAGUAUUGAAGUUGGUGUUGCAUUUUAUAUCGAAGUUGGUGUUGCAUUUUAUAUUGAAGUUGGUGUUGCAUUUUAUACAGAUUCUUGAAUCCAAAACAUUACAUAAAAUAACGUACGUAGACCUUACCCUGCCUCAUAUGUGAGAGAGACUGUUUCGUCUAGACACUUGGCUUAAAGAACAAUUUUUUGCAAAGCAGGUUGACAAAUAUAAGAAUAAAAGCUAUAAUCAUUAUAUAGUGUGUAAAAUAGAAGUACUGACCAAAAUAAAAGUAAAGAUAACCCAAGUAAAAAAUAAGUAGUAGGAGUUAGUUUCUCAAAUUGUCAUUUCAAAUUGAAUUCAGGAUUGGAAGAGGUAUCAAGGUUCCGUGGUGUAGUUAAUUAUCACGUUAGUCUAACACACUGAAGGUCUCCGGUUUGAGUCUGGGCAAAACCAAUUUUAAUCUCUUUUUUUUUUUUUUUCGUUAGUUUUGCUGCAACUUACUCAAGAAGCCAGGGUCCUUGUGUUGAGACUUGCUUUGGUGAAAGGAAAACUUUACUACGAAUUCACGGCAAACAGGACUACAGGAUUUGAAUUAGCUCAAUCAGCAAUUUUUUUGAGUUUUCCUGAUGUGCCAAACUGGAUUGGUGCUGAAACUUUAAGGAGUCUUAUUGGGAGGCUAGAUGCUUCGGAAAUCAAGUUUACUUAUGUCUAGAUUGCAAUAGCAACUUGCCAAAAGGUAUAUUUUGCUAUCCAAGAAAAUUUAACGACAAAUAUGAAAGUAUAGCAGUCGCAGGUAAUCAGCUUAGAAAUAGACAGGAUAUUCUUCUGUCAAACUCUAAACUUCACAACGUGUGAAAUCAGAAGACAACAAGUUCCCUGCUUUUAUGCAUAAGACUUGAGCAAAUACCAAUUCCAUCCUAAGAAAUUGACAUGAAUCAGAUAGACGAGUUACACAGAGGAAAAUAAAUAAGCACUGCAAAAGAUAUGGGAGACCGCCCCAUAUCUUCAGGGUGAGAGCGAAAAUCGAAAACCAUUAGGUUCACAAUUUUCAAACGUAUGUUAAGUAGCAAAACAUCAUCUUUCCCAAUACUAAAGUUCAGUAGCAUUUAGUGUCAAGUAAAAUAUAAGGAAAUAGAUCAGUAAUCUAGUAGUAACUUUUAACUAGUCGAUUAUACUCAAAUGUUUGACAGAUGACUUGUAUCCAGAAAUUAAAAACAAACUAAGAGCAUAUAGAGAAUGGUAGUACUGCAAUCUCAAAACAGAAUACCACACAAUUAUGGAAUUAGCAUUUUGCGUAAGUAUGAAGUCUAAUUACUCUAUUCAAAAAGUGUAUAUCUUUCUGCAUUUUGAUCAGCAUGAAUAGGCUAUCAAUGUAUGCAUUUUCAUCAUUAGUUGGUUCAUAUUAUCUAUAUCAUCAGCCAGUUGAUCAACAUCUUCAUUCAGUUCAUUGGGGUGCCUCCAUCUUGAUCAUGAUUUUGUUCCCUUUUGGAAUUGGAGCUUGUUUGCUUGUGGCGUUUCAAAGAAAUUCAUGCGAGCUUUGAUCUACCGUAAAUAAUAUCAUAUUAUGUUAAAAUAUCUUAAAUUAUUUUAGUCCAACAAUUGAUAUGAGUCUAUGGUUGACUAAGGAGAUGGGGGAGUGAUGAUGUAAGUCCCAACUUAGUUCCUUUGCCCGUUUACUUGUUGAUGUUCUAUUCUUAUCUAUAGUUUUAAAGAUGCAUACAUAAAAAAAGAAAAGUAUUUAUGGUUGUAUUAGCCACAACUACUCGGUCGAUUUUUUUUUUUUUAUAUAAUACUUUUGUACAUCCUAUUUUAUAUGACACACUUUUCUUUUUAAUCCGUCCAAAAAAAAUCUGACCUCACUAUAAUUAGAAAAAAAAAUAUGUAACUUUAAAAUUUUCCUUAAUGAAAUGAUUUGCAAUCAUAUAAACAUUCAAAACUAAUUUCAAACUACAUAUUUAAAAAUCACAUAAAAUGAAACGGAGGAAGUAAUAAUUAAAUAGUAACGAGCUGCGAGAAAGAGAAAACAAAUGCCUAAAUCUUCUUUCACAUGGAUCGUAUCCCCGUCCAAUCAUAUUCAGUUUCCGCCUCUCACAUGGAUCGACAAUUCUAUCCGUCGGAUUAACAAGUAAAUCCCCAAAUAUUUAACGGCUGCAAUUUACCCCCCGCCACAUUUCGAACCGCGAAAAUUCACGGCGCCCAAAUCCCCCAAAUAUAAAUAUCCACCACCAUCUACUUUACUUUUCAUUCAAAUUCAAAACCCUAGUAUCUUUUUCUUCUUCAAAUUUCUGUGUGUGAAAAUGUCUGGUCGUGGAAAGGGAGGCAAAGGAUUGGGAAAGGGAGGAGCCAAGAGGCACAGGAAGGUUCUGAGAGACAACAUCCAGGGAAUUACCAAGCCAGCUAUUCGUAGGCUUGCUCGUAGGGGUGGUGUGAAGCGUAUCUCCGGUCUGAUCUACGAGGAAACCCGUGGAGUUCUCAAGAUCUUUUUGGAGAACGUGAUUCGUGAUUCAGUUACCUACACUGAGCAUGCCAGGAGGAAGACUGUUACUGCUAUGGAUGUUGUUUAUGCCCUCAAGAGGCAGGGAAGAACUCUCUAUGGAUUUGGUGGUUAGAGCAGUUGUUAGGUAGUAGAUGUAGAUGUGAUGGAAAUUUAUGCUGUUUCUGUAUUUU